UAAGUCUAAAGUUGACCACGCAACACCAUCAAGCUCAUAAAGAACAUGAGUAGAAACAACAAAAGUCAUCAACAGAUCAGAAUGUAACUCGAUACUCCCCUUAAUUUUAUUUAUGAGAAGAAAGGGUUACAUACAAGUGACGUGCCGGUGUGUUCAUCAGACACAUAUUUUACACAUACGUUAAAAGCUUAAGAGUGGACAUGAUUGCAAACUGACCAUUACAAUAGUAACCUUGUUCACUACUUUAUUAGUAAAAAGAAAAACGUUUUUAACUUAAGCCUCGACUAUCUCUUCGAUCAACUGUGGUUGUCCACCGCGUGCACGAGUCAAAGUGGUCUCAAGCGUGUUGAACUUGAUCUUUUUAGCUUCCUCGAGAGGGAUCUGGAAUCCAUUGGUUAUGACCUGUAGCGGCAAUGCCCUUAGGGCAGAGGUUCGACCCGCCAAAGUGCUGAUCAUCGCGUUAGCAUUUGUCUUGAAUGAGAUCCAUUCAAAGUUGUUUUCGUGGGAUUGGACUACGUAUGCGAACCCUUGUGGAAUAACCACGAGCUGUCCCUUCUGCACCUGCUGGUCCAACACGUUCUGUCCGUUGUCGUUCACCACUUGGAUCUUUCCUUGUCCUGCCGUGCAGUACAAGAUCUCAUUCGCGUUCAUGUUGUAUUUCGGAAGCACCAUAGCAUUCUGCAACAGUAUUCGUUAGCAACAAAGACCUAGCCUCCGAGUUUUAAAAUGCUUUUUCUCUAGAAAAUUUUAAAUGAUUUUGUAUAAAGUUCUAAGAACUGGGACAUAUAUAUCUGUAUGUAUAUUAAAUGUACUUACACGCUGGAUAAUGCCACGAGUGGCGCUGAGCCUGAGAUACUGCAAGAUGGGCAAGGUCAAGCUGUUGACGUUGGUCAUACGGCCGAGGUUAGGCUUGUACACGUCAGCGCGGGCAGGGUCAUCAAUGUUCUCGUGGGUCCUCAUGCUGCAGAUAGUCUCCUCAAGACCGUUGUCUUGUGGGCCACGUGGGUGUCUCCACUUCUCGCUCUCGUAGGCCUGUCUCAAAGGUGGCCUCACGACCUGGAAAGGUCCCUUAACAGAAACGAUGUUUCCUCUGUUGUCUCUUCGGUUCUGAAGCUCCUCAGCCAACCUAACGUCGAUUUUCAAAGCCUGAGCUAUGACCUGAGGGUCGAAUCCGCUGAACAUGUUUUUCUCUUCUUCUCCUUGUUGUUGUCCUUGCUGUCGACCACCAAAACCGCCCUGUUGGCCCUGUUGGUUGUUUCCAGCCAAACGGAAUGCCUAUAGCACAGAAUUAACAAAUGAAAAACGUGUGUAGUAAGUAUACUGGAUAUGGUUUAUAUUCUUAAAGUGAAGAAAAGUGUGUCUUUGAAUAUAUGUAUGAUUACUCUUGGGUUGCGGUCGAGUUGGUUUUGGUAGUUGGCAACGUCGAUAAGGGAGAUGAUGACAAGUGGCUGGUCUCCAGAGUUGUAGAUCCAAUGGGCAGAGCCUGGAGUGAUGGCAACAAUGUCUCCACGUCGAACAUGUUCCACCUUCUGGUGCAUGUCACGGAACCCUUGUUGUCCUUGCUGUCCCUGCCUUUCAUAUGGCUGUUCUUGCUGUCCUUCCUCUCCCUGUCCUUCCCAUGGUCGUCCUUGCUGUCCUUGCUGUCCCUGUCGUCCCUGUCUUUCCCAUGGCUGUUCUUGCUGUCCCUGUUGCUGUCCUUGCAUCGGCUGUGAAUCCAUGAAGGUCUCGGCACAUCCAGGGACGACUCUUCCACUAAUACCCAUUCCUAUAAAUAUAAUAGAUAAGAGAGAAAGGGAGAUAUAUGUCAUGGUGUCAAUCGAUAAAUAUUAUCGAUUGUAUCUUCAUUAGAACGUGAUCUAUAUAUAUAGAUACUUGAUAAAGAAAGGCUGUUAUGUGUGUUAAGAUAGAUACUAACCUUGAACAACGUAGGAAAUUUUUGGGGAAGUGAAGAAGGUAGGUAAGUAGAGACCGCCUUGUUCGAUUACAAGACGAGAGAUGGAGACACCAGCACAUCGGAGCUGGCGAUUUGUGUGAUCCCAGUACUCCAUACGACCUGCCUCGCUGUUGAUAGUCUCGGUGGGUUCAAGAACGUCCAAGUUAUCGAGGUUACACUCGUUCUGUAGCUGAGGAGGAACCCCAAGCGACUGCCUUGCGAGACAGCCAUUAAGGACGAGGAGAACCCCGAACGUUGCAACGAGGAGAUUAGCUAGCUUAGCCAUUUUUCUUCCUUUUUUUUUUGUUGUUGUUGUGAGAGAUGGAUGAAGAGAAACGAGACUCAGUAGGAGUUUAUAUAUUAUGGACCGAACAUGAAGCUUGUGCCACGUAGAAUUGAGUUUGCAUGAAGACGUGGGUCUAUGGGUUUUACACGUCCCUCUAUGAGCUCGAGCAAGUGUCUCCAUGGUUGAUUUUAGAUGUCCACGCGCGUAGCUCUGUCUCCUCAUAUGCCAAAAACGACAAAACCAAAUGUAUCUACCUCAUUCUUUAGAAACAUGUCAUCCAUCUAUGUACUUAAUUUGUGUAAAAUAGAUAGAUAGAUAGAGAAACUGUGCUAUACUUAAAACUUUUAUCGUCGUCUUAAAUUAUUGAAGUUUAAUUGAUUCGAAACGGGAGAAGAGAAUCUACUUUUUAGACAAUUAACACAUCAAAUCACAUCACUAGUGUCCAGUAAUUAUUUGGCGUUGUGAUCAAAGAAUUCACCAGAUACAGCCAAAAUCUAGUAUUUAUAAGAGUUAGUGCAGGUAUAACUUUGCCUAUUAGUUUACACUUCAAAAAAAAACAGAAAGAAGGUGACACCUGAUAGACGCGGCGACACUAGGCGGGAUUGAUCCGUUUUAGCUGCUGCGACUUGUCUUGACAACUGUUCGGUUGCAUGUUUAGCCGCGAUGACAUGUGUUCUUCCUACCAGAGUUUUAGCGGAGCUCUAUACCAUUUAAUUUUCAUGUUUUUUCUUCGUUGGGCUUUUAAUGCUUGGGUUCAUGGGCUUGAGCUAUACGUGAGCCCAAAGUUCUUUUUUCAAACGAAAAUUCCAGACCGUCUUAUUCUUCAAUAGAAACCAGAGCUUAAACCCUAAACCCCUUUCUCAAGAUCUUCCACUCCUCUCUCCGCGACACUAGCAGAGUUUUCGGGUACGCUUCGCGCCACUUUUCUUAGGUCUUUUGUGUAUUGGGUCGGUAUCGAUCAAUUUCUAUCGAAAUUUCGAAAGAACAAGUAAAAUACGUAGCUGUGUGAGGGGUUUUCUGCUCGAAAUUUGCCAGCUAAUCGUUGCUAUUGUCCCAAAAAUGCGAGUUUUAGUGUUUCAAUAGAAGUGUUCUGGGAAGCCUAGGAUGGGUCUUCCUUAAAUUUGCUAUCUUUUAUGACUUUGUUUGCUGAAUUUUGACUUGAUUUUGAUACUUGACAUUUUUCGAGUCUUUCAUUUGGAUAAAGUGACUAGAUCUGAUUCUGAAUUUUGAGGUCUUGUUUGUCUAUCCUGUUCCGGAAUUUUCGAUAGUUGAACUUUUUUUGGGAUUGUUUCAGAAAAAAAAAAAGAUGAAUUUCAACAACGUCAAGGUUCCAAAGGUGCCAGGUGGUGGUGCCAUAUCUGCGUUGCUUAAGAUUGGGAUUAUCGGUGGGCUCGGUGUCUACGGUGCCACACACAGUCUCUACAAUGUCGACGGAGGACAUCGAGCCAUCAUGUUCAACCGUUUAGUCGGUAUUAAAGAUAAGGUUAGUCAGUGUUUCUUCGAGCUUAGUCUCUUUUGAGUUUCUAGUAGAAGCAAAUUUCUCCCUUUAAAAACUGAAUGUUCCCAACGAGAUCUCAUGCGGUUUUUGACAUCUUGGUCAAGUUAUCCUGGUUGAUUUCUCAAGUCUAAUCAUCGUUUGUGAAAUCUUGUUAUUUUGUUUAUCAAUCACCGAGGCUGAUUUUUCGUCCAUCUUUGGUUAUCGGUUCUGAUUUCUCGUUGUUGUUCCUGUAGAGCUUAAAAAUAGUCUUCUUAAUUCACAAGUAUAUAGUUGGUAAUCUUGUAAAUACGCAGGUUUACCCCGAGGGUACACACCUUAUGGUUCCUUGGUUCGAAAGGCCGGUCAUUUAUGACGUUCGUGCACGACCUUACCUUGUUGAGAGUACCUCCGGAAGCCGUGAUCUUCAGAUGGUACUCUGUUUGAAAUCCUCCCUUUUGAGUGCCACUGUGGUGUAAUGUCGAGAAACAACUUCAUAAGCUCUAUGUGUUUCGUGGUUUUUGGAAACUUUCAGGUGAAGAUUGGGCUUAGGGUUCUCACUCGUCCCAUGGCAGACCAGUUACCUGAGAUCUAUAGAACCCUUGGUGAGAACUACAGCGAGAGAGUUCUGCCUUCUAUAAUCCACGAGACUUUGAAAGCUGUGGUUGCUCAGUACAAUGCAAGCCAGCUUAUUACUCAGAGAGAGGUACAAUAUAAGCGGCUUGUUAAUAUAUGUGCAUAUCUUUUUCCGCCUUCUUAGUGAGUCAAGUUAAUGAAUAUGUUUUUCUGGCUACCCUCAGGCGGUGAGUAGGGAGAUCAGGAAGAUUCUAACUGCACGAGCAACAAACUUCAACCUUGCGCUUGACGAUGUGUCCAUCACGACCCUGACAUUUGGGAAGGAGUUCACGGCUGCCAUUGAAGCAAAGCAGGUGGCUGCUCAAGAGGCUGAGCGGGCUAAGUUCAUCGUUGAGAAGGCCGAACAAGACAAGAGAAGUGCUGUUAUCCGUGCCCAGGUAAAUAGACAUUGUCUACAUUUUUCCAAUUUCCUAAGUUCUGAGACUGAUAUAGUUGUGUGACCAACGUUAUCUUGCCUUGUGUAGGGAGAAGCCAAGAGUGCUCAGCUCAUAGGUCAAGCGAUCGCAAACAACCAAGCGUUUAUAACCCUCAGGAAGAUUGAGGCGGCAAGAGAGAUUGCACAGACCAUAGCACACUCGGCUAACAAGGUGUACCUAAGCUCGGACGAUCUUUUGCUUAAUCUACAGGAGAUGAAUUUGGAUGUGAAUGCAAAGAAUUAGAGAGGCUUCUUAAGUAAAACCCCCUGUGGUUUGUAUCGUCUUUUCAAUUUGGAGCAAAAGCUGAGAUCUUUGGAUUUUUAAAUACUUGUUAAGUUGUUUUUGGGAUCUCAUUAUCCCAAGGUUAUAGCCUUUGUCUAUCAGGAAAUGAAGACACUGUCUUGCUGAAUGAGUUAAUUGUAAUAAACUUGUCGUUUUGAAAAUAUUCGUGAAAAGCAAAUGUAUCCAGAGUUGCAUUUGGGAUUAAAUGGCCAUAUUGAGCAAAUGCAUUAUCGUGCUACAUAUAAUCCACCACAGAUCUUUGCCGAUAAGAAAUCUAAAUGACUUAACGUACCAAGAGACAAAGGGAGAUCUUUGUACAUUCUUUUCAUGAUCAGUCCAAGGAAUUAAAAUUGUACAAAGCAGUAUAAUCAAAAAAGGGAAAAAAAUGGACCAAAAAAUGUUACGUAUAUAAGAUUACACUGUAAAUUUAAAUUAUUUUCAAUGUAUAUAUGUAUUAAUGUAAUAUAUAAUGCUUAGAUUAUAUACCAUUUCUCUUAUUUGACGACCGUCCAUGCAUGUAAAAAACUAUUCUCAAUUUUCAAGGGAUAAAAGGUUGAGAGCCAUGAACCAAAUGGUUCUGUAUCCCGGUCUGGUUAAACGAGAUAAUCGCCGGAAUAUUGUUAUAAUACUCACCGGAUCCUUCACCACCAUUGCUCUUAAACUUACCGUUAUUAUGAUGAAGAUGGUAAUGAAGGUGGCGACCACCACCACCACCAAGGUGAUGGCCAUGGAGAUAAGGCCGCUCCUUUGCAGUGGCUGCGGCAGCAACCGAGCCACCGCAUUGGCGUGGUUGAGUCUGGUAGAAGACUUUGGAGACGACGAGCUCGCCUUCUUUCUCUUCCUCGUUGGUGCCAAGAUGAUAUUGAUGCAUUACCCAAUUAGUCUUCUCGGGUUUCUUUUGUUUGCCGUAGUUUGUGUAGAGCACUAGGAUUUUCUUGUAGCCUCUCACUCUUCCUCCGGCGAGAACUGGCCGUGUUUUGCCGGUCUUGUGCCACCGUGUUUCGCCAGCGACUUCGGAAUCGGUGUGGACUUUACGUCGCUUUCUUGUUCCCGUUGUGUAUGCCUUUGACGGUCGGUGGAAGAAAUGACGGAGCGUCCCGUCCUUGGUCACUCCUAUAUGUAUGUCAUGUGAACACUAUUUAAAUAUGUAUGUAAUAAGCUAACAUUUAUCGAAAUUAAUUUAAUUAGGUAUGACACUCCAUAAUAAAGAAAUUGGAUCAGCUAUAUACCCUAUUUCUAAUUUACAAUGCAAUUGUUUUUUUCACUUAAUUUUUUGAGUUUCAAUAAUCUUUACUAGCUAUGUAAAGAAAUUAUAGAAAAUAGUGUAUCUAAUAAUUAGAAUAAACGGAUGGUAUACAAACUAUAUGAAAUUUCACUUCAUCUAAAAAUUUUAACAUCUUAAUACGAUAACUGUACAUUAUAUCUCUCAUCAACUCUAAAACUUUCAUAUUAUUCAUAUAUCUACUAUUUGUUCUUUUUUUCAGGUCGGAUAGUUUAGACUUUAGAUCAUAUGAAGACGACAAACAUUAUAUUUUCUAUUAAGAAAACAAGAUAAUUGUUGAUAGGAUUGAAAUAAAUAGGGGAAAACAAUAUAGACUCACCUGGCAGUUUCUCAGGAUGGGUAUAACAGAUGCCAUUUUCACCAUCGAUGGUACGAAUAAACUCAUCGAUGAGAGGAUGAAGCUUUCUUGCGUCGUCUCUUACCUUCCCUUCAAGAUGCUCCAGAACCUCUUGAUCCGUCGGAUCAAACUUCACCCCGGCAGGCAAUCCCGGCAAGUCAUGGAUACCCGCCUGCAUACACAUCGGGUUUAUUCAUUUUGAUGAUCUAAAACUUUCUAAAUAUACAAACUUGAUGUAGGUAUAGAGAGAAACAAGAACCUGUUCAUGAAACUUGAAGUUAUGGCCACAAGAAGGACAAGUUUUGUGACAUGAGACCGGAAAUGAGGCUGCAGGAGAAUCAGCCGCUGCCGGUGAGGGAAUGAUUCUUUCAACGGUCUGAACAUCGCUACGGUCAUUGCACCAAGUCAUGUUGUUUUGUGUCUCUUAGUUUCGUUUUGUGCAUAUUAUCUUCUCUUCUCUUCUCUUCGUCCACACUGCUCACGACUUCAUUAGAAUAAACAAAGGCAUGAGAGAGAACAAAGAGAGAAGGGAAAAAGGGUGAAAGAUGACUAAAGCAUAUGUUUCCUAAGAAGAACUCUUUGAGGUUAUCUUGAGAAGGAGGAAGGAAUUGAAUUCUUGUUCGUCACUUUUUAAGUUGAGUUAAUUGCUCCUUUUUGCACUUGAUUUAAACUUUGUACUAUCCAUGAGAGAGAAAGAUGAGAUAAGCUUAUAAGAAAUUUUAUUAAACCUCAUUUUAUAAUGUAUACAAAAUGUAAUGUAUACUAUAUAGUAAGAAAGCAUUAUUUAAAGACUUAGGUUUUUUAAUAAGUAUGUAGAAACAAUGAAACAUACAAAAAAAAAAAAGAACAAUGAAACAUACAUGCUAAGUAACAAUGAGAGGACUGGUACACCUACAACUUGAAAGUAAUUAAAGAGUAUAGACAUUUAAUUACGAAACUUUCAAAUCUUUAAUUUUACAUAUAUGUAACAUUGAUAAAAUACUGGAUUUUAUUUGUUUUUUAAAGUAUAUAUGCAAAUACAGAUACAUACUUAUAUAGAGUAAAAACAUGGAUUUGAAUAAACUUAAUUUUUUGUUUAAACACAUUAUGAUAUUCUGAAGAAUAUAUUAACUAACCGAUUAUCAUAAGACCAAAAAAAUGGAUUGCUUGGGUUUAAAGUUUGAUUUGGCUUCUACAUGGCAUGUAUGGUGUGUGAGAGAGAUAUAGACAGAGACUGAUCGAACAAAAAAAAAAAAGAAUAUGUGAACAAUAUAUUGUGAAAGAAUAUACAUGUGUGAGCUUCCUUUUUCGACAAGAACAUUCUUAAUAUGGUACAAAAUAGGUUUUAUCUGGUCGAAUCUAUAUAUAAUAUAAAUUAAACAUUUAUAAAAUCUGCUAUUGAUUUGUUAAUUUACUGAUACAUUACAUGUAUAGGAUCUAAAAGUGAAUAUGAGAUGGAGUGUGUUUGCGGCAAGGUGUUGCUGCUGGUCUGUGAGAGAUCAGACGUGAUAUGGUAGAAAACUAGAAACAAAAAUAAGAAAGAGAAGUUAAGGUCCAGCGUCACCCUAGAGUGUAUGUAAAGAUAUUAUUACAUAAUCUUAUACUUAUAACUUACACAUCUGAAUAUCCAUUUUUACCCCUGACGUCUCAAUAGUAUACUACUAUAGAAAACAUUUGAGUAAACUUUUGAAUAUACAUAUUGUUUUUUGAUGAAUAUUGUCCGUAUCAGUUUUUCUUUAGAUUUAACUUUUUUGCAAAUUCUAAGGAAUAUAUACAUUCAUGCAUAUAUUAUGACUGUUUGAAGUUAAUUCGAAAAUGUAUCAAUAUAAAUUUCAAAAUUACCAUGUGAGAAUUACAAAAGAACAAGAAAGAAAUCGUUAAGAACAUAAUUUUUAAGUGCCAUGUGACAAAGACCUAAUAUUAUUUUUUCAAUAAACUAAAUUUCACUCUGCAGCAAAUUUGUCAGUGCAAUAGCGAAAAUACUGGUAUAUAUAAUAUCAAAAAAGAAUAAAUAAAAGUAGGAAGCUAUUUUUAAUAGAUAAAAAAAAAAGAAAAAGAAAGUUAAAAAGUCAGUCAUUAUUCUAUUUCUUCACGUAGACUUCUCAUGCAUAACAAGUAACCUCAACCUUUAUUCUUUAUCUGUCGUCUGAUUUCUUUCCUCCUCUCCCCAGUCAAUUUUGAAGACAUGUUAUACCUAUUAUUAUCAAGCUAAAACAAAAAUCAUGAACAAAUGUUACACUUAUAUGUGUCCAUUGGGAAAUUUUGUGGUUUGCUUGUUGUUUUCAUGGGUAUAAAUCGCGGCAAUGUGUUGUGUCAUUCAAGAAAUCCAAUCACAAGCCCUUUAACGAAAACAAAAAUAAAUCAAAUCACAUUACUGACAUCUCGUCUAUGUUUGGCUAUCUAGUAAAUAUAAAUCUAAUUUUAUAACUACAUAAUUCACAUCCAAAUUCCAACACAACGAUUUCAUAAACUGUGAAUUUACUGCUAUAUUACUUAAUACUGUAUAAGUUUUGGAAGUUUUGGAAUAAGACAUCAUAUAAUAAAAAAGGAUAUAUUAAUUUUGUGUUUUAACGUCCGGUAUGUGAGCUUGGAUAUCCAGAGAAGAUGUUGCCCUUCCGAAUGGCGUUACCAGUAAAAAUAAAAUAAAAAAAUAAUAAAAAAAUAAAAAAUUUGAAAUUUAAGAUAUUCUUCCCAAAAAAAAAAAAAAAAAAACUCGUUCCUCAGAAAGCAGAAUGCAAAUCCGUUUACAAAUUAAUGUGGUAAAACUGGUAACGGACCGAUUAUGACUAAACGAAGGUUGGCCAUUGAGUGGACAAACCACCAAAUGUUGCAAUCAUUGCGUUAAUUUAAAUAAUUGGUAUCCAAACUUCAUAACAUUAAUAGCUAUUACCUAAUCAGAAAGCUUCACAUUUCUGUUUCUGAUUUCUUACAAUUCACCUAACUUAACAACACCAAAUCGCUAUUCUCAGCCCAAACCAACCCAACCCGGCCCAUAUUAGAGUAUUCAAACGCUGCUCUAGUCUUCCGUGUAGUAGUAUGGCGUGAGUUUCCCACCGGUCAUAGUAGAUUUAGACGCGUUUGCACCGCUACAAGAAACAGCAGCAGAGACUUGUUGAAGCAUGAUCACAACUUUUCUCAUGGAAGGUCGGUUUAGAGGGAGAGGACUUGUACAGAGAAGAGCAAUGUGAAUAACUUUGCUAAUCUCUUCUUUGAACCCAAGAUCGAGUUUGGGAUCAAUCACAGGUUCCAGACCGCAUUGGUCAAGUGUAUUGCACACCCAUUUCGCCAUAUCUUUGUCUCCUAGUUCCUGAUCGGUUGGUUGCUUCCCUGUAACCAGUUCCAAAAGCACAACACCAAAACUGUAGAUAUCGCUCUUUUCAUUCACCCGAAGUGUGUACACGUAUUCUGCAAAAUAAAACUAUUAAUAAAUAUCUAAAAAAAACUCGGAAUAUCAAAUCAAAUGUUACAAAAACGCAGUUGAAGUUUCUCGUUUAACGUUUUGGUUACCUGGCGCAAUGUAACCGCAAGAACCGGCGAUCCCAGACAUAGCUUCUAGCGUUUUGACACCGCUCAUCUGACCAAUUUUGGCGAUCCCAAAGUCGGCUACUUUGGCACCAUAAUCUCUAUCUAGAAGAAUGUUACUCGACUUCACGUCACGGUGCACAAUCGGAGGUACACAAUCAUGGUGUAAAUAUGAUAAACCCUCCGCAGCGUCUAACGCGAUUUUUAACCGCUCAGGCCAACCCAACAAAACCGCGCCUUUGCGGCGACGGUGCAACGCAUCGGCUAAGCUCCCAUUAGGCAUGUACUCGUACACCAACAACUUACAAUCUCCGGAGCUGAAACAACACCACAAACGCACAAUACUCUUAUGCCUAAUCGUUCCAAGCGUUUCGACCUCCGCGGUGAAAACGUCUCUAUUCAACGAAUCGCUAUUUCCGUCUCCUCCUUUGGCCGUUUUGUUGAGUUUCUUCACGGCUACAACUUCUCCACCACUAAGCUCCGCUUUAUAGACUUUACUAGAGGAACCGAUUCCGAUUACGUUCCGUUCAACGAGACAACCAGCGAUUUCGUGCUCGCUGAAAUGAAGCUUGUGAAAGGAUCUCCAUUUGGAGGCGGCGAAUCUAGGGCUCUGCUUCUUCGAGGCUCUGAUCUUCAUGAACUUGGCGAUGAACAUAACGAUCCCGACGACGAAAACCAGACCGGCGAGUGUGAAUAUCGAUAGGAGAAUCCAGGCGUAGCCGUUGUUUUUGGGCCGUGUGAUCUUCUGACAAAGCCCAUCGAGAUCGACGCAUAGGCCGGGAUUUCCGAGGAAGUUACGUGCGUAGAUUUUAUCAGCGUAGAGAGGAGGAAUUGUACCGGAGAGAUGAUUAUACGACAGAUUUAGAACGUUUAGUUUCAGAUUCUGCAAUUCCACCGGAAUUUCACCGGAAAAUUGAUUGUUUGAGAGAUCGAGGUAGUUGAGAACAUGCACGGUUCCGAUUUCUCCAGAGAUUUCACCGGAGAGAUUGUUAUUCGCUAAAUAAAGCUCGUUUAGAUUCUUCCAGCCUCGAAUUCCUCGAGGAAUCUCGCCGGAGAGAUGAUUCGUACUGAGAUCAAGCCUGCUCAAUUGCUUCAGUUUCACCAAACUUUUAGGAAUCUCGCCGGUGAAAUUAUUUUCCGCUCCGGAAAUCUCGAUCAGUCCGUUAAGCAAUCCGAUUUCGCCGGGGAUUGAACCUGAAAACUGAUUGGUCGAGAUUCGGAGGUUCGAUAGAUUCUUAGCACCGGAUAUCGUCUGAGGAAUCCUUCCGGUGAACGAGUUAUCGGAGAGUUCGAGCAGCGACAAGCGAGGCAGUCCCCAGAAUUCGUCCGGGAUGUGACCGGAAAGCUUGUUGUUACUCAAUCGAACACGAGUCAAGCUCCUGCACUUUCCCAUACUAGUCGGGAUUUCACCAAAAAACAAAUUGCCUAUGAGCAUGAGAUACUCAAGUUUCCCUUCCCCGCAUAGAUUCGCCGGUAUCUCGCCGGAAAAUUGAUUAUACGAAAGGUCCACGUACUGUAACGGGGAGUUCGCGCCGAGUUGACUCGGUAACGCUCCGGUGAGUCUGUUGUUGAAGAGCUUGAGUUCUGACAAGGUUUUGGAGCGAGUUAUACUCUGCGGCAGGGGUCCUUCGAGCAUGUUUUCGAAGAGAUUUAGCGACUCAAGGUUUAACCGAGUCAAGCCGUCGGGAAUCCUCCCUGUAAGAUUGUUCAUCGAUGCGUCGAAUCUCCUCAGCAUCGUCAUGUUAUCCAUCGCCUCCGGUAACUCGCCUGAGAACGAGUUGUUGAAUAGCUCAAUCUGCUCGAUGCUCUUCAGCUGAGUGAUCCAACUCGGGACAGACCCAGUGAGUCGAUUCGUUGUCAAAUCCAAGCUAACCAACUGAGUCAACCCGGACAGAGCCUGAGGCACCGGACCCACGAGGCUGCAACCGGCGAGCCAGAGAACACGGAGCUCCGUGAGAUUUCCGAGUUGACUCGGGAUUAGACUCGGAGAAAACAAAUUGUAAGCGAGUUUGAGCUCUCUCAGAGUCGAGACGUUGCCGAGCGAGGCGGGAAUGGUACCGGAGAGGAAAUUUCCGGCGAGGUUCAACGACUCAAGCUUACGGAACUCUCCGAAGCUCGCCGGAAUCGAAUCUGAUAAGUUGUUCCCGGAGAUGUAAAGGUUCCGGAGGUUUGGUAGCUUGAAAGGGAGUGACUCCGGGAUGGAACCAACCAAGAGAUUCUCCGACAAAUCGAGAUGGCCGAGAUUCCGACACGCCGUGAAGUCGUCGCCGGAGAGAGAACCAUUGAUGGAGUUGUUGUAGAGAGAGAGGUAAGACAGAGAAGGAAGAUGACAAAGGAUGGAGGGGAAAGGACCGACGAGCAUGAAGCUGGAGAGAUCGACGGAGAUGACUGAUGACAUGGCGUUGCAGGUGACGCCGCUCCACUGGCACGGCGUGACGUCGUUGUCGGACCAUGAAGAUAGGAACUGGGCUGGGUCGGAUAGGCCCAAUUUGGCUUGCCGGAGAAUGGUGGCAUCGUGAUUGAGAGAGAGAGUUAGAUACGUGGAAGAGAGACAUAGAAGGACAAUAAAACAAUAGAGCAUUUUUCUUUAUAACUGUUUAUUUUUCUAUAUCAUGCUUUGGACUUGUGAUUAAAACGAAAUUAUGAGGUUUUAAAGGGUUUAUAAGAUUCGUAGAAGCAAAAAGGAAAGUGAACACUGUGACAAGACAUGUGUGAGACAUCAUGUUCUUCUUAAUUGGGAAGACUUUACGAAGCCAAAAUAUACAGUUAGAUUUUAGAUACAUCCAUGUGAAAUGGAGUCCAUUGCAAAAUAAUUUACACUGAAAUCAUCCCAAAAAUUGUAAGUUAUAAAAAUUAACAUAUCCCAAAUUUGAAUAGUUAUAUCGUCUUACGCUAAGUUUUAUUGAAAAAAAAUAAUAAGUAGUUUUUCACAUAAAAGGAAAAAAAAAAAUAGUCACUCUCCAAGUCAACUCAAAAUCCUCUGAUGGUCAAAAUGAUGGAGAUACAUGGGCCAUGUGCUGUUGGAAUUAUGUUGAAUUUUCCGAGUUUGCAUUGAAACUUCUCGACUUUUUGUAUGGAUGGAACAAUACAUGAAUGUGUAGAUCGAUACCUUAUGAUUUAAUAUCGAUCUAUAUAAAUUAUCUUAAACCGAAAACCUAAACACCUAUGGUCCCAUUCCCCAACCCUAGGUUGAAUAGAGAGUUUGAUGGACAAUCAUUUACUUGUAAAGUAAUUCUUAAUCCGGUUUAUGAAUCCACGUGUAAGAAAGACAAGGUCAAAUUUGGUUGGUAGGGAAAACAUGAUCUAACAGUAGACUUUGUUAGAUUACUCUCAUUUCACUAGGAAAAGUAACAGUCGUUUUGAAUUGAAAGAACGAGAUUUAAGGGGGAGGAAAAAAAUAGAAAGUGAUAGAUCUUGUCUUUAACCUGUUAUCACGAGUUUGCGAUUCUGUAAUCUCGAUGACGGUACAUACCACUAAGCACUAUGAUGUCACCUUGAUCCAAUAACGUUUUAAGGUUUCGUCCUCUAACUAACGAUAGAAGUUUCCUUUUCUUCCAAGGUUGCAUUCCCUUCACGUCUCCGAAGCCUUUUGCCUUUUUAUUGUUGUAGUUUAGAGUUUUGGUCACAAUAUUAACAUUCUCUUUACCUCUGUUAUAUUGAAGCUUAAUUGUAGAUUAUUGUAACCAAUACAAAAGAUUUGUGAUUGUUUCAUUAUAAACUUCCAUAUUUCUUUAGUAAAUUUUUUUUUAGUAAAAUUUUGUUUACUAAAAAUAUAAUAACCCAUAUUUCAUAUUGUUUACAUGUUUAUCACAGCAUGUAAUAAAUAUAUGGAAUAGAGGUCACUAAAGUUUCUCAUUAUGUUUCGUUUUAUUAACACACAAGUGAAGUGCAUGUCGACUUCACAACCGAUAACUCUCUUAGCCGAAGAAUAAAUUCCUCCAAAGACCAAUUUAAUGCAUAGUUUAUAUGGACCACAAGUAAGACAGAUUGCAAUUAAGCCACGUCUUUGAAGAAUACGAAACUAGAUAAUUUGCUUCUUCUUUCUUUAAAAAAAAAAACUAGAUUAUCGUAGUAUAAACAAAAUUAUAUUACAAAUUUACAAUGUUUUUCAUUUUGAAAUAUCUUCUUUAAUCGAAUGGGCUUCGGCUCUUUUUUAAUUGCAUAUUUGGGUUCCCCCUAAGCUUGUUUUUGUAUUUCGAAAGGUGGGUAGUGAUGUACUGCUGUAUCAAUUAUAUCCAUCUUUGAACCUCUUGCUGUUGAAAUCGUGUGGACUUGAAGCUCAUCUGUGGAGUUGCGCCUCUGCUUCUGAGUGUAAAUAUGAUUUUUACUAGUAUAUAUAUAGAAGCGUCACUGUGUGUGUGUUCCUCAUCGACGUACCUCGAAGCUCUUGAACACUGUACUCGUGGGAUCUCGAGUGGUUUUAAGGCAUGCUUUCAAACUUCUCUAUAUAUCCCGUGUGCUAGUAUCAGUGUUCGGUAACACUUUAUAUAUAGGUUGUGUUACCCUUUAAUUUUUUUUUUUUUUUGGUUGUUUGCACUUCUGAUUGGGUUAAUCUCUUAAAUAAUGUUCUUAAGUUAGCAAAAAGAACCAAAAAACAUAUCUAUUUCUGAACAAGAUUACAGUAUUUUUUUUUUGUAAAUGUGCGGUUCACCAAAUGAGGGUUUUUUUUUAGAAAUAGUCCCACACACUAGCUGAAUUCUCAAAUCAGCAUUUUUUUACUAACUGUUUUUUCUACGUAACUAAUUUUAUAUCUGAGUUGGAAAAGAGUUUCAUUAAUCCCUGAUACAAACUAAAAAUAAAAUCCCCAGAUGUAUCAUUUUAUUUUAACAGAACAAAAGUUCAUAUUCAUUUCAUUUUGUCAGCUACAUGGCAUGAAAAAAUAAGGUUCAGAACAAUUUAUAAAUAAAUGUGUGUAUAUGGCUUUCGUUUCCUUUAAAAUCAAUCUGUAUAUGGGGCAUAAUAUAUUUGUGUAAUGGAUCCGUUAUAUGAGUUUUUAAGUGUAACAACCAUAUGAGAUUUUUCUCAACAAAUUCACCUGUUAAGCUUAUAUCAAUGUAAUAAAAGUAAUUUUGUUGAUAAUAUAUUUACAUAGGAAAUAAUACAGUAUGAAACGGUAACAGCGUUUUAGACUUUUAGUUAAAACCUUUCCGUUACGAAUUUCUUGUUUCAUUACUCUUAAGUAUUAUUUCGGUUUUACGUUUUUUGUUGCUAAUCCUGACUCGCAACAGAAACAUAAAAAUGGAAGAACAGAAUGUCAACUUGGAAACCUGAAACAACAGCUCAACGGAAGAAGACACAAAAAAAGAAAAGAUAUCGAAACCCAUAAAAACUUGUCCAAAGUUCUUUCUAAUCACAAUAACCAUUAGAGAAAAUAAGACAUAUCUAACCAUUCCAAUUAGCAGAGUAAUUCAUUAAAAAGAAUAAAGCCUAGUAAUGGAGGAGACGAAGCAAGCAUUGAUAGCGUCGUUGCCUGAGGCACCAAAAAAACCAAAGUCGAAAGUACAGAGAGUGGCGAGGAAUGCAUUCAAAGGAACAGCUCAUCUGUCAAAUUUGCUCCCGACCGGUUCGGUGAUGGGUUUUCAAAUAAUGUGUCCGGUCCUAACCCAUCAAGGUCAGUGUCCAACCAUUACCAGUCGCUGGCUCACCUGCUUCCUCGUCUUCGUCUGCGCCAUCUCUUGCUUCCUCCUCUCCUUCACCGACUCCUUCAGAGACCCACGCGGCAAGGUAUAUAUAUACAUAUCUCUCUCAUUCGCCAUUUCUUUCUUAAGUUAUGUUGCUACGUUUUGAAAACAUGAUUCUAUUUUAACAAAUAAAACAACAAAUGGUUUUUUGAAUGCGUUUCGUGAUUAAAAUGCAGGUAAGGUACGGAUUGGCGACGCCGAGUGGGUUAUGUGUGAUGGAUGGAACGAUUACUCUGACGGAGGAGGAGAAGGAAAAAUAUAAGCUCAGGUUUCUUGAUUUCGUGCACGCAACCAUGUCAAUGCUCGUCUUCUUCGCAAUCUCCAUGUUCGAUCAGAACGUGAUACGUUGUUUAUUCCCGGUUCCUUCAGAGGAAACUAAGGAGCUCCUUUCCAGUUUGCCCUUUAUCAUCGGCGUUGUUUGCGGCGGCUUCUUUCUCGCGUUCCCCACUCGCCGUCACGGCAUUGGAUCUCCCCUCACAAAGGAAUAAAUUUCAUAUCUCUAGAACAGGGAAGAAUAAAAACAAAGACAUAAACUUUUGUAAACACAAAAAGAUUUUAUCUUCAAUUUUUGUUUCUGGAGGACAUGUACCAAAAUCUUGAAAAAAAAUUACUUUGAAAAUUUAAAACAAACAGGGGAAACUAGACCCCAAUCUUGGAUUACUAGAAGGGAAGCAAUUCCCUGUAAAUCGUAUAUUACCAAUCCGACCUGAAUCGCUCACAUCGCAAUACAGAAGCUUUAAUCAUCACCCAAGAAGCUUCUUAAAACCAGCCUUCUGUUCUGCAGUUAACCUCGCUGGAAACUUGAUGUUGAACUUGAUCCUUAAGUUGCCUUUCUUUGUCUGAUCUUUCUGAAGUGGCAUUCCCUCUUUAGGCACCACCUCUUCAUACUCUGGAUGGAUCACGUUUGUGACAGGGAUUGUAAGUGUCCGACCAUCAAGUGUCGUUAUGUUAGCGGUAUAGCCAGUUAAGGCAUCAGCUAGUGAGAUCUUCUGUGUGACAAUCAGGUCGUUUCCAUCACGUGUGAACACUGGAUGAGGUUUCUCGUCGAUGAUGAAGACAAGAUCCGCUGGAAUCACGCCGGGAUGUUCAUUGCCUUUCUCUGGGAAUGUGAUCUUCGUGCCUUUCUUCCAUCCCGGUUUCACUCCAAUCGUUAGAAUCUCUUCCGUUUGCAUUGCUUUGCUGCAUUUUUAGCAGAAUACAAAAAAAAAAACGAACACAGAGAUUAGAUAUUGCCAAGACUACAACUAGGGCCAGCUCAAAUCAAACAAGUAAAGGUGCACUGAUCAAUGCCUGUCAAAUCCUUUUUGGAAUGACAUGUACAUUAUAACCUAAAAGCUUGAAACUUUAGCCACAGAAACGUUCAUAGUUUGGGAGGAUGUAUAUUUAAGAUCACAUUCCUUAUAUGGGACUGGUAGAUAAAAAAGGCUUAAUGUAUGCGAUCGAAAUGGUAUGUGAGUUUGAUCGCUUACCCGCUGACAUCUACAAUCUCUCUGGAGAUCUUCAUCUUCUUGGUGGUUCCUUUGUAGAGAUCUUCAAGGCUACAAGGCAGCUUGUUCUCGAUUGGAGCCACUUUCCUAGCUCCACCGUGAUGAUGAUGAUGAUGGUGAUGAUGCAUUGAUCCACCACCACCUCCUCCUCCUUCACCAAACGAGGCAUACAUGUCAUCACCAAACAUGCGGCUAGAGAAUCUCUGCCCUCCGCUGCCACCAGCGCCUCCUCCACCAAACGGGGUCGAGAACCCGAAAAACUCAGCGAAUAUAUCAUCUGCACUUCUCGGGUUGAAUCUGAAAGAUGAAGGUCCAUCACCCGUUGAGAAGUAGGAGGCUCCACCAGGUCCACCAGCAGCAUUAGGAGGUGGCACGUUCCCUUUUAGCCCUUCCUCACCGUAUUGAUCAUACACCGCUCUCUUUUGUGGAUCGCUAAGAACCUAAACAACUCACAUCCAAGACCAACAUUAGCCACAUCAAAGCCUGAAUCAAAAUUAAACCAUCUUAGUAUGCUUCUGUGAAUCCUAAAGUUACAAACUUGCACUGAUUGCAAAGUAGAGAGAUUCCUAAGAGGUUCUUAAUACCAAAACUACAGUGAGAUUGAGUCAGAAUAUCGUGAGAAGAAGCAAAAAAUGAAGAACUUUGGGGACCCAAUCGGCGAUUCGAUUCGUCCUCAGAUAAUCUAGUUAGCUCAAAAAUAAAGCAACCAUCUUUUACAUUAUACUAUGAUUCGAAAUACUCGGAACACGAAAUCUGGGAAACCAAGGAGCCAACGCAACAUCAAAUCGUGAAAUCAGCAAUUAGUGAUCGUGAAAGCAGAGUAAUUGCAUCUCAAAUCGGGACGAAGUGUUUCAACUCCGCCGCCGACAGUAUCACGGCGAGGAAAUCUAUAACUAGAAAUGAAAGUAAAAAAAAAACUGGGGGACGAAUUCAAUAAAGCAAUCAUCGAUUUAAAUGAGACCGAGUGGAGAUGAGCAUAAAAAACAUACGUCGUAGGCUUCAGAGAUCUGCUUGAACUUAGCCUCAGCGUCUUUUUUGUUGUUAGGGUUCUUGUCGGGAUGCCAUUUCAUGGCGAGUUUUCUGUAAGCUUUCUUAAGGUCAUCGUCGUUGGCGCUUCUAUCAACCUGUAGAACCUUGUAAUAAUCCACACCCAUCUCACCUUCUUCUUCUUCUUCUCUCUUUCGCUUCUUCACUUUUCCUGAUUGAGAUUGGUAGAAGGAUUAUUAUCAGAGAAGAUUUUGGUACUUUUUCUGGGUUCCUUUCUCCGUCGACGUGUUCUUCUUCCUCUCUUUCUCUUUCACAAUUGAUGUUUCUUACUAGUAGAGAAUCUCGUGGAAGGUUCGAGAAAAACACGAUCUCUAUCUCUCUUCGUUGACGGUGUUAGCCCUCUUGGCUCUUGCCUUCCUUCUUUCCAUUUCUCUUUUAUUAUCGUUGAAGUAAUGGAAUUUUCCGUUAUUUUUUUUUUCUGUGUGACUCGACUUUUCCAUAAUUAGAAAAAAAACAAAGUUAAUAUCGAUGAAUACGUUUGUAAAUUUAACAAUUUAUUUCGAAUUUAAUCCAAAAAAUUGUAUAACUUUUUAAUUAAAGAUGAAUUAUACAUUUUGUCAAAAAAUAAAUCAACAAUGCAUCAUACAGAUUUGAAUAUGGAUGUUGGGACAUCGACUACACUUAACACAAACUAUUAAACUAUAUCUUUUAAUUAAAAAUUGUGUAAAUUUUCUGUUACUUUUGUUCAGAAGUAUGAGACCCGUUAAUACAACAUCGUUUUCUAGGCUAUUUUAUCGUAUGCAGCCUGAUUGAUGAGCAUCGACUGAACACGAGAAUUAAUUUGUUUUUUCUGUCGCUAACCAAGAGAAUAGUUAUUGAAAACUUUCACAAAACAGCUAGACUUCACUCUUCCAAGCAAAUUACAACUUUUAUGGAGAUAAUGUAGUAUGCAUAAAUGUCGUUGUUGUUGUGUUAGCAUCUGAGUUUAAAAUAAUUUGAUUAAAUGUUUAAUGUUAUUGAGAAAUAUAUUUGUGUGGAAUCAAUACUAGAGGCCCUAAACAAGUGUAUUAUAUACAGAGUCUGUGUCGGAAAAAAUUCAAAUAUUUAUACAGAGAAUGGCAGAGAAGUAUGGCCCAGUAAGUAGCCCGACAGAGUUAUGGGCUGAGCCCAUAUUGGAAUUCUUGAUCGAGGGGUAGUCUUCUCCGUAUGAGUGUAUUUACUUGUGUAUUUGUUUUCUAUAAACAUCUUUCUCCUUCUACCGUUCACCUUUUCCCUCAGUUCUAGAAGAAAAGCAUAAUACCUCUCUGACGUGCACUUUCAGACUUAGGGUUUCAGCGAUAUCCCAUUAGCUAGCAGAAGCUGCUCGAUUUGUCCGAGUUUUCGAAUUUCCGGUAUCGUUUGUUGGAUUUGUCAGAUUGAUCGGGUGCUAGUUUGACUGAGAUGGCUCCAGUUCCGGAUCCGAACAACGUUAGUGGUGGUGCGAAGCGGGAUGAAGCUACGGUGAAAGUUCCUUCUAAGGACCCCAAGAAGAAGGAUGAUAAAAAGGAGGAGGAUCUGGUGAGUUUCUCUUUUGUUCGAUUUUGCACGAUUAGCCUGUAGAUUUUGCAGUCAGUUGAAAUCUGAAUCGACUAUAGUAGUUUAAUGAAGCAGCUUUUCAGAAAUUUAGGGAUUUAGCUCAUGAGCUGUUCAUUUGUUUAGCUCAUGAGCUGCUCAUUGUUAAAAUUCACGUUAACAAGUUCUGGGAAAAUAGUUCUCUAGCUGGGAUUUACUUCCAUGGCCUUAGAUAUUCGGAACUUUUAGCACUAUAACUGUGGCUACAGCCAGUCUUUUAGCUAAUUUUUGAUUACUAGAUGACUAAGUUUGCAUCUGAUGUGAUUGUAGUCUGAAGAGGACUUGCAACUAAAGCAGAACCUGGAGCUCUAUGUUGAGAGGGUUCAGGACCCCAAUCCUGAGUUGCAGAAGGCUGCUCUUGAAAGCAUGAGGUAAUUAGCCAUCCUCGAGUUGAUUCGCUGGAAAUACCCAGAUAAUUUUCGCUAGGGAUUGUUUUCUGGAAUUGUGUAACUCUUUUCCUGGUUUAAGUACAGUAUUCAUGUUUUUUAUCAUCCUUUUUCGUAGUCUAUCCUUGAUUUGGUUUAAUCUUUUUGUCUGUAGGCAAGAAAUCCGUGCCUCAACAAGCUCCAUGACAUCAGUUCCCAAACCCCUUAAGUUUCUCCGUCCUCAUUACGGAACUCUUAAGGAAUUUCAUAAAAAUAUGGCAGAGUCCGAUCUCAAGGUACGUCGUCAGACACUUUAAGAAUUUAGCACCUCGUUGCUCAUAGUGAGUAUGGAUUAAAGAUUGCAGUUCCUGUAUUUGCAGAAAAUGUUGGCUGAUAUACUGUCUGUCCUGGCACUGACCAUGUCUGCUGAGGGUGAAAGGGUAUGCUUUCUUGCUACAAUAGUAGGGAUAGUAAAAUUUUCUUACCUAUUGCUAUCAUAUUCAUAUCACUGGAUUCCUUUUUAUUUUCUGUUUGUUUCCUCUUAUGAUAUGCCUUUAACAGAUCUGCAUUUGGUGGUUCUUGGUAGAAUUUGACAAAGUUAUUUGCUGGUCCUUUGUUAUGCAAUACUCUUUCAGGAAAGCUUAGGCUAUAGGUUGACUGGAUCUGAGGGUGACAUUGGAUCGUGGGGUCAUGAGUAUGUCAGGAAUUUGGCCGGAGAGAUUGCAGAAGAGUAUACAAUGCGUCAGGUUAGAAAACAAUUUGGUCUUUUGCAAUAUUUUUCGCUCGAGUUUUAUUCAUAUUCAAGUAACGCCAUGGAUAGUUAUGUUUGGUUUUCUCUGCUGGUCCGUUAUUAUGAUAGUGUGCUUUCUUUUUUAUUUAGAAUUGUUUCUGAUUAUAUGCUUGUUCUUGUUUUGUUAAAUCAGGGUGAGGAGUCCUCUAUUGAGGACUUAAUGGACCUUGUGCAGCAAAUUGUUGCUUUUCACAUGAAGGUGAGAUCCUUGUCAUGCUUAGUUUUCUUGGCUCGUUGACCCCUUGUAAUAAAUUAACAACACUUUCAUUUUUAGGCUUGAGAAUUGCACCUCUUUUGUUUUCUUAUCUCUGAAGGAUUCCAUUUUCUUCCUUACAGCAUAAUGCAGAAACCGAAGCUGUUGACCUCUUAAUGGAUGUUGAGGAUCUUGAUCUCUUACUUGAGCAUGUAGACCGCACAAAUUUCAGGAGGACGUGCAACUAUCUCACGAGUGCAGCAAAGUAAUUAUAAUUAUGAUCAUCUUAUUCAUGUGACUGGUUUUUCACACUCAUUUGUGGUUUUAGAUCACUCAUACUGUAAUUUUCGUAUGAGUCAAGCUCUUAUGAGCUUUGCUUGGUUAUUUCAUACAGAACCACCCCCUUUGACAUUGUAUGUUUUGUUUUUUUUUUCAGAUACCUUCCAGGGCCGGAUGACAUGCUGGUCUUAGAUAUUGCUUACAUGAUCUACAUUAAGUUUGAAGAAUAUCCAAACGCUCUGCAAAUUGCAUUAUUUCUUGAUAACAUGCAGGUCUGGGUUCUAAUUUUUCAUACAGAACUUAAUAUCCUCUCUGCACCAUUGGGGCAGCUGGAAAAAGCUUUUCUAAGUUAUGUAUUUUCUUACAUGAUAUAUAUUUUCCGUAUUUGCAGUAUGUGAAGCAAGUAUUUACCUCAUGCACUGAUCUGCUAAGAAAGAAACAGUUCUGCUACAUGAUUUCGCGCCAUGUAAGUGCUCACUGAUUAACAUCACUAUAGAGAUUCAGUCGCUGAUGAUUCACUAUUUUUAUUUAUCUUUUUCUUUUGCUAACCCCCAUGCAGGGCAUCACCUUUGAGCUUGACCCUGAGAUGGUUGCAGAUGACGUUGACAGAGAAAUGCUACAAGAUAUUGUUAACAACACUAAGUUAAGUGAAGGAUAUCUGACGCUUGCAAGGGAUAUUGAGGUCAUGGAGGCCAAGACGCCUGAAGACAUCUACAAGGUAUAUCAUUUUCAUCGAAAUGAUGCCCGUUACUGGUUUGUUUUGCAAUAGGGUAUGUUUUUGUCACUGUCUCUUAUCUAUUGAAUGAAAUUUCGCAGGCUCACCUGCUUGAUGGCAGGGCUAGCUCCGCUCCAAGUACGGAUUCUGCUAGACAUAAUCUGGCUGCGACUUUUGUGAAUGCAUUUGUGAAUGCUGGUUUUGGCCAGGUGUGAUUACUGAUUCUUAUGGUGUGCAAAAUGAGAUGAAGUUUGUAAGCUUGGCUGCCCUUUUGAUACAUUCACAUAUUGCAGGACAAAUUAAUGACAGUACCAUCAGACUCAACCAGUGGAUCUGCUGGAAAUUGGCUCUUCAAAAAUAAAGAACAUGGAAAGACCAGUGCAGCCGCCAGUCUGGUAUGCAUCUUCUUACGUGAUAGGUUGACUAGCUGUGUUCAUAUCUUGGAAGUGAAAAUUGUAAUAGGACCUUGUUGUUUCCCAAUGGUAGGGUAUGAUCCUAUUGUGGGAUGUGGACUCCGGACUUGCUCAACUUGACAAAUAUUUCCAUAGUAAUGAUAAUCCAAUCAUUGCUGGAGCUCUGCUGGGAGUUGGGAUUGUUAAUUGCGGCAUUAAAAAUGAUUGUGAUCCUGUGAGUUGAUUUCUCUUGCGAUUUUAUUGGAAGCUCUAUGUUCAUUAUUUUUCGCAUACACUCCCCUCACUCAGCUUUCUUUCUCAGGCAUUGGCCCUUCUUGGAGAAUAUAUUGAGAAAGAGGAUCCAUCUGUCCGAAUUGGUGCUAUUAUGGGUCUUGGAAUUGCAUAUGCGGGUUCCCAAAAUGAUCAGGUGAAGUUAUAUUAUCUACGUACCUAUAGUGAUAUGUUUAAUGCUAUGUUGAAGAGACAAUAACAUGCUCACUGUUUGGACAGAUAAGAAGCAGUUUGUCUCCAAUACUGAAUGAUGCAAAAGCACCUCUCGAUGUGAUUGCCUUUGCUGCACUUAGUUUGGGGAUGAUUUACGUUGGUUCGUGUAACGAAGAGGUUGCACAAUCUAUUAUAUUUGCUUUGAUGGAUCGGAGUGAGGCAGAACUGGGUGAAGCCAUCACUCGUUUCUUGCCUCUUGGACUUGGACUUUUGUACCUUGGCAAACAGGUAGACAACGUGUCGUACUUGAUAAAUUUCUUGUUUGCUUACUCGAUCGUUUUUUCCUGGCUUAUCAGUGUCAACUUGUUCCCAUAUCGAGCAGGAAAGUGUGGAGGCUACCGCAGAAGUCUCAAAGACGUUCAAUGAGAAGAUCAGAAAGUAUUGUGAUAUGACACUUCUUUCCUGUGCGUAUGCUGGAACUGGGAAUGUCCUUAAGGUAUCUGAUCAAGUAUACUGGUGGUUAUAUUACAUAGUUCAUUGCUUUCUAGUUUAGUUGCUGAAUCUUCAAUUGUCCAGGUCCAAGACCUUCUGGCUCAGUGUGGAGAGCAUCUGGAGAAAGGUGAUAUUCACCAGGGUCCAGCUGUGCUUGGAUUAGCGAUGGUUGCUAUGUCUGAAGAAUUGGGUCUUGAUAUGGAGAUCCGUUCUCUGGAGCGUGUGCUACAGUAUGGAGAACAGAACAUUAGGCGUGCAGUGCCUUUGGCCCUUGGUCUCCUAUGUAUAUCCAACCCAAAGGUGACUGCUACUUUUGCUGCUUAAGAAUACUGCUGCUUAAAAAAUCUAAUUUUACUUUUAUGCUUACGAAUACUGCUGUUACUCUCUAAUCUUUUCCAUAAAUCCAGGUCAAUGUUAUGGACACCUUGAGCCGGCUUAGCCAUGACACAGAUUCAGAAGUUGCCAUGGUGAGUUGUCUUUUCGCCACUCACGGUUGAGAUGGUAGUUAAUUCAUUGACUUAAAUUUCAGCGUUGGACUGAUGUUUCGUUGCACUGACUCCUAUAGGCAGCAAUUAUUUCUCUUGGUUUGAUCGGCGCUGGAACUAACAAUGCAAGGAUUGCUGGCAUGCUUAGAAAUCUCUCCAGCUAUUAUUACAAGGAUCCCAGCCUUCUCUUCUGUGUAAUGUGUUAAAGUUUAUGUUUUUGCUUUCGUGCAAUAAACACAGUUUCUAUUGAUAGGCCUGUUCUCAUUGUGUCAAGUCAUAUCUCAGGUGCGUAUUGCUCAAGGGCUGGUGCAUAUGGGAAAGGGUCUCCUAAGUCUCAGUCCCUUCCACUCCGAACGGCUCUUGCUAUCACCGUAAGUUGUUAUUUUUAUAUAUACUAUUAUGAAUAAUUAGCUUUUUAAAGCCUCACCCUCAAAAUCCUAAACAUGAGUGUUGUAUAUUGUACUCAGAACGGCCCUUGCUGGUAUAGUGACAUUGUUACAUGCAUGCCUUGACAUGAAAUCCAUCAUACUGGGGAAAUACCAUUAUGUGCUCUACUUCCUCGUAUUGGCGAUGCAGGUGAGUGCAAAUAUUCUAUCUGAGGAAUUUUCUUUUUUGUUUGGUUAAAUGGAUUAAGAAAUGUUUAUAUAGUAACACGAUACGGUUUGAAUGUGUAGCCAAGGAUGAUGCUGACGGUGGAUGAGAACCUGAAGCCCAUCUCGGUGCCAGUGCGGGUAGGACAAGCGGUUGAUGUGGUUGGACAGGCAGGUCGACCCAAGACAAUCACUGGUUUCCAAACCCACUCAACACCUGUUCUCCUUGCUGCUGGGGAGAGAGCGGAACUCGCAACUGACAAGUAUUUUGUUCCUCUAAACCAUUUUUCCUACUUGAAACGAAACUCUGUUUGGAACUCGCAACUGACAAGUAUGUUAUCUCAUUUUUGGUCACAGGUACAUUCCAUUGUCGCCCAUAUUAGAAGGUUUCAUCAUAUUGAAAGAAAAUCCAGACUACAGAGAGGAGUGAAUGCAAAGUUGUGGAACUGUUAGACAUUUGGAUACUCUCAGGAAGAGCUAUAUGGUUUUAUGUGCACAAUAAGUCCUUUUUCCUUAGUUUACUCGCUUAUGUUCCCAUGAAUGGAUUUAGUUAAACAAUAUCCCUUUUUUCAAUCGCUAAUUGUGCACUUUAUCAUUCUAAAGUUGGAUAAGUUUCAAUGUUCCAAUUUUUAAAACUUGCUCAUCUAAUUCAACUCGCUCUACUUCUUUUACUUCUUUUCUCCUAGUAAGAGGAAAAAGAUAAGGUGGGCUCAUGUGUUCAUGCCCCCGGAAACUUCAACAAAUUCAUGCUUUGUUCGCACACUAACUUAAUCUUCCGGAUUUGGCAAAAAGUAUGGAUAAUAUAAAAUGUUAAGAAGGUGAUCCGGCAGGCUACAUAUACAUAUAUGGCGUGCACGAUUCACUCGUUUACAACUUCUCUUUAUUUUAUUAUUUUGCACAUCUUGGUUCCCAGCUACCACAAAAUAAUUCCCUCGUAAAAUAAAAGUAUAAAAUCUUAUUGAAAUUAACCACCAACAAAAGUAAAUUUAUAUAUGUACAUGUAUAUUGAGUGUUUAGUUUCUACCACUAAGUGUAUGAAUUUAACAAACAAAGUAAAAAAUGAAUGGAAUACAGUUAUUGACCGUUUGUUUUGGUAUAAUUACCAUAUGGAUAUGGUAUAUAUCAAUCUCCUCCACCUAGAAAAAAUAAAGUGUAAUCUAAUGGCCGCGACCUCUUGGACUCGGUCCCGACGCCAGACUCUGAAACCAGGAAUCCACCGUCGACUUCAUCUUCUCCACCUCCAUCACCGUCGCUCUUCCCUCUCCUAAAUUCUCCGUUAGAACUCUCCCCGCCGCGGCUGGAACCACCACGUGUUCUACCACCAACAACGCUACCAUCAUCACCACAAACAAAAUAGUAGACCAACUAACUCUCCUCAUUUGAUUUUACCCUUUGUGUGGAACCGUAAAAAGAAAAAUAAGAGCUUCGAAGUAAUCAGGUAAUAAAUUAGUAUUUCCGGGGAGUUUUAUAUUGCUUGGUUAAGAAAGAAAAUUUAGGAGUUAUGGUUAUUGUUGGAUAGAUAAAUGAGAGGGAGUAUGUGUAUAUAUAUACACUUAGUUACGAGGAAGCGGUCAUGACUCAAGAGUUCAUCACUUAGGUCGGAUUUUACCGGCGCCAUCUCACGAUUUGCGUGUUGACCAAGAAUUGUGACUUGAACGGGUCGCUCUACAACACUUUACGAUGUGUGAAAUUACAUCAAUGCCCAUUUUGGUGUCACUGAUGAUUUUUUUUUUUAGUUUAAAAUAAUAAACCAGUUUUUUGUAAAGGAAACUUCAUUUUUCAAAUUAUUUAUCAAAAACGAAUUACAAUCCAAUAUAAAAUAUGAUUUUGAUUUAACAUUUAUUAUAUAUCACAAAUUAACACAGGCUUAGCUUUGUUGUGAAAAGUUAUGUUUGAGGUUUGAAACUUAACGCGUAAGUCAAGAUUUGACUAAUGAAAGUACCGCAAGAGGACCUAUUCACAGUUUCACCUAAAUAACUCUCUUAUCAUUUAUCAGUUUAGUUUGGGGCAAAAACAUUGAAAAAUAAACACAUCAUGGGAUGUAAUAAGGUUGAAAUGCGAGGUAAAAUUACGUAUGAAUUGUGUUAUUAGGUACAAGUUAAUAUUAUAAGUAAACAAAGAAGUGUUUUGGUAGGUGAGUUUUCCUGUUUUAAAACUCAAGUGAUUUGCAUGUGAGUUUUAUUGUUCAAUAGAAAAUGCUAGUCACAUAAGCAUAUAUCUAUUCAAAGAGUGUUGUUUUUAAUUAUUAUAUUCAACCUUUUUUUUAAUGUAUUGUACAUCUAAGACUCUUUCAUUUCAAGAAAACUUGAAAUUCAAAACAUGAGAAUUUGACUUGUCCCAAUGCAAGGGAUAUGCUUGUGCUACUACUACCAAACUAGUAAAAGUCCGACGCUAACAUUUUUUUUCAAAGCUCAUGCCUAUUUUUAUUGUGUAUUUACACUAUUACCAUAAACAAUUUGGACAUUUUUUUGCCGGAAAAUCAGAACAUAUAUUGAGUUUAAUAUAUAUUAGUUCUUGAAUAUAUUGACUAUUUGAAAACAUAUAAAAAAUCACAAAAUGAGUUAAUUUGUACUAUUAAAAAAAAAGUAAUUUCAAAUAUAUGUUAUCCAAAAAAAUUAUAUACGGCCCAUUUAAAUACUUUUUUGUGAAUAUCGUAGCGGGAGAAAACCUAUUUUAUCGGCCCAUCUCAGGAGGCACAAGCUUCGUCUCCUUCAGCUCCUCCCUAAACCUCUCUAGGGUUUUUCUGUCUGCAACCACAUCUCUUUCACUCUACCUCUCUCUCUCUCUCUCCCCCCGUUAGCUUCUCCGUGACCUUUUUGUAGACGUAAUCAAUGAAGGUUAAGGUUAUAUCGAGAUCAGUUGAUGAAUUCACUCGAGAAAGAAGUCAGGAUCUUCAGGUAAUUUGCAUAUUCAAAUCGUUCACAUAUCAUAAAAUCAGGGUUCAGUUUCGAUUCCCGCCUCAAUUUCUCUCCACGACGUGGUUAUCAAUGCGUUGCAACUUGGUGUGAUUUUUUCAGCGGGUCUUUCACAACUUCGACCCAAGUCUCCGACCUAUGGAGAAGGCAGUGGAAUACAAGAGGGCUCUUAAUGCUGCCAAAUUAGAUAAGGUGUUGUAAUCAGUUCCCUUCAAAUCUCUCUAUCUUCUGUUGAAUUUUGAUUUUUCAGUGUGCUGUUUAGUUCUGUUAUUGAUGAAAAGCAAUGGAAAAAUUCCUCAAAUUUUCCCUGUGUUUGUUUAGAUACAUGCAAAGCCGUUUAUGCAUGCCAUGGAUGGGCAUCGCGAUGGCAUCUCAUGUAUGGCGAAGAACCCGAAUUACCUGAAGGAUAUCUUCUCGGGUUCUAUGGAUGGAGGUGAAUAUCCAAACUCUUGUUUUCUCCAAGUCUUAACUCUAAUUGAAACUUUUAAGGGAUGAUAGUAACUUAUACUAUGUUACUAUUCUGCAGAUAUUCGCCUUUGGGAUCUUGCUACGAGGUUAAAAUCUUGAAAACUCUACUCUUCUGAACAAAUCUGUAGCUCAUUUAGUCUUUCCUGUAUAAAGAAUUCUAUGUUCUGUGCUUUUGGUAAAUGUGUUCUGGAACUUGGAACAAACAGGCGCACAGUUUGCGAAUUUCCUGGUCAUCAAGGUGCCGUGCGUGGUCUUACAGUCUCAACCGAUGGCAAUGUAUUGGUUUCAUGCGGAACUGAUUGCACGUAAGAUAUAAACAACUUAUUCUUAGACUCAUUCAGUCCCUGACCCGCAUUUAACGCUUUCAGUCUAAGAUGAAUGGGUUUAUGCAGUGUUCGUUUGUGGAAUGUUCCUCGUCCUUCGCUUCAAGAUUUUAACAUUUCAUCUGAAAAUUCUAUUGAGGUGAUUAUUUGUCAAUUUUCUUGUAAGACUGGAUCAUCAAGAGUACUUUUCGAAAGUUUCCUUUGAAUAACAAGCUUAUUACUCCAAUUAUCCUUUCAGCCAUCUGCGGUCUAUGUCUGGAAGAAUGCUUUCUGGUAGACUUUCUUACCAUCUUGUUUCAAUUUCUCAUGAAUCUUUCGGUCCACAAAACUGGAGGUAUUAAGCUUUCUUUCAUAUCUAGGGGUGUUGAUCAUCAGUAUGGAGGGGAACUUUUUGCUACGGCCGGAGCUCAAUUGGAUAUAUGGAAUCAUAAUAGGUACUCAGGACUCUUACUAAACAAGAAAUCUCUGAUGUUUUUCUAUCUUUAUUUUAAACAGUGCUUAUAGUUCUAUCUUUUUGUAAUUAGGUCUCAGCCAGUUCAAAGUCUCCAGUGGGGAACUGACUCUGUAAUAUCUGUCCGGUUUAAUCCUGGAGAGCCUGAUUUAUUGGCAACAUCUGCUAGGUAUAUACUUUCUACUUUAUACUUGUAUAUAUUAUGUAACUAUUUGAGCUAGACUUUCCAAAGCUUUAUCUAACAGUGUAAGAGGGUUUCUCUUCUUCCAGUGAUCGCAGCAUAACCAUUUAUGAUCUCCGCAUGUCUUCUGCAGCAAAGAAAAUUAUCAUGAUGGUAUAGUUGAAAAUCGAUCGCUCAUUCUCUUCAUUUGUGAAUAUUUUUUAUUCUUAAGUGCAACCUUGGUCUGCAAAUUACUUAUCUUUUGGCAGACGAAAACAAAUUCAAUCGCAUGGAACCCUAUGGAGCCUAUGAACCUGACAGCUGUAAGUGAUAAUCAUGAAGUGAAAUUUUCUCUGAUGGGUUUUUCUACCUGGGGGAAAUCAGCAUUUGGCCUUCGCUUAUGUGUUAAUUUUAUCCUAUGGUGAAAAUGAGUAGGCUAAUGAAGAUGGCAGCUGCUAUAGCUUUGAUGGUAGAAAGCUGGACGAAGCCAAGUGUGUGCAUAAAGAUCAUGUUUCUGCGGUGUAAGAAUGAUAAAUACCAAUUAUCUGCGAGAAAGUUCUACGGGAUAGUAUCCUUUUAAUGCAUUAUGAUUUAUCUAAUUUCAUCAUUUUUUAGGAUGGAUAUUGAUUAUUCACCAACUGGUCGUGAAUUUAUUACGGGAUCUUAUGAUCGAUCAGUGAGAAUCUUCCCCUACAAUGGAGGACACAGCAGGGAAAUCUACCAUACAAAGAGGAUGCAGAGGUAUAAUUCUAGAAGCCAACUCUGUUUAUACUUUACAUUCAGAUGUUCUUAAUUAGUUUUAUUCUCGGCAAUUUCUUUAUUUUAAUGCGUUUGUUUUUUUCUUGUAGAGUAUUCUGUGUCAAGUAUAGUUGUGAUGCGACCUAUGUUAUAUCAGGCAGUGAUGACACUAAUGUCAGGCUAUGGAAGUCCAAAGCAUCAGAGCAAUUGGGAGUUGUAAGAAUCUGUGCAUCUUCUUGUUACACAGCAUUAGGUUUCUUUAUACAAAAUGAAAACGAAAAAUUUGGAAAAGGAAAAUACACACAGGCUAAGCCAUGGAUUCAAAAGUGCAUUUGAUUGUGAGAUAUUAUUUGUACAACUUAGGUAAAUCCUCAUAUGUUAAUUGGUGUAUUGUGUUGCAGCUUCUUCCAAGGGAACAGAGGAAGCAUGAGUACGACGAGUCUGUGAAGAAUCGAUACAAGCAUCUUCCUGAGGUCAAGCGCAUUGUCAGGUACACGGCCAAGAGUGUUUUCUUUAUUCCUUAUUUUUCCAACUUUGGAGAUUGUCAAAAUAUUAAUAACAUGAACGUUUUGGGGUGAUGUGAAAUACAGACACAAGCACGUGCCGAAACCUAUAUUCAAAGCAAUAGGGAUAAUCCGAGCCAAGAACGAUUCGAAGAGGAGGAAAGAUGCCCGAAGGAAAGCUCACAGUGCUCCAGGAACCGUUAUCACUGUACCUCUGCGCAAAAGAAGGAUCAUCAAAGAAGUGGAGUGAGCUUACCUGUUCUCGAUUUACGUUUAAUAUUACGUUGUUAAGAUUUGUUAGAAGCCAAGAAUGUGUUUGAAGCCAGAAAAUGAACAAAAAACAGAAAACACAUCUAUAAGAUUACAUUUUUCCUAAAUUUAUUGUAUUUGUUUCUGUAACAUGUCAUACAUGUAUACAAAUAUUUGCUGAAGUAUCAUGAAAAAAGAAACAGACAUGUAACAAAACAUACAAGAUACCAAAAAAGAGAACAAAAAUUUUAUUUAACUGUGCUUGAUUGUGAACAAGGUGUCGAUGGUCUUAUGACUUGCAUCCAAUCCAAGCAAAUAUAAAGGAACGAUACCACGGACUAAAUAAUUCUAAAAAGCGAGAUCCUUAGUUCGUGUUUUAGGAUAAAAAGAAAGCAUUCUUACAAGCAUCUCUGGACCAGUCAUACAAAUCUUCAUAAUCUAAAAAUCAAAAGACCUCCACGGUAGAAGAAUCAGAACCAAACACUCUCAAGGGUUAACUUCCAUACACAUACUAAUAAGAUCACUGAUCAACGUUAAUCAGUUCGUAUUCAACAAGAGACAGAUUGUUAUCCUCUUUGACUGUGAAAGACGCAGGUUCAGUGGCUUCGAUACGUCCCCAUUUAUCAACCCCUAGCCUCAUUGUGCCCUUGAACAUGUCUAUCCUUGAAUUGCGCAGUAUCACCGUCUCCCCUGGCUUCAUGAUAUCAACUAUACACACAAAAUCAAUGAAUCAAUCCAAUCAGUAGGCCACAGGGAUCGCACAAUAACUGGUACAAGACUAGAUGUUUUAAUAGGAAAAGCUCUGAAAGUUUUGAAAUCAUGAAGAACAUUUAACUCAUCAUAGCUCAACAUCUCACCAAGCAAGAAGUUUCACCAUCACUAAUCGGGUAAGAUGAAGUAUACAUUAAACAUCUCCGGUCGAAUUAGCGUAAUGAUAUUAUACAACCAUUAAAGUCACUAAAUUGCACAAAAACAUCAUUGAAUGAGCAGAUUUUUCACAGUAAUUCCAUUUCCAUUUUCAGACAAGAAAGCUUUUUUGUAACAUUUCCAGAGCUUGGCAUAAACAAAAUAUGACAAUAGAAAGUGACGGCAAUAAACGAGAGAACAACAAAGGAUCAGACUUUUCAAAAUGACGAUACCAUUUCUCAAUCCUAAAAGCAAAAGAAAAGUGUGAGAAACCUUGAUCGUUACGAGCAGUGAAGAGAAUACAUCCGGUUUCGUCUCCGAUGAGACACUCGACGAUUCGACUGGGCUGAGAAGGACGACUCAGAGAAGUCCCCGUACGAGCCUUCCGGGUAACAGGAACCACCGGAUUCGCAUCAACGACCUUAACAGUCAAUGUGUGACCUCCCGUUCCAGGCUUUAGCUGUUCCACCUUCACAAACACCGGUUUUCUCUUCGCCGUCGUCGACGUUCCCGUCGCAACCGCUGCAGUCCCUGUCGUCGCCAUCGCUCUUACGGUCACGAAAUUACAGACCCAGAUUUCGGGUUCGCCCUAAAUGGUUGAAUCGAUAAAGUAGUGGGGAACUGAGAAGGCGAUUUAGGGUUUAUAAAGAAAGACGAUGAUGCUCUCUCCCAAGACGGACGAAGAGUAUUUAUCACCUGUUUUACGUUACCAUGAACUUGCUACGUGUCACAUUUUUAUUUGAACUUAAUUAUCACAUUUUCGUUACAUCACAAUCUCAUGAGUGAAGCUAAUUAUUUAUACUUGGAAAAAAACCUUAAAAAUACCUCACGUUUAUAACUUUUGCCAGAAAAAUAUCCAAACUAAUUCGAUUCCCUUUUAAAUACCUGACAUUUAUAUGACUACAUCUUUAACACUCGAAGUUUCAAAAACGGUAAGUUUAACUACCGAUUUUUAAUCAUGCUUAAAUGUUAAACGGAGAUAAUGAUACGGCGUUAAGAAGAUUAAUCACGUGAGUUUAAUUUAUACAUGAAAAGACCAAAAACCUUCCCUCACAAAAAACCUAAAUUGAUAUUCCCCAAAUCGAAUUUUCCCAAAUCGAAAACCCUAAAUCGAUUUUCCCCAAAUCGAUUUUUUCUAAUUCAACGACAGCAAAUCGCAUAUCGAAAUACCAGUUCUCUAAACCCUCUCGAAUCGGUAUUGCUCAUCUGAAGAGAUCUUCGUCUUCACGGCGACCUUCGGCGAGACUCGAAGGAUGUGGUAAGGAUCUAAAUUCAGGGCAUUUGAUAUUAGUGUUGUGUUUCGAUUAGUUCUGAGUUGUUUUGAGUGACAUCUGCUUGUUUUUCGAUGAUGCAGUGACACCAUAAAAAUCAAUUUGCAUUAUGGAGGGCUUAUGUACAUCAAGGAUUCUAAGCGAGUGUACGUAGGAGGUUCGGUGAAGGAGGGGUUAGUCGUCGACCCAGAUUAUAUGACUUGGAGCAUCUUUGAUGACUAUUGCGACGAAAAAGCCAUAGGAGCCGGCGUCAUUGUGGAACAAAUAUGGUACAAGCUGCCACACGAGAGUGUAGACUCAGCGAAGGCUAUAUUUUACCUCUCUUCUGAUGCUGGGUUAAUGCAGAUGUGUGCUGAAGCUAGUGUAGGCGGUGAAGUGGAUGUUUACACUGAGAAAAUUGUACCUCCUCAGCCUAUCGAGAAUGAGGAAAGAGAGAAUGAAGGAAGUGUUGAGAAUGAAGGAAGCGUUUGUCAAGCUCUUGUAGUGUAUCAGAGAAAAGAGGACGAAGGAGGCGAGUCUGAUGGUGAUGAUGUUGAAGAUGAUAAAGCUCCUGAAGCUCCACACCCAGAUGACUUCGCACAAGGGGAAGAAGUUGUAGAAGAAAGAGCCGAUGAUGAGAGAUUUCAGUCUUUUAUGGCAGAAAUGGCAAAUGGAGAUAAUGCUGGGUUAGGUGAGCAUGGAGAUAAUGCUGGUGUAGGUGAGGAUGGGGAUAAUGCUGAGUUAGGUGAGGAUGGAGAAAAUGAUGGGUUAGGUGAGGUGAAUGAUGGCUUUGGAGAAGAUGAAAAUGCUCCUGAUGGUGAUCAGAAUGAGAGCAAUCCUGAAGAUGAGCACAGUGCACCAAACGCAGAUGCUGAUGCUGAGGCUGAGUUCGAGAGACAGUGUAGAGAUGCUGAACAUCCAGAACCAGCAGAAGAUACAGAUGACGAGUGGGAAGGGUUCAACCGGGUUGAAAGAGAGACUGCAAGGAAGCAUUACAGUAAGGAGCGGCCUCCAUAUUUUUGGUUACUGCAGACUUUCAAGAGCGGUGAUGAAUUUAAAGAGCAAUUGUUGAGAUAUGUUUUGAAGACAAACUAUGACGUCUAUCAAAACAAAUGGGAUAAGAACAAGUAUGCUGCAAUAUGUGCUAGAAAAGGUUGUAAGUGGAGGAUCUACUGCUCGGUGGAGAAAGGGAAAGGGUUGUGGAUGGUUAAAUCUUACCAAGGUAAGCAUAACCACAUGAAGAGUAGCAAGGCUAGGAUGUUGAAGCAGGGUACAAUAGCGAUGCUCUUUAAGGACGAAGCUAGUCGAAGGCCUGGUAUAAAAUGGAGUGACAUCAAGGACGAGAUAAUGAUCAGGUAUAAUCUAUCCGUCUCUAAGUGGAUAUGUACGAAAGCUAGAAGGUUAGCCCUAGAUAUGGUUAUUGAAACACAGAAGGAACAGUUUGCAAAACUGUGGGAUUAUGAGCACGAGCUAAGGCGGUCUAAUGAUGUUUCAACUGAGAUUGUGACCAUCCCUCGUGCUGAUGGUAAGCUAGUGUUUGACAGAUUCUACAUUAGUUUUGCUAAUCUUCGAAACAAUUGGAAGAGAAACUGUCGACCAAUUAUUGGUCUUGAUGGAGCUUUUAUGAAAUGGGAACUCAAAGGUGAGAUUCUGGCAGCUGUAGGACGAGAUGCUGAUAAUAGGAUUGUCCUUUUUGCGUGGGCUAUAGUAAGAAUUGAGGAUAAUGAGUCAUGGGCUUGGUUUGUGGGCAAGCUGAAGGAAGAGUUGGAUUUAGGGUUGGGAAGUGGUUUUAGUAUCAUAUCUGACAGGCAGAAAGGGUUGAUAAAUGCGGUUGCGGAUCUCUUACCUGAAGCUGAGCACAAGCAUUGUGCUAGGCACAUUUUUGCGAAUUGGAAGAAAGUAUAUGGGAUGGUGGAGUAUGAGAACUACUUUUGGGCCAUUGCUAAAAGCUCUUCCUUAGGUGAUUACGAGUACAACAAAGCCGCUUUGGAGCAGUUUGAUCCUGUGGCGUGUGCAGACUUAUUGAAAACAGAACCAAAGGCUUGGUGCAGGGCUUUUUUCAGUCCGCAGGCGAGAUGUGAUGAUGUCUGCAACAAUCUUUCAGAGAGUUUCAACAGGACAAUCAAAGAUGCCCGAAAAUUGCCAUUGAUUAAUAUGCUUGAAGAGAUUAGGAGGCUAGCCAUGAAGCGUACAAGCAUGAGGAAAGAAAUGACAGGCAAAUGUGACAACAAGUUUCCACCUAACAUAAUGGAGAUUUUUGAGCAAAACCGAGUUGACAGUGAGACCUGCACAGUGCUCUAUAGUAGUGAAAACUUGUUCGAGGUGGUUCAAAACGACUGUAGCUACGAGGUGAAUCUUCUAUACAAGCAUUGUGCUUGUAACACUUUGAAUAUCACUGGGAUACCAUGUAGCCAUGCGAUUCAUGUCAUUUCUGAGCUAAACCGUGACCCUGAAGAGUAAGUCUUCUCUUCCCCUUUUUUAUAGCUAAUUAACUCCUUUUCCUUGAUUUGUAGUGUAUAACUGUAACUCUUUUUCCUUGUUUUGUAGUUAUGUGGAUGAUUAUUACCUGACUUCUAAGUGGCAUGACACUUAUAAAGACAACAUCAGGCCGGUUAAUGGUGAGAGAUUCUGGGAAAAAACAGGCAAACCUCCCAUUCUUGUACCUGAUAAAAGGAGAAUGCCAGGGCGUCCAAAGAAGCAUGAUCGGAUAAAAGAGCCUCACGAGUCAUCAUCAAAUCCGACGAAAGCUACUCGGGAAGGAAGGGUUGUAACAUGCAGCAACUGUAAACAGACGGGUCAUAACAAAGGAACUUGUAAAAAUGCCACUUAUGUGGAAAUAGGUCCUAAACGGAAAAGGGGAAGGCCUAAAAAGACUUAGGUAUAUAAUGAGCUUCCUUAUGACUUAUAUGACGGUUUGUAUGGCAUUGUUUAGGGAUGGUGAAUGUUUUUCGUGAUUGUGUAAUAGGAGGAUGAUGCAUGGAGCAUUCAAAAUGCACCAAAAAGGAGGAGGACUGGUCAGAGUUCAACACAACCAUCGAUGCCUUCCACACAAGAAUCAGUUGAUCCGCCGCCAUCAAGUGCUCCAACCGCAUCAACUGGACGUGGCCGUGGACGUGGACGUGGCCGUGGCCGUGGAAGUGGCCGUGGACAUGGCUGUGGGCGUGGCCGUGAACCACCAGUUCCAAGAGGAUAUGGAUGCUACAUCUCUCCUUACACUGGUCGGGUUUUUGACGUGUGGGGAUCUAAUGCUACUGAAGUUAUUGGUCCUUUUAACAACCCGUGAAUGAUUUUAGUGUUUUAGUGCUUUGGUGUGUGCUUUUGUUCUGUAUUUUGGUGUCUACUACACUAUGCAUUGUUGUUUCUUUUGGUGUUAGGCUUUUGCUGAAGUUUGAUACACUCCUGUUAUGUAAUGACAUUCCCAUUUUGGCAUUGGCAUUAUGCAUUUUGGUUUGACAUUUUGACAUUGGCAUUAUGCAUUUUGGUUUAGGAAUAAACAAAAGGAAAACAUAACUCGAUUGAUUCAGAGUUUAGAACAACAAAGACAACAAAUGAGCCAAGCCAACAACCAAUACAUCAACUAGAAGACUGAGACAUGACUACACCCAAAACAACAAGACAACAAAGACACCCAAAUCUACUUCUUCACCAUUGUUAGGAGCAUUGCUGUGACCACAAUGAAUCCUCCCCAGGAUAUAACAACGAAUUGGCGUAAAAGCUUUUCCCUCUCUUUUGAGGCCAUCAGUUCACUUUCAAGUUUUGUCUUCUCUUCUUCAAUUUUCUCGAACAUCUUCGACUUCAUCACGGCUGAAUCAGCUCCAGUCAUAUUUUGGUGAGUGAAUGUGCGGAGAGACUCGUUAAGCUCCUUGAUUUGUUCUUUAUGUCGCCUAAUCUGAUCUCUGGCCUCAAGUAAGCUAAUCUUCUGCCAUCCAAAUGGUUUUUCUUUGUCAGCCCAGCAAAGAAACCCAUGCGUAUCACAUUUGUAAAACCUUCUUCCUGGGUUUUCAUCCGUCCAUGAUUUGGACAAGGUCAUCACUUUCUUACAUUGACAACUCGGAUUCUCCAUUUGGGUGAAUCCAUCGUUGAACGAGUUACCUGACGACGCUGAGUUUUCCAUUCACCGCUGAGAGAAGAGAGAAAAGAGAAGAGAAGAGCUGAAGAGGAAAAAUUAGAAUUAGCGUUCAUGAAUUUGGGAUUUUUGGGUAAGACCCUAAAUAAAGGGUAUUUGGUCUUUUCAUGUAUAAAUUAAACCCAUGUGAUUAAUCUUCUUAACGCCGUAUCACUAUCUCCGUUUAACAUUUAAGCAUGAUUAAAAAUCGGUAGUUAAACUUACCAUUUUUGAAACUUUGGGUGUUAAAGAUGUAGUCAUAUAAAUGUUAGGUAUUUAAAAGGGAGCCGAAAUAGUUUGGAUAUUUUUCUAGCAAAAGUUAUAAACGUGAGGUAUUUUUAAGAUUUUUUUCCAAGUAUAAAUAAUUAGCUUCACUCAUGAGAUUGUGAUGUAACGAAAAUGUGAUAAUUAAGUUCAAAUAAACCCUUUAAUGUAAAAAAAAAUACAUAGAAGAAAAAAAAAAAUCCAAACGCCCGUUUGUUUGGAUGUGGUGUUGUAUGCCAACACGACGUCGUGCUAAAGGUUGUGAAUAGUUUAAAUCCCGAAAAUUUGCAAAAAAACACAUGUAUUAAAAUCUGUUUGACUUAUUAUCACGUAAUACUUUGACGAAUCAUUAUUCAUUAUUAGUUCUUAUAUAUCUAGUUAAAUAAGUUUUCAAUUUUCAUAUUUCACGUAAUCUUGUCGAUUGACUGUUAAUUACUUUUCUGACAAAAAAAAAUGUUAAUUACUAAAUUUGUCACAUUAUUAGGGUGUACAGUAUAUAUAUAGUUUAUAUAAUUAAAAAUAUAUGGUGUCCUUAUCCCUUAAGGCACCUGUUUUACAUAAAUAAGCGAAAGAUAAUCUACGUUACUACGUAGAAUUCCUAAACUCAAACAGAAAAGGAAAAAUAAAGCACCUCUAAUCUCAAACUGAAAAGGAAAACAUUCAAGAAAAGGAAAUAUGCGGUGCAUCAAUACUUCAAUAUAAAUAUAGAGACUUGAUUUUUCUUUUCACGCAUAAAUAUAGAGACUUGAUUUAUAGGUUAUAUUACAAUCGAGAUAUUUAAUUAAUCAGCGAUGGAGAAAACAAACAAGGUUAUGUGGGGAGAAAUAGAAGACGAUGAGAACUUUGAUUACUUGCUUCCGGCGAAGCAGAUGAUCGGGCCUGACGAGAAUGGUAUCAAGAAGGUGAUUGAGUACAGGUUCAACGACGAGGGCAAAACGGUCAAAGUCAUCACCACUACACGUGUCCGCAAGGGGAAGGCUGGAGAUAAACGGGUCGUGGAGCGGCGUACCAGCUGGACUAAGUUCGGCGACGCCGUCCAUGAUGUUGCCGGUGGUGGCGGUUUCACGACGGUUUCAAAGGAAGACAUCUUGUUGGAACGACCCAAGUCUCUUUACGGUAAAUCUCUUCUUCAUAUAUUGUGUUUACUUUUCCCAGUAACCUCUCUGUUUCGUAGUUUUAGGUCAUAAUCAUUCUUUCUUUCUUUUGAUCUUGCAGGUACCAAACCGGAAGAAACAAAGGCAUCUCAAGAGUUGGUUAAACCCGGUGCGGUCCUGAUGAUCUGCAGGAAUUGCGGCAAGAAAGGUGAGCACUGGACAGCAAGAUGCCCUACGAAUAACCAUUCCUCGACGACAGAUCAUGCGGAAGCGUCUACGAGGACUGGCACUGAUCAUCACAAGGCUGAUUCUUAUGUCCCGCCAAACAAGAGAGGAAGCAUUACUGUUCCAGACCCGAGGAAGAGGAACGACGAGAACUCUGUACGUGUGAGUAACUUGUCUGAAGACACUCGUGAAGAGGAUCUGAUGGAUUUGUUUGGGACAUUUGGUGCUGUGGCUCGAGCCUACGUGGCCUUUGACAAGAUGACCGGAACGAGCAGAGGCUUUGGUUUUGUCGACUUUGUGAACAGAGAAGACGCACAGCUAGCAAUCAACAAACUGAAUGGUUAUGGCUAUGACCAUCUCAUCCUUAGGGUCGCAUGGGCUACUCCUAGAGCCAACUGAGAUAUGUUGUUAGUUCGAACAUAUUUAUUUGCCUUACAGUUUGUGUUGUUUUAUACUACUUUGUUUUUUUUUCUCCCUUUAACAAGUUCUGUCGUAUUUCAACAGCACCAAAAUUUGUGUUUUUCUCUCUCUUUUUUUUAUGGGUUUUUUUCUUUUCUAUUUUCUUGCCACACAUUCUCAUGAAUGAAGCUAUUUAUCUAGGGAUAGUUGGAUGAUUCUAAUUAGAAAUUUCAUAGUUCAGUAAAUUUAUAAUGAAAAUCAAAAUUAUUGAUAUUAUAAAACCGCAAAUAGUUUUUUUUUAUUAGAUUCAACUUGGAAAAAAUUCUAGAAUGAUUGUUUUGAUAACAACGGCGUUGAUGAUAGCAUUGAUGAUUCAGAUUUCAGAAUACCCUCAUGGUAUUAUUCCACCAAAUGUUACAUCUUUAUUUGGUUUGUGUAUAGAUGAGUUGUGUUUAGAUUUCACUAUUGUCACUUAGCUUCAGAUCUUGAAGAGAAGCCACUGUUUUCUUCAUAUGGCGUUGGCAGAAGCCGUUGAGCCUCUCAAGUGCAUCCUCUAGCAUCUGAGCUUCUACUCCGAUCGUUAUCCUUAUCCAGUUCUUCAACCCCAAAGCCACUCCUACAAAAAUCAAGAAAUUUUUCACAUUCAAACUAAUCCUCGAUUUUCAAGUUUUAUUUUAUGUACUCUUUUGAUUGUAAUUUUUAAGGUGUUACCUGGUAGUAAGACAAGGUUUUCUUCCUUGGCUAGCUUCAUACAGAAAUCCAUAUCAUCUUCUAUGUCCUCCAUCGACGGAAGCUCCAGUUUCGUCUGCAGUGUUUGUUGUUGUUGUUGUUAAGAAUCAUUCAAAUUGAUCAGGAAUCAUCAAAGAGUAUGAUAGAGGUUUUUGGUACCAAUAAGUAAGUGCAUGACUCAGGUUUUUUGGUGCAGACCACACAAGGAAUGUCCUUGAGCCUAUCACAGACCAAUUCCACGUUCUGUUUCAAUAUCGAGUUCUUUUUUGCAAACAUCUCUUUAUUCGAUUUCUUGAGGAUCUCUGGAAGCGCAACCUGAACCAUAGUGGUAGGGUCUGGAGUUAUGUCAAGAUUCUGUUGGAUUGAUUGAACUACCUAUCAAAAGGGGAAACAAAAACAGAGUGGUUACUUGUAACACAAGCUACAAAAAGAUCCAAAUUAUGAAGAUGAUAAUUCGAAAAAUAAACAAACCCCUGUGGCCUUGAAAAUGCCUUGAGGAUCAUUCAAAGCGAUCCAGCCAAUUCUCCAACCAGGAACAAUCCACCCUUUCGAAAUACCGCUCAAUGUGAGAACCGGAGCUAUGGAAGAGAAUCUCCCCAUUGGAACAAAAGGGUUGUCUCCGAAUAUUGUUUGGCUAUAAACCUCGUCCGUGAUCACCAUUAUUCCAAGCUUUCUAGCUGUCUCCGCCACCUAAAGAGGCUAAAUCCAUCAGCAACAUUUCUAUAAUCUUUCGAAUUCAAAAAGCAUAUAUAAGAGAGACCAAGACCUUCUUGAGAUGAUCGUGAGAGUAGACAUUUCCACAAGGGUUAUUAGGGUUUAUGAUAACCAUUGCGACAGUGUUCUCAUCUGCCAUGGCUUCAAUGCCUUGGAGAUCAAUCUCCCAUUCUUUCUCGGGAAGAAGAUCGUACUUGCGGACCUCAAGCCCACUGUAGACGGAACGAGCCUCGUAGUGAGGGUAACUAGGCCGUGGGAGAAGAAUGUUAGCGUUUGGUCGAGCCAGAGACUGAAUCACCACUUCGAUCCCUUGGUUGCAUCCGACGGUCAUAAAUAUAUCAUCAGGCGUUACCUUGUUCGUCAAGUCAGGGUUCACAUAAUCGGCGACCGCCCUAAUUAACAACAUAUUCAAUGAAAGUCAACUAAUUGUGGAUCAAAGCUUAACAAGUUGGCGAGUAAACUAAAAGGGAAUAUUACUGUCUGGCGGGGAAGAUUCCGGCGGCGGGACCGUAAGAGUUGCCCUUGCCGGAGCGGAGGACGUCAACGAUGGCGUUCUCGACGUCGAUGGAGGUGCGGAAGCAAGGGUAGACAGAAGGGUCACCGUGGGCAAGGGGUAAAAGAGUCUUUUUGACUUCCUGGCUGCAGAGAUCGAAGAGCUUGUAGACGAUGACUCUCAUCGUGACGCUGGAGGCUUUGGCUGCCGUGUCGCUGCCCUUGAAACGCCAAACGCUGUCACUGGACGCAUCCUGCGUCUGCGUCUCUGCUUCUUUCUCGGCUUGUAGGGAAGGAGCUACGAGGUGGCUGUGGUGGCUCAUUGUUAAUUGAUUCGCUGGGAGUCUUCUGGAUUUUGAAAUCUGAAUGUUUAUAGGAAGAGGCUAACAAAAAAGUCUAUUUAUAGAGAGGAAACAAUCGAAAAGUUGUUGUUCCAUCAAAAAGUCUUUGGAUCGAAUUUUUAUAGUCAAUCGCAGACUUUCCAAACCUUUGAAUUAUAGACUCUGGAGUCUGGAUGAACUUGAUAAUAUAUAGUAUAUAUCAUUGGUGGCGUGCGUGAAAAAAAUCAAAAAUAUUAAAAGAAUUUGACGUAAAAUUUCCGUUAUUUGUUGCUCCGCGAAGGCGCUAACGCUCCGUUUCCCCAAACAAUGUGCCCUCUUACACAUUAUUAUUAAACAUUGUAUGGAAGUUGAAUUAUGAAACAUUGAAACGUGAGAAUAUUGGUGACACCAAAUACAAAAUUAAAUGGCAUUUUUUCUCAGAUUAUAUGAGUUCGAAAGGACUUAUCUUUAAAAGAAAGUUGAUACGAAUUCCCAAAGAACGGCACACACUUGGUCGGUAUCGGAUGGAUAGAUCCUUGAUUUCAAACGAUUUUACGGAGAAGAUGCUAAUGGGUGGGUUGAAACCCGAAAAUCCUUAGGCCCAAACUCGCGGUGAAAGGCUUGAAACAAGGGGGUGACUAAGCUGGCUGAUUGUAUCCGCGGAAAAAGGAUGUUAAGGCGUGAGAACUAAGUUCCCGAAAAUCCCUAAGUCCCUUUAACUACUUGAACGUCCCAACGAGACAACUGGGUGAAGGCUGCGUCAAGUUCUAUGGAUUGAACUUGAUAAACCGAAAAGAUUCAAGAGGCUAACCACCUAAGGAAUCGAAAAAGUUUUAAAAGAACAAAGGAGAAAACUCAGAUUUUAUUUGAUAAGUGAAUGUCAAAAAUGAGAAGGGGUACAAGCCUUUAUAUAGCAGGCGAAGUAGUUCAAGAGACAAACUCGAAAAUAACAGAAAAAUUAAUAAAGUCUUUGACUGAAAUAAAUAAACUAAGGACUGACUCUUCGGCUGGCCUUUGACUGACUCUUGAAUUGCCAAGCCGAAAAUGACUCUUGCUCUGUCGACCCAUGAACCAGACCGCAAACCAACCUAGGUCGAGAGAUGGGCAAUGAACUUAACCUCAUUAAAACCCCAUCCGGUAAACCCAUUGGGACAAACCCGGGUGUAAGGAAAAAGAGUAUUAAGCCAUCACCCGGACCAGAUUAGUUACAGCCGGCGUUCAUGAGCACGGUCAAAAUCUUAGGUGAUGCUGGGUCGCCUGGUCCGAUUUUAAUUCCAUUAAGUACAGCCUGAACCGUCCCUGCCAGCUUCUUAGCUCUGGAUCGCGUCAUAGGUCCAUCCGGUACGGCCAACUGUGCUUCCGGAACCUCGAUUCCAUUGUCUGGGUCGUCCUCUGGGUCCAUGAUCGUAUCAUCCUCCUCCUCUUGAAAAGGACUUGUCCUCAAGUCUGGUCCAUCUGCGACAAAGGGAAUGAGGUCAGAAAUGUUGAAGCUGGUACUGACUAAGUACUUACCUCGUAAGUCAAUCUUGUAGGCAUUGUCAUUGAUCCGCUCAAGGACCGUAAAGGGACCAUCCACACGAGGCAAUAACUUGGACUUUCUUUCCUCCGGAAACCUGUCCUUCCUCAAAUAGAUCCAUACUAGAUCGCCUGGUUCAAACACCUUUUGGCGCUGGCCCUUGUUAGCGUGCUUCUUGUAAAACUCGGUCUUUCUUUCAAUGUUCUGCUUGGCCUUCUCAUGAAUCUGCUUGACAAGCUCGGCCUUUUUCUUCCCAUCCAUACUUACACGCUCAGACAAAGGUAAAGGCGUAAGAUCAAGAGGAGUAAGUGGGUUAAAUCCAUAAACCAUUUGAAAUGGGGAAAACAAUGUAGUAGAAUGAACCUCAUGGUUAUAAGCAAAUUCUACAUGUGGUAGACAAUCUUCCCACGUCCUAAGGUUCUUUUUAAUAACAGAACGAAGUAGUGCGGACAAGGUUCUAUUAACGACCUCGGUUUGGCCGUCGGUCUGUGGGUGGUAAGUGGUGGAAAAACAUAACUUAGUACCUAGUUUUGACCAAAGUGUUUUCCAAAAAUAACUAAGGAAUUUAACAUCGCGGUCAGAAACUAUAGUCCUAGGUAUUCCGUGCAUCCUAACCACUUCUCUAAAGAACAAGUCAGCCACAUUAGACGCAUCAUCAGUUUUAUAACAAGGUAUAAAGUGCGCCAUUUUUGAGAACCUAUCGACCACAACAAAGACAGAAUCCCGACCCGUCCUAGUUCUUGGCAAUCCUAACACAAAAUCCAUAGAAAUGUCCGUCCAAGGAGAGCUAGGAAUGGGUAAGGGAGUGUACAUACCUGGGGACUGGCUUUUAGAUUUCGCAUACUUACAGGUGAUGCAUCGGCCGCAAAUUCUUUCCACAUCUCUUUUCAUGUGCGGCCAGAAGAAAUGAUCCUGGACCACACUAAGAGUCUUGGCCACUCCAAAGUGUCCCAUCAAACCGCCGCCAUGAGCUUCCCUAACAAGCAGAUAACGAAGGGAAACAUUAGGUAUACAAAGGCAGUUUUCAUAAAACAAGAAGUCAUCACUCCGAAAAUAUUUUCCAGUGGCAAAUUUAGAACAGGAUUGAUAAACUUCCUGGAAAUCUGGAUCGGAGGUGUAGGCUUCUUUGAUCAUUUCAAAACCGAGGACCUUGGCGUCUAAGGUCGAGAUCAGGGUGUGUCUGCGGGACAAGGCGUCGGCCACAACGUUUUCCUUUCCCUGUUUGUAUUGGAUCACGUACGGAAACGUUUCAAUAAACUCCACCCAUCUGGCAUGCCGCUUAUUCAGUUUCUGCUGUCCCUUGAGGUGUUUAAGAGAUUGAUGAUCCGUAUGAAUCACAAACUCUUUUGGCCAAAGGUAGUGUUGCCAGGUUUAGAGCGCACGGACCAAGGCGUAAAGCUCCUUGUCGUAGGUGGGAUAGUUCAAGGUCGCGCCACCAAGCUUCUCACUGAAGUAGGCAAUAGGUCGUUUCUCCUGCAUUAGGACCGCACCAAUACAUACACCAGAGGCAUCGCACUCAAUUUCAAAGGUUUUCAUAAAAUCAGGCAAAGAAAGGAGAGGUGCAUGAGUUAGCCUGUUUUUAAGGAGUUGGAACGCCUUUUCUUGUGUCGUGCCCCAUUUAAACCAACGUCCUUUUUGAUUAUUUCGGUGAGAGGCGCUGCUAUAGUACUGAAGUCCUUUACAAACCGUCGGUAGAAACCGGCCAGGCCGUGAAAGCUUUGGACCUCUCCAACCGUCUUGGGACUGGGCCAGUCUUUGAUCGCCUUGAUCUUCUCUUCGUCGACCUGGAUCACAUUGGCACCUACAACAAAACCUAGGAACACAACACUAUCCGCGCGAAAAGUACACUUUUUCAAGUUCCCAAACAAUUGCUCCUUCCUAAGCACUUCUAAGACUAACCGCAAAUGCUCUAAGUGCUCGGCCAAGUUCUUGCUAUAGACUAAGAUAUCGUCAAAGUACACAACGACAAAAACGCCUAUGAACGACCGCAAGACAUGAUUCAUAAGUCUCAUGAAAGUGCUAGGGGCGUUGGUUAAGCCAAACGGCAUUACCAACCAUUCAUAAAGCCCAUGCUUUGUCUUAAAGGCUGUUUUCCAUUCGUCCCCCUCUUUCAUCCUUAUUUGGUGAUAGCCACUUUUCAAAUCUAUCUUAGAAAAAAGACAAGAUCCGUGAAGUUCAUCAAGCAUAUCAUCCAAACGAGGAAUGAGAUGUCUGUAUUUUACCAUAAUAUUGUUGAUUGCACGACAGUCAACGCACAUACGCCAAGUGCCGUCCUUCUUUGGCACAAGUAAGACCGAGACCGCGCAAGGACUCAUACUCUCUCGUAUAUGUCCUUUUUCCAUCAGCUCUCCGACCUGCCGCUGUAGUUCCAUUGUUUCAACAGGGUUGGUUCGAUACGCGGGUCGGUUUGGCAAGGACGCACCAGGAACAAAAUCGAUCUAAUGUUCUAUUCCGCGGAUGGGAGGUAAUCCACUUGGGCUUUCUUCUCGAAAGACGUCUUUGUAUUCCUGCAAAAGAGGCAAAACGCUGCUCGGAAGAUCCGGCUCACGGUCAGUAAUCUGACCUGGGCUUAGCGUCAGAUCGGGAUGGGUAGCUCGGCUUAUCUGUAGGUCGCGAACUGGAACCAUAUGCGGGUCGGUUGGUGCCUUUGCGUUUCAGCUGUUGUUCCACUAGGACCGCUUUGUGGUACAUCUCUCCAAUGUCCCGAUAGUCCUGCAGCUCCAUACGGUCUUGUAUAUCACGGUUGAGGCCACUCAAGAACCGGGCCAUUGUCGCAUCCUCCGGUUCUACCGUAUCGGCUUUCAGCAUUAGCCGAUCCAUCUCUUGGUAAUACUCCUCAACAUUCUUGGAUCCCUGGGUCAAACGUCUGAGUCGAGUGUGCAACUCCCGAUGGUAGUGGCUUGGUACGAAUCUGCGUCUCAUCAUUCGUGCCAUCUCGUCCCAAGUUUCGAUCGGUCGGUCGCCGUUCCUUCUCCGGUUGGUAACAACUUGGUCCCACCAGUCUACCGCGUAUCCAUGGAACUCGGUGGCGGCCAAAUUGAUCUUUUUUCUUUCUGAGAAGUUCUGACAACCAAACAAAAUGUCGAUCUUCUUUUCCCACUCAAGAAACGCGUCUGGAUCGGUUGUACCUUAGAAAGAUGGAACCUCACCUUCAUGCUUCCAAGGUCAUUGUUGUUUCGGGCUUGGACUGGUUCAGGUUCGUAUUGUCCCCGGCCUUGAUCAUUACGGUCUUGUCGAAUCUCCUCCCGGUUACGGCCGCGGUUUGGAUCUGGGUUGUAUCGCUCACGACCAUGGUUCGGCAAAGGGUUUUGACCGCGUCUAUCUUCUCGGCCGCGUCUGGGUCGUACCUGACUACCACCCGAGGUAUGACCGUCAGCGUAGAAUGGGUUGUCUCCGACAAACUCAUUCUGGUUAUGAUUUCUCUCCCUCCGGAUUGGGUCCUCCUGGUCACUACGAUCAGCUCCUCUGUCCCGCCUAGGCUGAUCCACUUCCAACCAUUCUAUACGCUGGUUCAUGUGAUCCAGCAGCUGAGUAAUCUGGUCCAGCCUAUGGUUCAUAGUGACUUUUCUUACUUCUUUUGACCGAAUAGAGGAUAGAUCGUCGCUAGAAGACAUAUAAUACCUCGCAAAACAAACAAAUAAGUUAGUAAAAGUUCUCGCUAAGUGUUUCACUCGGUGUUUCACUCAACCCUCUUAAUGAUCUCACAAACACUCAAGAGAAUCUCCUCGGUUCUAAGAGAACUAAAUCAAAAACUCGAUGUAGAUCUUUAAUCCAAUUCAGAAUAUCAAGUGAUUAUGAAGAAAAGAGAAGAUAGAGAGAAAAGAUUUUUUUUUUUUUUUGGUUUCCACAGAUCUUUUUUUUUGUGUUCUUCUUUUUUUUUUUUAAACAGAUCUGGAAUUACAAAAGAAAGAAAGGAUAAGACGGAAUUUGAAAAGACAAAAAGAUAGAUAAUAUCGCUUUCUUCAAGUGCGUGGCUCUGAUACCACUUGAUACGAAUUCCCAAAGAACGGCACACACUUGGUCGGUAUCGGAUGGAUAGAUCCUUUACUCCAAACGGUUUCACGGAGAAGAUGCUAAGGGGUGGGUUGAAACCCGAAGAUCCUUAGGCCCAAACUCGCGGUGAAAGGCUUGAAACAAGGGGGUGACUAAGCUGGCUGAUUGGAUCCGCGGAAAAAGGAUGUUAAGGCGUGAGAACUAAGUUCCCGAAAAUCCCUAAGCCCCUUUAACUACUUGAACGUCCCAACGAGACAACUGGGUGAAGGCUGCGUCAAGUUCUAUGGAUUGAACUUGAUAAACCGAAAAGAUUCAAGAGGCUAACCACCUAAGGAAUCGAAAAAGUUCUAAAAGAACAAAGGAGAAAACUCAGAUUUUAUUUGAUAAGUGGAUGUCGAAAAUGAGAAGAGGUACAAGCCUUUAUAUAGCAGGUGAAGUAGUUCAAGAGACAAACUCGAAAAUGACAGAAAAAUUAAUAAAGUCUUUGACUGAAAUAAAUAAACUAAGGACUGACUCUUCGGCUGGCCUUUGACUGACUCUUGAAUUGCCAAGCCGAAAAUAACUCUUGCUCUGCCGACCCAUGAACCAGACCGCAAACCAACCUAGGUCGAGAGAUGGGCAAUGGACUUAACCUCAUUAAAACCCUACCCGGUAAACCUAUUGGAACAAACCCGGGUGUAAGGAAAAAGAAUAUUAAGCCAUCAUCCGGACCAGAUUAGUUACAGCCGGCGUUCAUGAGCACGGUCAAAAUCUUAGGUGAUGCUGGGUCGCCUGGUCCGAUUUUAAUUCCAUUAAGUACAACCUGAACCGUCUCUGCCAACUUCUUAGCUCUGAAUCGCGUCAUAGAUCCAUCUGGUACGGCCAACUGUGCUUCCAGAACCUCGAUUCCAUUGUCUGGGUCGUUCUCUGGGUCCAUAAUCGUAUCAAAAGUCAUUUACAACUCAGACACGUUUAACUAAAUUCAGAUUCAGCGAUAUUAGUUCAAAUCACCAAACCACAAGUCUGAUGAGAUAAAAUGACUAAUUUCUUCCACCGUGCACGCAUGUACAUAUGUAAAAUUCAAAACAUUCUAAAAAGUAAUUAAGUAAUAGCCCACAUCAUAUUUUAAAUAAUUUACUUACAAAUUUAUUCAGUGAAUAUCAACCAAUAAAAUGUAAUAUAUACAGCGAAAAGUUUUAUAAAGUAGAGGAAUCUUUUUCUUAUUUAUUAAAAUAACUUUAUUUAAGAAUAACUUUAAUUGGUAAAUAAAUAAAUGGUUUCAGCGUCAUCUAUUCUUUAUUCUCAAAUCGUCAUAUAUUAAAUCCAAUAUGGUUAUAAGAUAUAUAUUAAGUUCGCGCCAUCAUGCUUUGACUCGACUAAAACGACGUUUUAACGGACAAGCAUACGCACAUUAAACAAAAGUUUCGAACAUAAAUCGAAAUGAAAAUGAACCGAAGCAUACAACAAUAGAAAUAUAGGGCCUCAUCAGGUUUCGACAAUGAAGCUGAGUAUUUAAGUGGAUUGUGAUUUAAUAUGGCGAGCGAAGAAGCCUUUGAGCCUCACGAAAGCGUCUUCUAGCAUUGAUCUCUCUACUCCAAUCGAGAAUCUCACCCAAUUCUUCAUUCCUAAUACCUCUCCUGCAUUUAAUAUUCCUAAUGAGCCCAUAUCUUAAAAUUUAUAUUUAUAAAACAUUAUAAUUACUUGAAAAGAUAAAUUAUGAUUAUUACCAGGUAAAAGGACGAGAUUCUCCUCUUGGGCCAGUUUCAUGCAGAAAUCAACAUCAUCUGUGAUGUCUUCCAAGAGUGAUAGGUCCAGUUUCGUCUGCGAUAUAUAUAUGUACACCUUAUGUUGGGAUUAAUGGAAUUUCGUUUAUAUACGGACCUUUUGUAGUGUGCCAUUCAUCAUUAUUGCCGUUUUUGGUUACAUUUUAUAAAAACAAAAUAAUGCGUAAAAAAUAAUUGUUUAAAAACAUUGCAGUAGUUAGUUUUGUUGUAAACUUGUAAUACCUCUCUUAUCUAGCAUAUAUAUAGAGAUAAAGAUGAGUUGGCAAAGUGCAAAAAAAAAAAAGAGAGAGAGAGAAGAAAAAAAUUAAAGAUACGGUGGUAUAAAGAGAAAUUGGUACCAGUAAGUAAGUACACGACUCGGGUUUCUUAGGGCAAAUGAGGCAAGGAAUUGCCUUGAGGGCAUUGAACGCCAUGUCUACGUUUUGACUCAGUAUUGAGUUAUUCAUCUCAAAAAAUUCUUUCUUUGUCUUCUCCAAGAUGUUUGGAAGUGCAAACUUCCAAUUAGACAAGGCAACACGUUAGUAUUUACAUCUAUUACGCAUAACUCUUUGCAUAUGUGUUUGUGUUUUUGAACAUAUAUAUAUAUAUAUAUAUAUCAUAAUAAAGACAAACCUGUAGAAUAGUCGAUGGAUCAGGACUAAUGUCGAGAUGCUCCUUGAUGGAUUCAAUCACCUACAUUGAUACAACAAAUAAAUCGUAUUAUAUAUAUAUAUAUAUAGAUAUAUAUAUAUAUAUAUAUAUGUUGAAAUCCAAAAAAGCUUUUGGUCUGGACCAAUAAAAACUUGAUGAUGGUCUAAAGAUUAAAGACCAACCCCAGUGGUUUUGAAAAUGUUAUUGGGAUCAUUCAUCGCGAUCCAACCUAUUCGCCACCCAGGGACGAGCCAUCCCUUGGAGAUGGACCCAAGUGUAACCACAGGAGCAAUCAAUGCAAAUAUCCCCAUUGGGACAAAUGGAUUCUCUCCAUAUAUAGUUUGAUUAUAAACUUCAUCAGAAAUAAUCAAUAUCCCUAGCUUCUUCGCCAUCUCAGCCACCUAUACAUAUCAACAUAAUGUUACAUAAACAAGAGUCAAGUUCAAAAGAAAAAUUAGCUUAAAGUUAGAGAUUUUCACCUUCUUUAGAUGAUCAUAUGUGUAGACAUUUCCACAUGGGUUAUGAGGGUUAGUUAUGACCAUAGCGACUGUAUUAUCAUCUGCUAUGGAUUCAACGCCUUGGAGAUCGAUCUCCCAGUCUUGGUCGGGGAGGAGAUUGUACUUGCGAAUCUCGACUAGGCUAUGUAUUGCGUGACUAUGGUAAAGAGGAUAGACGAGACUAGGGAGCAAGAUAUUGGCCUUUGGUCCGGAGAGGGCUUGAAUCAUGGUCUCUAUCCCUUGGCAACACCCGACCGUUAUAAAUAUAUCGUCUGAUUUCAUCUUAUGCGGAAGGUCCUGGUUCAAAUAUUUAGCCACCGCCCUAUAGUACAAGGAGUAUACAAACAGUCGUAGAGAUUAUACAUAGUUUCGAAUAUGUAUAGCGUGCAUAUAGUGUGAUAUUUCAUAAAGCGUUUGAAUCUUAUAGCCUAAACUACACAUUAUUUCCGUAAUAGGAUUAACAUUUCAGUUAUUGAUGUUUUCUCUUUUCAAAUUUGCACCCUUCAUUUCACUUGUCUAACUGAUAGGAUUGAUCUUUUAAAAAAUUGAACAUAAAUGUUUGGUGUGCUCUAAGUUCCUCGACUUUCAAUAACUGAGUAAGUCACGAUACCCAAGUUUGAGAUUUAAUUGUUUACAAAAAUAAAAUUCGGCAGAGUGAAAACGAAAUUUUGAAAAGCCAAUUUAUGACCAAAUUCUCUUACAGACUGCACUAUAAUUAACUCAUUAGGACUGAGUUAGAUUAAACAUCUGUUCUCAAUAACAUUACUUAUGUGGAAAACCGUGCACAAACACAAAACAUAGUAACGAUGCAUUUUCAAAAUCUCAAAAAUAAGGCUAGGAAAAAUUGAACUCCGAAGUUCCCAGAUCCGAUCUGGCUCUUAGUCUUAGAUAUACUUUAUUUUAAUUUUUAUAUGAUAUUUCAAUUGUAUAAAUUAAUUUAAAUAAUUUCAUAUUAUUAUUUUAAUAAAUUUUCGAAUACUGCCCAUAUUAUUAUGAUCCGAAUCCGGAUACAAUGAAAUUCUAGGAUAUCUAAUCUAUGCCCGUCCUACUAUAAAAAUAAAGAUAAAAAACAUCUCUACACUAAUCAAAUAAUAAGAGUACCUUCUGGCUGGUAAAAUACCAACCCCGGGGGCGUAGGAGUUGGCGGCGCCAGAGCGUAAGGACUCAACCACGGCAUUCUCAGCCUCAACAGACGUCUGGAAGCAAGGGUAGACAGAAGGGUCGCCGUGACCCAAGGGCAAAAUGGUCUUUAUAUCAUCUUUGCUGCAGUUGUUGAAUAACCUGGCAAGGGUACCUUUCAUUGAGACGCUGGCCGCUUCCUUGGCCGCACUGUUGCCUUUAAACCUCCAGGCACCGCAACCACCGGUCAGCGUCUGCGUCUCCGUCUUGUGUUCAACUUCUUCGUCUUGGUCAGUUUUAAAUGAAGGAACGAACAGAUUCAUGUGUUGGCUCAUCGUUCUGAGUCCGAGAAUACUUGGACGGAGUUUCAAAAUGAGAUAAGGUAUUGUUAUGAAGUUAUGAUACUACAGUUCAGCACUACAUAUAUAAACAAACCAUAUAUUAUGGUCUGUCCCUUUCUACUUUGAGGAUAACAUGAUACGAGGAAACUAAAUAAAAUUUAGGACCACAACAAUUUAGAGUUGGACCAUAUAAUAUUUUAUUUAUUUGGUGACCAAUAAACGUGGUUGGUUAUGUGAUGCCAAAAAAUAUCAUCGAAUCUAUACACUAUUAUAUAGUCCAAAUGUAUAUGAUAUACAUUUGACAACAAAAUAAUUUUUGCCAUCACUACCCCAUUAUUGUCCAACUUGUCUACUUGUUAUGUUUUUACCAAAAAUUGUCAAUUAUCUAUUCUCAAGGAGCCGGUUUCAAAUGUUUUGCCUUCAACGUCUUCCUCUUGGCCAGUUUCAAACGAAGGAAUGAGCAGGUAGUUCAUGUGUUGGCUCAUCGCUCCGAUCAGAUUUAUUCCUCUUGAUGAGUUUGUUUAUAUUUUUGACAGCGGAAUCAAUCUCAUACGAAACCAUGAAUUAGAUUAACAUUUAUAUAUAUAAGAAUAGAAUAUACAUAAUCAAUGGUACAUCUCUUCUAUGUUCUUGAUACUUGAUAUGGGGUGUUUAUAAUUCUUGUUUUUAGUUCUUUAUUUUAAGAACGAAGUGUCGUUUUGUCACAAUGGAACGAUUUAAGAGAUCAAAAAAGGAUAUUAACAGAUCCACAAUAAAAAAAAGGAUAUUAACAGAUCCACGAUUGGUCUGUCCAUUUGACGUUACGAGGAACAUUGAUAGCUCUCAUUUAUAUCGUAUUCUGGAUACUCUUUUCAUAUUUAUUUAAUUGUCAUUUUAAGAUUAUGCACACAUAUUAAGAAAAUAUUAAUUGUAUUAAUUUUUCAAUAUAAAAACAUCAUUAAUAAUUUAUUUAAAUACAAUUCAACCAAUAAUAAAAUAAAUUGCAUAAUAAAAAUAAUUAUAAAAAAUAAAAAACUAAUAAAUGUUUCAUUGAAAACUGAAAACAACAACUAAUUUAAAACAAACAAAAUUCUCUAAAACGAUAAUUAAUAAAAAACGGAGGGAGUAUGUUAAAUCCUUGUUUUUAGAUUAUUUUUACAGCCUAAUUAAAAUAUUAUCACUUCUAAAAUUAGUGGAUGUUCAUAAAAAAAAUUCCUGUUAAAUAAAGAAUAUUAUUCUCAUAAACUUCCGUUUACAAAUUGGAAAAACAGAUUUUAUAUAUGUCUUGGGGACGUCAAAAUUUACACAACACAAUUACUCAAUUUGUGAUAUGUUCUUAUGCACCUUAAAACUCAGAAUAUGUGAAUUUGUUUAAGAGAUUACCAAUUUUUAUAUUAAUAAAAAUUAGUCGUAUACAAUUGCAGAUUAACACAAAAAAAAAAUGGAAAGUGGCAUGCAUUACCGAAUAAUUUUGGUCAAACUAUCGCACAAAUUGACACCUGCAAAUUUUCCAAUUUAUGUUCUCCUUAACCAUGACAUCCUUUAGUCAUCAAAUUACCAAAACAACAUUAGUUGAGAAAGUUAAAUCUAGAAUUAUUCUAAUUAAAUAUUAAAUCCGGCCCACCGGUCCAUUUGAAUAGAUGAAACCUUAUUACGUAGAUAUAGUAUAACCUUGUCGCCUCAGUCAAUAUUUACAUAUCUUAAAAACAAAUGGAUUACUCAGUAUUUACUUUGUUUGCUUUGUGAAGAAAACAUGUAAAAAAUAAUAUAUUACAUCUUAUGGGAAACCUCAUAACUGGUUUUACAGACACAGCUUGAAAAAAUAUAUAUAUAUCUCUAUUUUGCAAACUUAAUGUCUAAUUUAUAGACAAAAGCAUUUAUGAUUAAAAAGAAGAGGAAGAGACUAGUGGAACUUUACAAUGAUACAUGAGAUGUCGUCUUUGCUCUUCUUAGAUAUAGCUUCCUCUAUCAAGUGCUUUGCCGCUGCCUGCGGAUCUUUGAUGCUCUUUAUCGCAUCAACAGCUUCUUGGUUCGACAUUACCUGCAGUUAAACAUGGACCAAUCAUGUUAGAACAAGUCCAGAAACCGGUCAAAACCGCGGUCUGAAAAACUGAGUUACCUUCCAAAUACCAUCACUGGCGAAAACGAUGAACUCAAUCUGAUCAUCAAUAGCCUGUUUAGUUAUGUCCGGUUCUGAGCUCAGAUGUAUCUUUAAGCUCUUAUCUCCAAACGCUCUCGCAACUGCUAACUGUCCAUCGACACGUGGAACAUCCCCUGCAACACUUUAGGAUCAUAAAUUAACAUAUCUGCUAAUCCAAGGGAGACCAAAAACAGUAACUAAUCAAGGACGAAACUAUGCAGCUUUACCUGGAAUAUUAGAUACAAAGCCACCUCGCUUCUCUAUAUCUUUUCUCUCCUUGCUUGGUUCAUGAUCCACUGAGAGCUGAUGCGCAACGCCAUUCUUAGACAUCACUGCCCUUGAGUCUCCAACAUUAGCAACCACUAGCUUUUGACCAUCCAUUAGAAUUCCAGUCACAGCCGUUGAUCCCCCUUUACCAAGCUUAAGGGACUGCUGCAAUAUCACUGCAUCUGUUGAUCUGUACGCAUUCCUUAUAGCGUUCUCCGUGUCAGUCCAAAAAUCCUUCUGAGAAAAAAAACAAAAGGAACCCACAAAUGGAUCAGUCAGUAUAUUUCACAAAGGAUUCACCUUUUUGCCUCGAAAGAGAUUUCUUGACCGAAUUUACCUCUUUUAGAAUGUUGUCAAAGAGAUUAGUCUGCAAAUAUUUGGCCACAUCAUGUCCCAAGUGACCAUCAAAGAUGGCAAACAAGCCCAAUUCAUGGCCUUCAACUUUCUUGAAUUCAGACACAACAUAGUCCUCCAUCGGAUGGCUUGAUUUGCCCUUCACAAAGUGGAAACCGUGCGUAAUGUUCUUCCACAUCUUGCUUUUGCCUCUUCCCAUGUCAGCAGUCGAUCCGCAUAACCCGGCCUUUAGUUGACAGUUCAGAGCAAACCAAUAGAGUUAAUCAAUACUGCAAUCACAAUUAGUUGAAAGAUCCAGAAACACUGUCUAUCCACAGAUUCUUCAAACGAUAUUAGAAAUAAAUAUUAAACUCUCUCAACUUCUAUAACGAAUCUUGCAGAUUCCUUCACAUCCAUGAACAAAAAAGCUCAGACUUUUAACCAGAGAACACUAUCAUACAGAGGGAUCGAAAAAAGUUUAGACCUUUAACACAACAGAGGGAUCGAAAACUACCAUCUACUCACAGACUAUUCAGACAGACCCAAGAAGUUGCAGAAUUUUUCAGUAAAAGCUUAACAGGCAAGUCCAAUUUCAUUGACCAGGAAAAGCAAAGCGCUCUUGAACUUUCGAUGGAUCAGCUGAAAAUCAAUAAUUUCCAAAGUAUAAACCUCGAAAUUGCUACUACUCACUCACUUCAAAAGCUCUGCUAAAAGAGACAGUGGUAACAUUAGAGCAACUGGUUUCAGGUCCAAACAGAGAGCUAAACCCCAUGGAAAAAUAACCAAAAGGGUAUCCGACACUAGAGCCAUAAAUCCUAAACCCAAAGAAAAUCAGGAUGUCGUUUAAAGCACAAGCCAGGAACUGGAAAAAAAUCAGAUCAAGUAGAUGUCACCAUAAUCAGUACCGUACCUUCAUCUUGUGUAGAAUUUCUCUGCCUGCCAUUCUGAGGAAGCCUUGAGAGACGAUUUCUCUGUCUCUGCGUGUGAAUGAGUGAUGAUUGAAGCAAACAAGAGGAAGGAGAUGGGUUUAUGAAGUUAUUUUGACUUCGAUGAUAUGAACUGCCGGUGACUGUAGUAAAACAUUAUCAGCUUCAGCUGCGUCGUUUCAAUGCCCAACGACUUUUCUUCUUCCCAUUUUAACCCCUUUUUGUUACUACUUUAUUAUUAAAAAUAAAUUAAAAUUUCAUUAUUCUUCAUGAUUAGUUCUUGGAAGCCGGUUGGUCAAGCGGUUAAUUACAAAUUUUCAACGAUACUAAAUAUGUUUGUCCUGAUGAUGUAACAUAUUAAAAAAAAAAUUACAAUUAUCAUUAAUUUAUAAUACUUUACAGACUUAGCAAAAUAUUAAGCUAACCAUUAGUUUAUAAAACUAUAUAUAUAAAUAUAUUUGUACGUCAAUAUUCUCAACUAUCCUCCUUAUUUUAAUCUUUGUUUGAUGAAAAAUGUCGUUUUCCUUGUAUUUUGUUACAAUAUUAUGUGUACAUCUUGGUUCCUAAUAAUUAAAUGUAGCAGCCAAGGACUGCAAUACUUUUUUGAUAUGUUUCAUUUUCUUAUUCUCCACAAAUUCUUGUCGGCUCAGUCAAUAGAUUCAUUUCAAAGAGUCUUCUUCGUUCCUUCCAAUUCGUCCUUUGGAGAAGAAAACCCUCCACUCUUAUUGUCCAAACUUUGGAUCGGUUUGAUUCGUCAAGCUAAUAAUAAUAGAAUCAUCUACUAAAACUAUUUUACUCUUCACUAUUAUAGAUUACUUUAGUGUGAUGGAAACUCAGAUUGGUCAUUAUUUUAAAAUCCCAAUCAAGAGGAAAGAUCUUACUAUUACUCACACACAUAACGCGGGGCCAAAGAGUUGGUGACUUGUCUAAUCAAAGUUUUCGCCAUUGACCACAUAUACAUAAAAAUAGGAUUCGAAAAAGAUAGUGAUUAGUUUAAUUACCCUAUCUUGAAUUCUUGAUUAAUUUACGUUCAAGUGAAUCUAGUAAUUCACCAUCCAGUUUGAAUCGCUAAGAGUAUUAUUUCACAUUUAAUACUAUUUUAGUAGUAUUUUUUAAUAUCAUUUUCUAAUAAACAAAAAAAAUUAUAUCUAUAUUUUUGUACUGUUUUGUGUAAUCAAUCGGAUAUAUGGACGGUCUCCAAGAAUUGUGUAACUUGUGUUCUGAUCUUUGAGUUAAUCUUGUCAAUUUGGACGACUAAAGGAUCAACUUGGAUAGUUGGAUCAUAUAUUAAAAGUAAUUAAUAUAAUGAAAUUCGGAUAUGGUGGAAACGCUCGAGAGAAGUGGUGGUAGGUAAGGAGUCGUUGAUAAAAAAAAAAAGGGAAAUGAAAAACAAAAACUAGAUUAAAUGGAAAGUAGAAAUUGUUGCCAGUGGCACUUUAUAAAUAAGCAUUUAGUUUAUCUUAAUUAGUUGAAGGAUAAAAGGAAACUAAGAAAAGAGUAUAGAGAGAGAUGGGUAUAGGAUAGAAGGAAACUAAGAAAAAGCAAAACUAGAAUAUUAGGAAAGUAUAGGAUAAAAGGAAACUCUGAUCAGAUAAACUGAGAGAAGCUACAAUGUAUAUCAUAAGAUGCAUAUUAAUAUAGAGAGAGAGACCUAUAGAACAUUCAAAUGUGAUUCAUAUACAGUCACAUUCGAGUCCGGAUCUUGUUCGCAUCUUACGCAUCUUAUUUUCCAAAUUACCUCUAAUUGCAUGCAUUCACAUGGUCUCCCUAGCUCUUCCCUCCUCUUCUUUUUCUUCUCCAAUCCCUGCAACUACAUAUCGCAACUUCGGUUAUCUCAUCGGUUAAUCACGGUGUAAAAAAAUUGAGAGAGAAAAAAAAAGAGCUAGAAGAAUCAAUUACAGUAAUUGGGGACGUGAGCUUGAGAACGUUAUUGAAGUGGCUCACUCCUCUGCAAUACUGUGGAGAGGCCGGUCCCAGAGAUGUUCUUUCAAUGAUGCUCUCGAACAUGUCCCUACACUGCUCUUCUUCAUUCCUUGAAACCGCGGAUGCAAUCAGGGUCAUGAGCAAUAGAGCACGAUGCAUCGUGGGUUAAUUUGUAGUUAACUGAUUACGACGAUGUAAUGACGAGUACUAGCUGCUGAAAUUCGAUGAUCCGUGCUUCAUCACACAUGUAUAUAAUAUAUAGUGAAUUCAUGAUUAAUUAGUUUACAUGUGGGUUAAUUAAACGAUAUAUGGUUUGUUUUGGGAAACAUGUAAAGCUCGUGCUUCCUUCGUAAGUAUUCAUACAAUUUGUAUAUGUUGAUUUGUUAGACGGGCCUAACCAGUUUUCAUGGCACAUAAUGCUCGAGGGGUCUCCACUGCGUUAUAUAUGUCUGAUAUUUAUGUUAUCCCCGAAAACUUUUUUCUAGUCGUAAUAAUUAAUAACCACCACCACUAAAAUGGCCCCAGUAACAUUUUUCGUAAUCACUUGGUCCAAAGUGUAUUUGUAUGAAAUUAUUCUCUUAAGUAUAUAUUUUUUGGGUCAAACUAUAUCUAAAGUUUAUUUAUUGUUUUCAAAUAAAUCACCACUAGGUCUGGUAAGGUCGAAGCCAAAUUCGGGUAUUUCCGGUAAUUGUGGACAAGAUUAGGUAAUUUGAGAUAUAUAAUUACCUAAUUUUAUAAUGAAACCAUCAUUUGUAAAAAAUUUAACUAACAACCUGGAGACUUGAGUAAUUAACCCCAAAAAACUUCAACUCGUAUAUUUAUCCACUGAAAUAGAUUAUCUCAACUCGAAAAAGUAGUUCCAAACUGAGUUCAUGUAGUUUAGGGAGUAGAAUUAGUCUUCUCGGAUUAGUUCAUGUAAUACCGGGAGUACGAAUAAAGUUGGAUAAAGACCCGAAAUGUACAUACAGUAGAACCUCUAUAAAUUAAUACUCGAUAAAUUAAUAAUCACUAUAAAUUAAUAAAUUUUUUUGGUCCCUAAUUGGGAACAGUGUAAAAAUCCAUCAAAUUCGAUAAAAUAAUAAAAUAAUAAUAUUUUUUGAAACUCCGAUAUAAAUAUAUGGUCCCAACAAAAAUAUAAAUUAAUAAUUAUAUAAAUAUACAAAUAUAUAUAUAUUAUUCUAAAAUAUGAAUAAUGUGUUUACUUUUACUUAAAGUUGAAAUUUUAUUGGUGUUCAUCUGUUUGUUUAUUACAUCUCUAUCUCUUAUUGUUUUUUUUCAAUAUUCAUUCAAAUUUGUGAAGAAUUUUUGAUAUAAUAAUUAGGUUUCUUACACGUAAAUAUCUAUAAAUGUAUUGUAGUAUUGUCUUCAUUUUCAUAUUUUUGAUAAUAGCCAUGAUUUCUUAUAAAUUUUGAAUUUUUAAACAUGUAUAUUUUUAAUAGACAAAUUAAUAUUCUAUUAAAAACUAUUUUGUUAUGAUAACUAUAUUUAUUAAUCAUAAUUUUUAUUAAGUUAUUCUCUUAAGUUCUUAAAUACAAUAUUAUUCAAAUUUUUUUUAAAAAAGUUAUAGACAAAAACUAGAUUAUCUCUAUAAAUUAAUAAUUUAUUAAUUUAUAAAUAAAUUAAUAUCACGAUAAAUUAAUAAAAUUUCAUGGUCCCAACAUUAUUAAUUUAUAGAGGUUUUACUGUACUUCGUUAAGUUCUAUGAUAUUUGUUUUUCCACAACAACUGCUACUAGAAGAACUAAGAAGUAGAAGCCAGCUGAUAAAUAUACAUAUAUAAUGGCUUAGAGAAACAUUUUGCUUGCUUUUGUAACACUAGUCACUAAUUAAUACAAUAUACUCGAUUAUAUAUCAUACAUAGCUAUUACAAAGUCUUCCCUUUAAAAUACAUAUAUUCAUACAUAUUACAACUCUUCCCUUUCCAAUAUUUAUAUAUACUUAUAAGCUAAUUUAAUUUUCCAGCGUCGAUAACCUUCGCGUUUCUGAACCUGUAACGAAAAAAAUACCACUUAAUUAGAUUAGUUCUUUUUCACAUAGGAAUAAAUGUAACAAAUGACAUUUUUAGGUUAAAAAUAGGAGGAAAAAAAAUAAACGAUGGGGGAGAGGGAGAGUGAAAAUAACUGAGAACAGUCCAUUGCAACGGAGAUGGGAAAGCUGAGAGUAAGAGAACAAAGGAGAGGAAUAUUGUUAAUGGCAGGAGGCAGAAAAGGAAGAUGAUCUGCUCUUCCCAUUAUCUCUAUGCAAUUACACACUCUCUCUAUCUCUCCAUUCCCCUGCUUGUUCUUCCUCGAUCCCUGCUUAAUAUUAUUAACCUAGGUUAAUUAGGCUUACCGGUCUAAUCAAUAAUCAAUGGUGAAAAGAACCCGAAAAUUAGAAGGAAAAAAAUCGAAAAAUGGAAAAACCGAGAAAAGAGUAGUUAACUGGAGGAGUGAACUUGACAAUGUUGUUCAAGUGGGUCACGCCUGUACAGCAUUGCGGAGAAGGUUGCUGGAAUAUUCCCUCGACGAAGCCCAUGCACGGCAUGAAACUAUCGAACACGUCCCUACACUGCUCUAUCAUAAGGUCCGAAACCGUGGUCUUAAUCAGGGCCAAGAGUGUCACGAGCAAUAUGGCACGGUGCAUCUUAAUUUUUUGUUCUCUUUAACUGCUUACAAUAUUGAACUAAGGUGAGAUGAUUCGUGUGUGAUCACAAAUCGAUAUAGUUGUCAAUUAGUUUAUAUAUAUGGUAAAGUUUACUAUGCAUGGUUAGUUUAGCGAACACAUGUAAUUCUCACCCCUCCUUCUAAAUCGGAUUAAUUCUAGCCGAGUUCUCUUUCAGUUAUCUUGAAUUUAUUAAAAUUAUCUUUAUGUGAUUUCUUAUAUACAUCUAUACUCUAUAGGCUAAUUGCGUGUAAGGAUAUAAUUUUAUCGCAUGCCAUAUGAGUGACAUGCAUGCGUCUUGUGUUUAUCUAACACAUGUGCCGAUAUCAUUGCCUAUACUUUGGUCUCUUUCAAUACGUAUGUUAUGGAGAGUACGUAGAACGUUUCUGAGUUACUAUCCAACCAGUUUUGGAUUACCUUCUUGCUUCUUAAAUAACAUAAAUUUUGUAGACCUAAUUAACGAUUUUUAUUGUUUUUAGCACACCAAAAAAGUCUUGAUUAUCCUAUUUUAAAUUUUCAGGCAUUGGGGCAUGAUGAUCAACACUUACAGCCUAAGAUUCAUCCCUGUCCAAUGAUUCAAAGUACAUUGCCUCAAAGUCUGUUGGUUCCAGACAUGACAUUUAUGUUUUAUAUAUAUGAGAUUUAUAAAACAAACUUGGUUAUGGAGACAAAAAGUAUAUAUUUUGCCGCAAGUGUUUUUCUUGAGAAAUAAAUAUUUAAAGAUCGUUUAUUUUAUUAAAAAAAUAGUAUAUUUUACUAGAAAAAUAAUUUAUCAAGUUAUUUUCUACCCAAGAAACUGUUAGUUUCUCUACCCAAAAAACUCUAAUCAAAAUGAGUACUAGAAGACAAAAACCCAAAGUAGAUAAACAUAAAAUAAUCUUCAGGACUCUGGGUUCCUUAAAAUGGGCCCAGAAGGAAACGUGUCAAAGGAGCAAAGUAACAUUUUUCGUAAUUUUAGAUUUUAUCUUCUGACCAUUUUUUCCAUCUUUUCACAUAGGACAUUUUAGAACCCUACGGUUCUCGUCUCUUACAAGAAUUUUGUUACGCUUCGGAGAGGAAUCUUCGGUAAGCUUCCAUGAAUUUUCACUCGACUCCACUUAUUCUAGCUUUACCAUUUGACACUUCUCUUAGUUUAAGGGUUUUCUUUCAAUAAUUGUUCUGCAUGCUCGUGAAUUCUGUUUUCCUAUGCUACUCGCCGCUUGAUCUUAGUGAAAGAAUAGUCUCGUUUGAGGAGCUGCAAGUAGGUUUCCAAGUGUGCUUGUAUUUUGGAAUCAUGACUGGUCUAGUGAACUUGUGGCUUUAAACCGAAGAUAGUAGGAUCUUAUGCGUUGCAAUGAAUGGAUUGAUUGCUGUUCUGUUCUUUGUCAUCGUCCUUCUAAGCAUUCAAGUAUAGAAAUGUCGAGAGAGCGAGAAAUUUUGUGUUUAAUUAGUAGUUUUGCUGCUUUGCAGAUCAUCUUUUGCUGAGUUUUACAGUAAAAACAAAAAUGGAUGGAUCAAGGCAUCCGUCGGUGUUUCAGAAGCUUCAUGGACAAUCAACCUUGAUAAAUAGACUUUCUCCGAGCGUGCAAACUUAUAGUUACGGCGUCUCUGGUGCUUAUGUUAAUGGAGGUCUGCAGAGUCUAUUACAGUCAAGUAAUCAUGGCAUUGGCUCUUCUCUUCUACCACAUGGUUCGUUGCCUGUAUUUGCUCAAGCCCCUAGCGAGAAAACCGGUACUGGUUUCUUGAUCGAUUUCCUUAUGGGAGGAGUCUCAGCUGCUGUUUCAAAGACGGCAGCAGCGCCGAUUGAGCGUGUGAAGCUCUUGAUUCAGAACCAAGAUGAAAUGAUCAAAGCAGGACGUCUCUCUGAACCAUACAAAGGAAUCACUGAUUGUUUUGGCCGAACAGUCAAAGACGAAGGCAUGAUUGCACUUUGGAGAGGCAACACUGCCAAUGUUAUCAGAUACUUCCCCACGCAGGUUAGCUUUUUUCUUCUCUUCCAAGUUGGUGUUUGUAUAGACGUUGAGAUGAGUGUGCUAAGCAAAAGAUUUCUCUGUUUUUCAGGCGUUGAACUUUGCGUUCAAAGAUUACUUUAAGAGGCUGUUCAACUUCAAGAAAGACAAAGAUGGAUAUUGGAAGUGGUUUGCAGGGAACUUGGCGUCUGGUGGUGCAGCUGGUGCCUCGUCUCUGCUUUUUGUCUACUCUUUGGAUUACGCUCGUACCCGUUUGGCCAACGAUGCCAAAGCGGCCAAGAAAGGUGGCCAGAGGCAGUUUAAUGGCAUAGUUGACGUUUACAAGAAGACCAUAGCUUCUGAUGGCAUUGUUGGGCUGUACCGUGGUUUCAACAUCUCAUGUGUUGGAAUUAUCGUGUACCGUGGACUCUACUUUGGAUUGUAUGACUCAUUGAAGCCUGUGGUUCUAGUCGAUGGUCUCCAGGUACAAAAAACAAAGAAAAACUUUUUACUUCAACAUAUUGAGAGUCCUCUGUUGCUGUUUACUCAUUGGUUUUAAGCUGUACACAGGAUAACUUCUUUGCGAGUUUCUUGUUGGGGUGGGGAAUCACCAUUGGAGCUGGGCUAGCAUCUUACCCGAUCGACACGGUGCGUAGAAGAAUGAUGAUGACAUCAGGUGAAGCAGUGAAGUACAAGAGUUCUCUUCAGGCAUUUUCUCAGAUCGUUAAGAAGGAAGGGGCCAAGUCACUUUUCAAGGGUGCAGGUGCCAACAUCCUCCGUGCAGUCGCAGGCGCUGGUGUGCUCGCUGGCUAUGACAAGCUCCAGCUCAUUGUGUUGGGCAAGACCUAUGGCUCUGGUAGUGGCUAAACAACGAUAAUAGAAAGAAAAGUCCUUGAGCUCUAUGGGUGAAUAAAUCUCUCUGCCUUCGUACAAAUGUUGCUAUUAGAAUAUCGAGUGUACUCUGUGUGAAGUUGUGGCUUUUGUCUUAGUUAUGUGACAUUUUUCAGACAAAAAAAUGAUCACUGGAUAAAUAAUGUUAGUUUGUGUUUAUCUUGUUUUUUUAUUAAAUAUUUUUUUUAAGCAGGGUACAGUAAAGUUUGUAUCAAGAUUGGGUUUCCUUGGGUUGUAAGCGAAUGAGCGAUCAAAAUCCAACCCUAAGAAUUUGGUCUUCAAGUGUCGGUCUCAGAUCCCACUUCAAACCACUCCAGACAGCUACAGGCAAGGAGAUGAGUCCCUUUCCUUGAUUUUAUGCCACUACUUGAUUCUUCCUCUGUAAUCUUUGCAGCAAAGACUGAAACUUAAAAUCGCCUCUAUAUAUAAAUCGAUACUCUCCUCUCAGUUCUUCUUACACUUGAAACACAGGAUCCAUAAGUUGUCUGUCAAUGGCUCUCUCUCUUACAUUUCAUACUCUCCUCUCAGUUCUUCUUUUUCAUGUCUCUUUAGUAUCAACCGCAAAGCAUAGCCUUCACCACCACACAACUCACUCCCCAAACCAUAACCAGCAUCUUCAGCAAGCGUACCGUGCACUUAAAGCAUGGAAGAAGGUCAUCUACUCCGAUCCAAAGAACUUGACUGGAGACUGGGUCGGUCCCUCAGUCUGCAGCUACACUGGCAUCUUCUGUGCCCCAUCCCCUUCCGAUCCAAACACUCUAGUUGUUGCCGGAAUCGAUCUCAACCACGGAGACAUCGCUGGUUUCCUUCCUGAACCCAUUGGCCUUCUCUCUCACCUUGCUCUCAUCCAUCUCAAUAGCAAUCGCUUCUGCGGCAUCCUUCCUCGUUCAUUGGCCAAUCUAUCGUUGCUCUAUGAGCUCGACCUCAGCAACAACCGCCUUGUAGGCCCUUUUCCUGACGUCGUCCUCUCACUCCCUUCUCUGAAGUACCUUGACCUUCGUUACAAUGAGUUCGAAGGCCCUUUGCCUCCUAAACUCUUCAGCAAUCCUCUCGACGCCAUUUUUGUGAACAACAACAGGUUAACAAGCCUCAUACCACGAGAUUUCAGUGGAACAACCGCCUCUGUUGUCGUCUUUGCCAACAAUGAUUUCAGCGGUUGUCUGCCUCCAACCAUAUCUCGCUUUGCAGAUACCUUGGAAGAGCUUCUCCUAAUCAACUCAAGCUUGUCUGGUUGUCUACCCCCUGAAGUCGGGUAUCUCUACAAGUUAAGAGUCCUUGACAUGAGCUACAACAGUUUAAUUGGUCCUGUACCUUACAGUCUUGCCGGGCUAGGCCAUCUUGAGCUGCUGAAUCUGGAACACAACAUGUUCACUGGCACUCUCCCUCUUGGAGUCUGCGUACUGCCCAGCCUGCUGAACCUUACCAUCUCGGACAACUAUUUCUAUGAAGAAGAAGGCAUCUGCACGAACCUGACUUCCAGAGGAAUAGCCUUUGAUGAUCGCUACAACUGUCUGCCUAACAAACCGCUCCAGCGGAGCCAAAAAGUCUGUGAAGCUGUACUUGACCAUCCCGUAGACUGCCAUGACCACGAAUGCUCAGCCAUGGCUCCUACGGUUGCUCCGUCGACCGCAGGACCUGCCAUUUCUCCUGGUCCAGCCUACGCAUAAGGAUUCACUCAUAUGCCGCAUAGAAAAUAGAAGAACAAGAAAUGUGCGAAAGAUUGGGUUGUGGGGUGAAAGAAUAUGCACUAAGAUAGUAACAUUAUACAGUUUAUACAGAACAUAACAUCUAUCCGCGAUUAUAGAUUCCUUCUUUGCUCUGCUUUCGUCUAUAAAUCUUCUACACCUCUUCAAGGACCUUAAACCAAAGAACAGGUCCCACCUGUUUCAGCGUCAAAUUAUGCAGCAGUUAACUUCGUGAGUUUCUGCACAUAUUCCAGUAAUGUUAUACAAAUAACUGUAACAACCCACAAUUAUUUCAGAGUUCAGACAGAACAGGAAAAGACAAACCUGAAAAACGCAUGACAAAACACUCAAAAAGAACUAUGGUUCUUCAUAGCCCAGCCGAUUACAGACUCAGGUAUUAUUAUCCGGAAUUCUCAUUUACAAAUCACAUUCAAGUUUGAAAACAAUAAAUUCAGACAGAACCAAGACCCUAUCUACAAAAACUAUUAGGCAAAAAAACUUCCAAGGACAGGAAAAAAUGAAACUUUUAGAUUUUGAAAGUUAGAUUUGAGCUGUUACCUGCAAUUAAACUGAGUGAAGUCGGUAACAUCCUAACAAAGCAGAAAAAAAAAUCCUCUAUGCUGGAGGAAGCGAACGCCGACAAGUUGGGCAUUCCAUUUUUAUAUCCAUCCAUCGUUGUAAGCAUCCGGAGUGGAAGAAAUGUUCACAUGGAGUUACCUGUUUUAAGAACAAGCCCGCUCGUGAUUAUGUCUAUUAGGGAAAAUAAUGUAGUUGAGAGAAGCCGAUAAUUGGCUUGUGGGUGAAGAAGCUGCUGUACCAUGCAAUCACUGGUACGCUGUCUGAGAUCAAUAGCGGUCAUGCAGAUGACACAAUCAGUGGUGCGACUUACAUCCUGAUUAAAUCUUCUGUGGUAGUUAUAUUUCUCUGGUAGCAUCUGCAUGUAGACGAAAACAAUGAAGAAAGAGAUGAGCGGUAGUCAGAAACAAUUUAGCAAUGAAAAUUAACCUGAAACCGUAAAGAAAACCUUGAUUUGACUUUACUAGAUUGAAACGUUUCAUAUGUAACCUACAUGGAAAAGAACAAACUAACCUGACGUGGAACAAAGCAACGUGAACCAAAAUAAUGCUGAAGAAGAAGAAUGACAGCUUGCAAACCCAGGAAUGUGCACAAGCAUAUGCACCAGACCUUGCUGGGCUCUACACGCAUGAAGUUGUGUGGGCAUCCAAAAACAUAUAAGGGUAUAGCUAACCGUGUAGCUGUCAUACCCAAGAUGUAAUACGGGUGCAGAGGCUUUCUUGAAUCCCGGAUGACAUUGGUGACUAUCUGUGGUAUCCAAAAUGAGUACAUGAGGAGAAGAAUCGGCCGCAUGUAGUUGUGGAACUCAUACAUUAUCAAUAUGCCCCCAAGAAGGAUCCCAUCUGUUAAAAUAUUGUAAUAAUGAUCAAACAUCAGCUUGAAGCUUGAUACGAUAAAAAUACACCAAAGAACUAAAUACUCACAGAAACGGCUGUACAGAAAGGACAGCUCACGCCUCAUUGUUUCCCAACCUUCUCCGCUGUUGGAAGGCCGGGUUGCUUUCCAUAUGGCCAGAAGAUAUCUCAUCUCAAAAAUCGAAAAGACUACGAAUUUGAAGAACGCAGCGGUUGCAAAAGCAUUAAAUAGAGAUUCUGCAUGAGAAAGUUGAAAGCUUUAGGUUUAACAGUGAUUGAGAUUUGAGAAAAAUAUCACAAUGUCAAGUAGAAGACGGGUCAAUGUGAGACAGUAUCAGAAAAUCCAACACAAUGACUGAGUAAUUCAUUAAACGGGUGGGGACAGAAUGAUUGAUGAAAACUGAAAACCAACGAACAUUAUCAAAAUGAAGGGGAAAGAAAUAGGUUAAUGAGAAAAAAGAAAAUUGGUAUCUUUAAAUGCUCAGGUACAGUUAUAUGGAUAUACUAUACAUACCAACUAAUAUCCCGGCCGUGAGAUGUAAAAGGCAUAAAUAAGCAUCCAUGAUCGCUUGUUGCCCAAUCAUUACAAUAGAUACCUUGGCAGCACCCUUGUAUACAAGAAAUAUCCGGAAGUUAGUAUCGUUUAUAUUCAAUUAUGUACAAUAAUAACAAUUCAAACCAUGUGGUUUACUAUCUUACAGAUUGUGUGUUACCGUGCUCCAUUUGCCGGAUCAACAAAAGAACCUGGAGGAAAGAGACCUAAAGUGCAAUAAAGUUAAGGAAAGCGCUAAACUUGCAAAAGUGCUCGGCAUUCUGUAAUGAAAGUAUAAAACGGCUUUUGAACAAAGGAUACAAAAGUGACCAUUAGUGUAUAGUUCACAGCUUUGUUAUAGUAGACUUCGACAUUCACAGAAGUCGCAUUCAGUAACAAAGGCGAGAAACAAUCUCCAUCAUCGCCUACACCAGGACUUUCCAUUAAUCCUUCCAUGUGAUAAUAGUUUUUGUCUCCAUCUACCAAAAAAUGGAAAGUCCCCCAACAUACGUGACUAAGUACGCAAGGAUCACCUUAAUGUUUAAAGUUAGAAUACAUACUGUUUUCAAUAGAAGCCACACGGGAUAUCUGAGCUGCUAUUUCGAUAUUACAGUGCUUCUCUACCUCAUUUAUUGGUGCUGAAGUACAAUUGAUUGAUUGAAGGUCAGAGUUGCUGAAAAGUAAUACGUACAGAAAAAUUAGGAUAUUCUGUCUUUUAGAAAUUCUUACAAAGUUUCCGUUUCAGUAUUCUGUCUCUAGGAGAUUCUUGAAACACUUGAGAGGAGAAAAUUCCGAGCUGUCCAACAACAAAAAGUUGACAUUAGUAAGCUCUUCGAACAUUUAACACAACAAGCAAGUCAUUAGCAGAUAAAAGAUUAAUCAUUGCAAAACAAGAGUCUUUAAGCUUUACCAUAUGAUAGGGAUUCGAUAGAAGAUUAUUGUCUUCUUGCCCUGGAUCACUCUCCUUGCCACUGUUUAGGUCAAGUAAUGCAAAGACCUUGGAGAUAAGACUCAAUAAUGAACUUAAAUGCAGUUAAAUAAAUCAAUAUACCUGUUAUCCACGAGUCGGAGUUGUCUAAAGGGCCAUAUAUAUACACCUUCCAGGUUUAUUUGGGCACCACCCACAUUUUGUUCAUUGUCAAAUACGUCAUGGAAAACAACUACACCCUGUUCCAUUAAUGUUUUGAGAAGUUCAAAUACUGCAUGCUAUAAUAUCACGGACGAUUCUGUGAUACAGGCUUUAGAAGCUGAACUGUUCACCUGAACAUAAUGCACACCAGUUAUCUUUGUUGGAACUGCCACUAACUCAACCACAGAAUUACCAUUUGCUUUCUGCAGGUCUUGAAACUUCGAAGAGCUAUUUACGGAAUCCAGAUACUUCCAGUUUCCUAAAACAUAAGCCAACAGACAAUCCUCAAGUGGCCAGAAGUAGAAAAACGAAGAAAGACAUGCCACAAACCUCUAUAUGUUCCUGUUAUGUUCCAUGCAGAAAACGGUCCUACUUCAGUUACUUGCUUUCUACCAAAGAGCCACUGCAAGAUCACCAAAAUCUCAGGAAUUAAACAAUCACCCAGACAUCACGUAAGGUACUAUUAUCCUCUUCACUUUGCACAUUUUGCAAAAAUUCACUAACAAUACAUACUCAAACUACAAAUCUCAUCCUAGAUUCCCAAUUUCCAUGGGUUUUACAUCUACAAAACUAACCGGUCUCUACAUGGACGCCAUUACUGGAUCACCACGCUAAAGACAGAUUCGUUCUUACACACCUCACGGUAUUCACAGGCAGAACAAAGCUAAAUUAGAUAAUUUAAAAACAAAAUUCAACUUGCUCAACCAAAAGAUGAAAACAUAGACCGAAGCUACGCUACUCCUGAAAUUUUCAUUCGAUAUGGUCAAUGUCGCGAUAUCAUUUGACUCUUGAUCAUCUAAAUAUUGCUAAGAAUUAUCUUCAAUAAAGCAGAAAACUCUCAAAAUUUAGCUAAGUCAUCAAUUCCGACAAAUCAUUCAGCAGCAGAAACAAGUCAAUGAACACAUUUCCCAGCAAACUAGUCGGAUUCUUAGCUUGGAUAAAUCAGGUCAAAAUCAAACUUACGAAUCAAAAUCAUAAAUUUGUUUCUGGGAAACAUAAGAUUGACCGAAAUGAAGAAAAUUUUCAAGAAAUCAUGAAUUUUUACAACACAAACCUCGUCGCUCCAUGAUCGAGUUUUCUCCCUUAUGGGUCUAAGCCCAGCCGCUUGUUGCGAAACCGCCAACAAAAUCGAUAACCAGAAGAUAAUCUGCUUCUCGAACCCUAAUCCCAAAACCCCUAAAUGCCCCCGUUUCUUCAUCUCACCACAACUCCAAAUUUAUAACAAUAUCCGAGUGGAUCAGAACUGUUUCGGGUUUUGUUCCGAAACGCAAGUCACUGACGAAAACAAUCCGUUAUUAGGGCAUAGCAGACGAAGAUGGAGAGAAGAGGUUAGCUCCAAGUGAAGUCAAACAAAGUAGGUUUUGGUUUUGGGUUUUGUAAGAAGAUUGGUGGCUGUAUCAGACAGCAGAUAGAAAGAUGAUUACAGAUAAACAACCUUCUCAAAGAGACGUGAUUGAAGAUUUGUAUUGUAUCUGCAAAUUUUUUGCAACUCCAAUUGAAAGUUGUUCUGCGGUCGUUGAAGCUUCACAAUCAACUUCUCUCUAAUUAGUAAUUACCCAUUGUUGAACAAGUCGAAACUUCUUUGUCUCUGGUUUUUUUUUUCUUAUUAAUUUUCUUAUUUUUUGGUAAAGGGACUUUCUUGUUGAAAUCUCGCAUUCUCAGGUCUUUCUUGCGCCUAAAAAACAUAUUGCUUCCCAAAACAACUAUUAGUUGACAUAAUUAUUACCAUAAUUAAUGUCUGUUGAGUAACUAGAAAUGGAAAUUUCCAUUUCACGUUUUACGGAAUUUGAGCCUGAGUGAAGUCCCUAAUUCCCCACUACAAGAAAGCAUAUCCACUUGUAGAAAAUAAAAUUCUUCUACUCUUGUGUAACCUAUAUCUAUAUCAAUAUGGCUUUAAGAAUAGUCGAAAAAUGUGUUAAGAUUCCUAAUUUCUCAUUACGUGAAAGCAUAUCUACUUACAGAAAAUAAAGUUAUUCUAAUAUUGUACAACUAGUUGGGCUUUAAAAUUAAGAGGAGAACAGUGUAUAAAAAGCCUUUUUAUAACAUACCCGAUCCGUUUGUAAAAGCCCACUACAACUUAACUCAUUGUAAGUAAUUUGUAUAUUUUCUGGCCAGGAUUAAAACUUCAUAGAAGAAAUUAAGAGAAUACGUUUUUGCACACACACAAAAAAAAAAAAAGAGAAUACGUUACGUAAGUUUAACUAUUUUUAAAAAAGGGUUUCAGUUAUAUAUAAGAUGACUAACAAAUAAUUAGCAGAUCUGAUUAAAAUUAAGAAAUAAUGAUUAUUUGUAAGGAGGUGGAGAAAGCGAGUGAGAAAUUAAAGUUAAGUAGCCGUUAAGUCCAUUGCAUGUCGAUACGUGUAAAAAAGAAGAAAUGAGUAAAAUCGAAACGCUUCUAAUUAAAUUGCAUAUCCUCUAGAUAAUUGAUGCAGCCAAAAACUUCACCCAACGGCUAUGUCUUCUCUACUUUCACCAUAAAUACUCGUACAAAUCACCCAAGAGGCAGCAAAACACACACACACACACACAACUAAAGUGAGAAAUCAAGAACUUCAGGUUUAGUUAAAAUUUUGGGGAUGGGGUUGGUCAAAAGGUUUGAUGUUUCCUUGAUGAUUGUGAUGUUGAUGGGUUUGGGGUUUACAAUAGGGUUAUCAAAUGGGUACAAGUUCUAUGUUGGUGGGAGAGAUGGUUGGGUCCUUAAACCUUCCGAGGAUUAUUCUCAUUGGUCUCACCGAAACCGCUUUCAAGUCAACGACACUCUUUGUAAGUCUCUCUCUCACUCUAAUUUUUCUAUAAUAUAUACAUAUUAAUUUAUCAUUAUAACUUAUGAUUACAUCAAUUGGUGCGAUUUUGAUUUUGUAAGAUUUCAAGUAUGCGAAGGGAAAAGAUUCAGUGUUGGAGGUGAGUGAAGAAGAGUACAACACAUGCAACACAACUCAUCCCAUAGCUUCCCUCUCAGACGGAGACUCUCUCUUUGUGCUUAGCCGCUCAGGUCCGUUCUUUUUCAUCAGCGGCAACUCGGAAAACUGCCUCAAAGGCCAGAAGCUAGCCAUCACAGUCAUGUCCGCCGCCCACCACAGCCGCACUCCUCAUCAGCCAUCUCCCUCCCCGUCACCUUCUCUGUCUCCGGUCCAACAGGCUUCGUCGUCUCCGGCGUCUUCUCCGGGAGUGGUUCCUUCUGAUUCAGAAGCUCUUGCUCCGGCUCCAGGGCCCGCGUCGGCCCGCAAUUCCGCCGGUUUGGUUGGUCCGGGUGUGGUUUCUCUAGGCUUGGUUCUUGUGGUUGUCAUAAGUUUUCCGGGUCAUUUUUGUUUGUGAAGGUGUUAAUUCCUCUAGAGUUGAGAUGGGUCUAAUAUUAAUGUGCCGUUUUAUUUUGUUUGAAUUUUGAAGCAUUUGUGACUGUUUUAUGUUUUUCCUGUCUCGUAUAUGUCCUAGCUAAUAUUUAAUCAUGACUUAUUAUAUCAAAUGAGUAUAUGUUUUCGUAUUGUGUUUAUAAUUAUGAUCAUGCUAUUGCUCAUGCACAACUUCUCCGUAUGAUUAAUUGUUAGGUCGAUAUUGACAUUCGUGUAAACUUGUGAAUAAAUCUGACUUUCAUAAUAUUUUCAAGGAAUUAAUUGUUUGGCCGCUAUCAAGCAAUGAGCUAUUCAUAGUUCAGUAAACUGUGAAAGCUAUUCUUAGUGAAUAAUUUAGAUAUGACAAUUUUUAUACCAAAAAAUAAACCCUAAUUAAUCAACUGUAAUAACUGAGGUAAAUAUUCAACAAAAUGUAGAGUAAGAACCGGGCAAACUACAGAUCUAUUAACCACUAAAAACCCAUUUAUAAAAACCUCAUAUCAGUGAUCAAAUCAUUCACUAUCUCUACGACUUCUAUUCAACUCUUGAUGAUGAAUUACAUUAAGCUAUUGAUCAUCGCUAUGAUAAUUCCGGUGGCUGCAGCUCCGAUGCUGGUGAGAGCUAAGAAAGUGAACUGCGCCGGGUGGUCGGGGACUUGCAUCGACGGUGGAGAAUUAGAGGAGAUGAGAACAAUGACAGGAUUUGAUUUGAGCCGCAGGAUUCUAAAAGCCGCAAGAUAUAUUAGCUACAAUGCGUUGAAGAAGAAUAAUAAUGUACCGUGUAAACGACGUGGUCGUUCAUAUUAUAAUUGUGGAAAGCGCAAAAAAGCUAAUCCAUACAGACGAGGUUGCAGUGUCAUUACACAUCGUUACCGAUUCGCGAGUUAAUAAUGUGUAAAUUGUUAUGACUCUUCUUUCGUUUUGUUAUUUAUUUAUUCCGUUGCUGCUACCAUGAUAAAUUGAAGAUAAGAGAUUCUUUUUUUUGUCAAGUUUUGAUUGGCUAUUUGACUCUUAGAAACGGUGGAAAACGCGCUGAGUCUAUUAAACGUGGCAAGAAAUGUGUAAAAACUGAUAAGAUUUUUGUGGAUAGAAGGGAAAAUUUAAAAUGUAAAAACACACACGCUGGGGAUCGAACCCACGGCCAUGGGAUUAAAAGUCACGCGCUCUACCACUGAGCUAAGACGGCUUUGACGAAUUAUGAGCUAGUAAAAAUUUAUUAAACAGGUCCUUUGUGCGUAAUAUUCCUUUUUUUUUGGUCAAAGCGAAAUAGUCCAUAUCUUCUUCUUAAGUAAUCACUGAUGGAUAAUGGAUUCCUACUGCUCUGUCCCGAAAAGCUGGUACUUGCACAUCUACUCAAUUUCUAGUCUAUUCCAUUUUACAUAUUUCGCAUUUUAUAACCUUGCAACAUCACAUAUAUAUUAAUGUCUCUAGUUUCUAGUAUUGAACACGUUUGCAUGCUCAAUAUUUCAUAACCAUACCUGAAUUGAUUUCAGAUUCGAAAUGCUCUGUUGAAAAAGGUGAUACUUGCCUAAACCCUAAACCUUUUCAUAAAACUUCACAAGUAUUAAAGAAUCAAAAAUAACUUAAUUAAAUGUAGGAAAAAAACUAAUAUUGAGCCAACUAAGAUGAUGAUUGUUGAUUUUUGUGUUGCUUUAAACUUCACAGGAUACAAAUCAAAAACACUUCGCAAUGAGUCAAUUGGUAUAAACUUUUUUUUACUUAAAAAUUUGCACAUGUUUAUAUAUUUAAUACUAUAGGUUUAAACACGGCUCCACUGUGGAACUUAUUCACAUGUUGAUUAACUAUAAAAAUCUUUGAUCUACCAGUAACUGUUUUGUUACGUAUGAUUUGAUUUUACUCACGUUUAGUUCAUUUGCUAAGUAGAUUUAAAAAAAAAAAGACUUUAUUUUCUUAUACGAAACCGUGUUGACUUAGAUAAUAAGCACAUGGGGAAAUACCGAAAUACUCUGAAGAUUUUUCUAACCAGUGAAAUUAAAAUGUAUCUUAGUUAAAAUAACGCCGUAUAUACUAUAAUGGUCCAAUAAGUUGCCCUGUUUGGGACACACAAAAUGGGAAACUCAUUUCACUUUCCCCUAACUUAUUGCAUUUGUAAGUCUAUAAUUAUAUAUAAUCAGACGACCGCUAAGGCAGUCGGACAAUCCAUUCCGGUAGAUAAACCACCAAAAAGACCAUAAUUCAACAUAGAAACCCUCUGCUUUGGCUUCGGAAACCUAUCAUCAUUUGUCUCCGUCUCUAGAACCGGUGUCACAGAUUUUUUCUCACAAGUCCCGAACCACUUGGCCUGCAUGUACUUGUGUUUUCUCCAAGGACCCAUGUGCAUUUUCUUGUCUUUCAUGCACUUUUUUGCCGCCGUGCACAAUAUUUUUAUCAAUGAUUUUAGUCUCUCUGUUUUCCCGACGUACACCUCCGGUAAUAUUCCGAUGAGUCGCUUGUACUCUUCACUGCCUCUCGCCAUCUCAAACUCCGCUCUAAAAGACAGCUCAAUCACCACCCGGAUCUCGCCUUUCUUUGAACCAGAUUUGUCCACGAUUUCUAAAUAUUCAUGCUCACCUAAUGUUUUAAAUAAGAAAACAUCACGAUUUAGUCCAACUAUUAUAAUUUUAAUGACAACUUGCUAGAUACGCGAGAAUAAGAAAAAUGUUCAAAAUAUUUUAGAAAAACUAGAUAAUUCCGUUGACGUGGUUUUUCAUUGAAUAAUGAUGAUAAUGAAGAUGGCUGAAAGUUUCAAAAUAAGUCCAUCUUCAAACGAAAUCUUUUUGAAAUUUGUGAAUCUAAACUCUGAAAGUUUCAAAACAAGUCCAUAUUCAAACGAAAUCAUUUUUUAAAAAAAAAAUAUUAAUCUAAAAUAUCACAAAUCAUCUACUUUUACUAGGAAACUAGAAUAUUGAGAAUUUAAAGGUUUUGAGUAAAAUGGGGCUUGACUUGUACCUGCAGGGAUCUCAUGAUUGCUUCUCCACUUGGAUUUAGAGAUGACGCAAUCAUAGCCGGCGUCUCGGAGACGGCGAGAUACUUCGCCGCACAAACAGCGACGGCAACCGCCAGUCACGGGUCUACGACAAACACAUUGCAAACCCUUUGAUCUCACUUCUUUCAACGCUUCCUUCGUUGCUUGUCUAAUCUUUGUCUCAAUUGAACUUGUCCUAUAAAGUGUCGCCUACACAUUUCAGAUUUGGUCCAAAACAAAAUUAAUGAGACCCCACCAAAAAGAAAAAAAAUGGAAGUCUUAUCAAUUAUAAGUUUUGUUAAUUAAUAUAAGAAUUACCUGGAGAAGUUGUUCUUGUUCAUGCCAAAACUUUUUAUUCUCUUCAGAAUUGGAACCGGCGGCGUAGUCGUCAGCAUCAGAUUCUUCCCCGGCGGCGAAGUUAUUGGAGUCAGUGUAAUCCUCCGGUGAAUGAUUUCCUUCGUCGAGAAAACCAAACAAAACAUCGUCGGAGCUAGCCAUGCCGUCUAGAAAUUUCAUGAUGUCAUCGGAAUCUUGUCGAUCCAUUGCUUUAAAGAUGAGAGAGAAGAGAGAUGGAAAAAUGUUUUUUUUCUUUCUCAAUUCUUUUUUUUUUGGUUUUUGGGUUGCAGAAAAAUAGGAAUAAAGAAGCAGGAUAUAUAUAGUCAGAUUUCGAAGCCAGUGUGGGACCCGGAUAAAUGUUAGGACCCACUUUAGAGAUAGGACCCACCUGAGGGAUGAGAGAAACACAUACAAGGCGCCGCGAACAAGUGCUAUGGUGGUCUGCUGAGUUUGGAAGUAGAUGACGUGUCAAUAUUUGAUUGGGAGUUGAGUCAGAUCUGAAGGCUUAAGACAGCUAGUUCCUAUGUCAGCAUGGCCAAUCACGAGAACUCCGCACUCCAGAUUCGGAUAUACUCGAUCCCAAAAUAUUAAAAGAACCGUUUCAAUUAUCAAUUUGACAAAAUAAAAAAUUAUUUUAUUUUUGUUAAAUUAAAUUAGUACUAAUUCCAUUUUUAACAAUUGGAUUUCUCCAAUGUACUAUUUUCUUCACCGAUUGAAGUAAGAUUAGCUGGAAAUAGAUAAAGCGUGUUGAGUUAGGUUAGAGAUAACUAUAAGGAUGUUUUUUUUUUCAAUUGUAUAUCUCCUUGCAAAAUGCAUUAGCAUCUAACAAACAUGUUUUAGAAAAUAUACUAUACAAAUGUAUAUCCCAAAAUUUCACAUGAAAUUCAAGAACGAACAUGUUAAAAAAAAAAGGCGUUACCAUUUUUAUUUUUGAUUAUGAAGCGUUUCCAUUUUUAUAUUUGACAAUGAUUACAAGGUGUCUUAAAAAAAAUACAGAAAAGUAAAUAUUUUGUAUGAGUGUAUUUUGUAUCCAUCGUCCGUACAGUCCACAGUAUUAGAAACUUUCUUCUGUAAAAUUAAAUGUAUGUUUUAUGCGCCCAAAAAAAAAGUUUAUUGCAAUGCGAUUUAAAAAGGUACAAUUAUUUAAUUAUUGAAAAGCACUCGCUAGAAUCGUCCUGAUCUUGGGAGAUAGGGACCCACGUGCCAAAAAUCCAGACGGAGACAAAGACAUCUACGUGGAGGAUAGCCAAACACGUGUCUUUUGUCCUAAACGCCUUAUCCCGACUACCUACAUAGUUACAUACUUACAUGGGGCCUCCUUUAUCCUGCCACCAAAAUGAAUAAUUAGAGAAAAUUAGUUCAAAGUUAGAACUUCUAUUAGGAAAUAUGCCGGAAAAAAUAAAGAAUGAGGAAGUUUUAUUCUCCUUAAUUCAAUUAUAUAAAUCCGUUUAAUUUUACGAAAUUGUUUGACCAAAAUAAUUUUGUUUGAGCGUCCAAGUUAUGCAAGUAGUGUAUACCUCUGUCACUAAAUUUGUAAAAAGAAAACGAUAUUGAUUUUGAUCUAACAUACAGCAUAUUACCGAAACAUUUUUUUCGCAUCUACUAGACUACUACAACCUUAUAAUUUACUAAAAAAAUACAUGUAUAUAUAUAUAUAUAUAUAUAUUUAACUUCUGGAUAUGUCGAAUAUGCGUGCUAUAAUAGUAUCGUUAUCAGAUAACAAAAUAAUACGUAAAUCGUAUUAUACAACAAAUAGUAUAUGCUUAGUUUGGCCAGAAGGAUUGACAUGAUGUGGGUAAUUUAUAAAGUUAAAUCACAUUUUCUAUACAUAUUCAGAUGUUCAUGAAACUAUAGACACAGUUUAAUAUAUCACUCUAGCACUUCUGCAGUUCUAAGCAGAUGUUUUCUCUCGAUCGCUCACAUGAAAAUGUUGAACAGAUCAUAUCAUAAAACUGUGUUAGGUUUAUUAGGAUAUUCCGCAUAUAUUUCCAAUAAGGCUUUUGGGAGGCUGGGAAUAUUCUUGAACAAGGGUCACGUGGUGGCAGCAUGUGGACCAGGUCAUUGAGAUGAUGUAAAACACUAAACAGUUAGAACAUUUGUCGUUGUUAGUACUCUGACAGAUAGAAAAUGUGAUAUGUGCAAAAAACGCAAUCAUGAGCCAUAUUGUCGUUGCUUAUUAUGAAUAAUUCCGAAAAUUUGACCAUUUGUGAUUAAAUACUCCCUAAAUAUGUAAAACUUUUGAUACCGGUGGUCAUAUACGUAUUUUGAUAACGAAAUUAAAACUGAACUAGUUUCUGAAAGUCGGUUUACCGAAUUAUUUUACUACGCAUAUAUAUACGCAUAUAUAUAUAUAUUUACAUUUGAUAUCAUGUAUAUUCGUAUGAUCCAAUUUCUAUUACAUACAGAUAAAUCGAUUUCAGACUAAAACGAGAAUUGUUGAGAUUGGAGUUGCUCAGUUUGAGUAUGACUAUACUCAACUAGUUAAAUCAUAAAUUGUGAUUUGUUAAGUAUAAUUUAUACAGUAUUUAGAGAUCGAGUCUGGAUCCCGAAAAUCUAUUAUCUCACACUUGUACAUUGUAACAACAAAUAUCCAUUCUGAAACACGAAUCAAGUCUGUAAGAAAGUAGUAACUAAUAAAUAACCUAGGCUAGCUGAAUAAAGAAAAUGGGAUCAAACAAGAGUAAUUUCGUUUAGCACUUGCCUUCUACAGAAGUUCAGAUGUUGAAAGAAUGUCGUCAUUCAUUCAUUCUCAAGUCGAUGGGCUCAGAACACUCAAGUAUUUUUUUCGCCCAUUGGUGAGUUCCUUUAUUUUAUUGAAUUAUUUUUUUCUAUUGGAACCAUUCAGAGAUAUUCAUGGAUACCUUAUUUAUUUGAUUAAAAAGUUGAUGUGUUCGAGACCUAUAUACAUGUAUUCGGAUUAAGAUACAUAUAGUAUCACCAUAAUAGUGUUGUAUUUCGUAUAUACAUGUAUUAUUCCGCCAAUGAUAUAUUUUCCAUGUUUUGUAUAUUAUAUACUUAAGCACUUUUCAAGUUCUCUCUCAGUAUAUAUGUUUUUUUAACACUUAUCACCCAUUAAUUUUUGCAUCUUUUGCUGAGUCAGAUACAAUUUUCUCCGAUGGAUUUCGAUAUUGCCAAAAUAGAAAUUCCUUCUCAUUUGUACUUAUAAGUUAAAGCUAAUCGCGUUUGAAAAAAGGUUGCUGCAACUUGCUUGUGUCAAUAUAAUUUUCUUUCAUACGCACAUAAUUUUAUAAGGUUUAGUUGUUUAGAUAACACGCCAUUUUUUUAAAAAAUUGCAAAAGUAAAUACCUUCGUAAAAGACUUGGCAAUUAAAAAAAACACUUAGCAAUUACUCAAAAUUCCUCAAAUUUCCAGACGAAAAAAAGUUGAGCCUACGAAUUUCUUCGAGAGGUGGUGAGUAAAUGCGAAGUCUAUAUUGAGAUAUUUUUCCCCUAGACUCAAAGGUCUUAUUAAUUAAGAAGUUUGUACGUUCGCCUUACCAUGACAAAGUACAAUUUGUCCAUUAGAUCUCUAUAACAUUGAUCAGCUUUUAUUCAUUAUUUAGUCACCAUCAUCAGUUAGAGUAUUCUAAUUUUUCGAGGGAUUGAGGCCUGGCUAGGAGUGAAUCCCAAGAGGCAAAAGAAACAAGGUUAAUGGAAAUAUACUUUAACAUUAUUUAACAUCUAUGGUUGAUUUGAAUAACAUAUAAAGAUUUUGAAAAGGUUCGUUUCCGUUCUCGAAUCAUUUGAUCGUUACACGGAUAUGCUACGAGCACUUGUUAAGAGACAUUACAACUUCUUGUAUUGAUCAAUUGUGUACUUGAUAAUUAAAUUGAAACUAGAUUUACAUCCCGUGCGUCCGCACGGAAAUUUUUUAUUUUUCAUUUACAAUAUAAAUUGCAUUUAUUUUUUUGUUUAGAUAUAAUUAGUUUUUGUUAUUUAUUUUUUUAAAUCAAAAGAUUGUUAUCAUGUUUUAAUUUAAACAGUAAAAAUUUGUAUAUUAGUAGAAUAAGAGUAUACGUUAAUUAAGUAUACAUUGAUAUAAUGUUAAUUAUAAACUUUGUAUUAUGUGAAUUUAGAUUUACACAUAAAAAAUCUAUAUAUCUAUGAAUUUGCUAAUCCGUCUGUUUAGUUGUCUUAAAUCAUUAUUAAUAUCUUAUAUGUUUUGACAAACUAAUCCGUAUAAGACUAUAAUUAUAAAUGUAUAACCCUAUAAAUAUUUACUAAUAUUGAAUAUUUGGACCAAUUGAUUAUGAAAAAAUAUAAUAAGAUAUUUAUUUACUAUUUGUGCUAUUACAAAAAUGUAUUUAUAUAUAUAUAUAUAUAUAUAUAUAUAUAUAUAAACUGGCUAAUCUGUUAAUUUAAUUGUUUCAAAUCAUCUUAGUAUCUUAUAUGUUUUAGUAAAUUAACUCAUAGACCUUAAUUAUAUAUAUAUAUAUAACUCUAAUCAGUUCGAUCAUAUUAUUAUAUAAUAUAAAUAUUUAUUAAUCUAAAAUAUUUGAUAUUUUAGACCGAUUGAUUAUGAUAAAAUACGAUAAAAUUUUUAUUUACUAUGUAUUUUAAUAAAAAUAUUAUUUAAAUUUAAAAUUUUAAUUUAAAUUUAACCUGUAUUUAAGGAAUUAUAAAUUAUUAAAAUUAUUAUCUAAAUUUUCGUUAUAAAAUUUAAUUAUAAUUUUUUGAAUUUAAAUUAAUUUGAAUGCAGAUUUUUGUAACUAAAUUUAAUCAUAAAUUUCCAAUAAUUUAUAAUUUAAAUUAAAGAUGACCUAGAUUGUAGGAAACUUAAAAAUAUCAAAAUUAAUAACUAAUUUUCGGAAAUUAAAUAUAAAUAUAAAAUAAAAUAUCAUAAAAAAACUUUAGGAGUGUUUGGAAGCAAGCACUAAUUGUGCUUCUGUUUUAAUAUAAUAGAUGUUAAUUGGUUAAAAAUAAUACUAAUGAUUAAUUAAGUCUAAUAUCAGCAGAAAAGAAUCCCCUAUAUAUUAAUUGAGAAAGAUUGUUUUCAAAAAAAUUUAAUUUUACAUAUGAUUUAUAAUUUUAUCAUGCUGACAUGUCAUUUCCAUAGAGUUUUGGAAAACAUUUAUGAAAAUUAGAUGAAUACCUGCGUGUACACGUAGGUGUUUUAUUUAUUUUAAUAUACCUUAUAAAAUUACAUUUUAUUCUACAAAAUAAACAUAUUUUUUAUUUUUGAUAAUAUAAAUAUUAUCUAAAUUUGUAAAUAUAUUAUCAUUAAAUGUGAUUUUUUUUGUUUUAAUAUAAUUUAUUAAUAGAUAUUUUUCUAUAAGUUUAAUCUAAUUUUUUGUAUUUGGUAAUAUGAAUAUUAUAUGAACUCGUAAAAAUGUAGUUAUUAUUUUUUGUAGAUGUAAUAACUGAAACUUCAAAUCAUACAUCAAAUAAUAAAAUAAGAGACUUUCAACCGAAAUUCAAAAUAGUUUUCAUUAGAAUUUAGAAUUUCAAGAGCUGACAUUGAAGUUUUGUCAUUGAUUUGCUUAAACAAUACAGCUCAUUUCCUUGUCUUUUUUGACUAAUCAAUUAAGAUUAAAGAAAAUAAAAAAUCAAUGAACAUUAUUUGAACCUAGCUAAAUUCUUUUGAGAUGAGCUUUUUCUUAACACUCAGUGGAAAAUUCCCAAUGUAAACAAUUAUAAGAGCUUAUUCUCUACUUCGAAUCCUCCCUUCAAAACCAUCUUAUCCUCUACUUUCUGCCUCAUCUCACCAAGAGUCUUCUCCAUGUUGUCGUAUUUCUUCUUUGUGCUCAAACAGUGUUGUGUUCUUCCUUGUUUUUGUUGAUUUAUGCCCGAAACUUCAAAUCUCAACCCUUUAUCCUGGUGGUAGUGUUGUUAUCGGUGGGUAUGACUUUAUACUAAGAAGAAUUCAUACAAGGAAUAUAAUAGAGCUUUCAAAAACCCAUAAAUCAAAGAGGAGAUUUGUGGAAUUUUGAGUUAAUAUUCGAAAACAUUAGAGAUUGUUUGAGAUUCGAUCUUUCCAACUUCCAAAAUAGAAAUUAAUUUGCAGUUUAUUAUGAACCAUAAAUUAAUUUGUAUUUCUUUUCGGUUUUUGUGUUCAAUUAAAAUGAAAUUAGUACUCCCUCCGUUUCAUAAAGAAUGUCGUUCUGACAUUUUUCACAGAAAUUAAGAAAUAAAAUAAAAUAUCUCUUAUACCCUUAUUAAUUUGCAGAAAUGACUUUUGGAAUUACAUUUAUAACUAAUUUUCUGAAUUUAUUUUUGAGGUUAAAAAUGAUAUUUUAUGUCAAAAUUUACAUUGUAAUUCUAAAACGACAUUCUUUUUGAAACAAAAAAGUGUCAGAACGACACUAUUUGUGAAACGGAGGGAGUAUAAUUUAAUUAUUUAAUUCUCUCAUAAAUUUUUUUUUAAUCUGAUGUGUCAAAAAAAUAGAUGCUGAUGUGUCAAACUUGUGAGACUCAACUGAGUCUUUAUAUAAUAAAUGUGUUUAACUUAUUAAAUAAUUACCUAACUAGUGUUGAAAAUAGUGUGUUUGAUUAUCAAUAAAUAAAAACAGUACCAACUAAUUGUUUAUUAUUAAUAUACGACCUCUCUUAAUUUUUCUAACUAUUUUGGUAUUGUUUAUCGUUGUAUGCAUGUCACACCAAUAAAAUAUAAAAAAUAACGCUAAUUUACUAAAUUGAAUCGCACUCAAAAGUUCGAUUUGAAACUAUCGAGGUUGAAAUCAAUUUAGUACUUGAAUAUAUGAAUCAAUAUGCGACUAAACCAUCGGAUUGUAUAUUUUAGGACAAUUUUUCUUUUUUUUCUUUUCUUUAAAGGUCACCUGAAGAAUGGCGGCAACUCACUGAUAAAAGAGAAGGCUGAGUUCAGUUGGAGGCAGAGCCAUGCAAAAUGCAAUCGAGAAAAAGAAAACAGAUAAAAUAGCAUCAAAGAUUAAGGAAGCAAACAAGGACAAGAAUAGACGGCCAGCUUCGGGGAUAACAAAGGAAGAUUAUGUUGGGUUUGAUUUAUUCUUUGAAUUAGUUAAGAGUUUGAAUAAAUCUCCUAGAUUGUAGGAGUCAACUAGUUGUUCAAUUGUGCUUCCGUAAGUUUCUCUUUCGUUUGUUGUAGAAGACUUAAUCUUCAUUUUUUGGCUAUUUAAAGGCCAGUAAGCUAUGAUAAUAAAGUAUCAAAGUAUUCAGCUUUUGUGUGAGUGUUCUCUGAAAUCAACAAAUUAGUAUCAGAGCAAAAUCUAGAGAGAGUGAAAAACACGGGUGAGUGAAAGAGCAAAAUCAAGAGAGAGUGAAAACACGGGUGAGUGAAAUGGGAGAAUCAAGCAAUUUUGCGCAGCCAAGCAUUCCAAAAUUCGACGGGGACUACGAUCAUUGGAGCCUCCUCAUGGAGUAUCUCUUGAGAUCAAAGGAAUACUUUGGGGUGGUGAAAGAUGGAGUCGGUGAGCCAACCAAUGAGAAGACGCUGUCUGAGGCACAUAAAAAGGUCCUUGCUGAGGCAAGAUUGAAGGAUCUCAAAGCGAAAAACUAUCUCUUCAGUGCAAUUGACAAAUCCAUUCUCAAGACAAUCACAUUGAAAGAUACUUCCAAGCAACUGUGGGAUUCGAUGAAAACAAAAUACCAAGGAAAUUCAAGAGUGAAGCGGGCCCAGUUACAGACGUUGAGGAGAACGUUUGAGUUGUUGGAGAUGAAGAUUGGAGAAUCCAUCUCUGAAUACUUCACAAGGGUGAUGGUGGUGGCCAUCGACAUGAGAAAUUGUGGAGAUGACAUGCAAGAUGUCAAAAUUGUGGAGAAAAUCCUGCGUACAUUAAAUGAGAGCUUCAACUACAUUGUUUGUUCUAUUGAGGAGUCCAACGACAUUGACAGUCUCUUGGUUGACGCACUGCAGAGCUCGUUACUGGUGCAUGAGCAAAAGAUGAGAAGACCAAGUUAUGGUGGAGAAGAACAAGCGCUGAAAGUCACUUCCGAUGAUCGAAAUGGCAGAGGCAGAGGAAGAAUAGGCCAAGGAAGAGGACGCGGGAGAGGAAGAACUUUCAACAAAGCCACCAUAGAAUGUUUCAAAUGUCACAAACUUGGACAUUUUCAGUACGAAUGUCCAAGCUGGGAUGGAAAAGCUAACUAUGCGGAGGUAGACGGCGAAGAAGACGACAUGUUGCUGAUGGCGUUCACAGAAUUUGAUCAUGAUACGCUGUUGAUGGCUCUCACAGGAAAUGAGAAAGGUGAAGAAGUGGUUCCUAGAUUCUGGUUGCAGCAAUCACAUGUGUGGUAACAAGUCUUGGUUCUCCACACUCGACGAAGAAUUUCGUCAUUUAGUGAAGCUAGGAAACAAUUCUCAAUUAAAGGCGAUGGGAAAAGGGAACGUGAACGUGCAAAUGAACGGAAGAUCACACACAAUCACUGAUGUGUAUCAUGUACCUGAUUUGAAGAGCAACUUGUUCAGUAUUGGACAACUUCUCGAGAAAGGAUGUGAAAUCUUGAUGAAACACAGAGUUUGCAAGCUGUUUCAUCCGAAACUAGGUCAAGUCAUGGAGUCAAAGAUGACAACAAACAGAUUGUUCAAAAUCAUGGCAACCAAAAAUCCGAUGAACGCUGCAUCCAAGUGCUUGCAGGCUGUCACAACAGAUGAGUUUCAGCUCUGGCAUCGCAGAUAUGGACAUCUCAACUACAAGGGUCUGAGAACUUUGAAAUAUCAGAAUAUGGUGAAAGGGUUGCCACAUCUAAAGACAACGGAGGAAGCUGCAAAGUGUGUGAGCUGUUUGGUGGGAAAACAACAUCGGGAAAGCAUCCCAAAGAAGAGUUUAUGGCGUUCAUCCCAGAGAUUGGAACUGAUACACUCAGAUCUCUGCGGCCCAAUCUCUCCAGCGUCAAACAGUGAUAAGAGAUAUAUUCUCACCUUUAUUGAUGAUUACAGCAGAAAUGUGUGGAUUUAUUUCUUAUCACAUAAAUCUGAGACUUUUACUUUGUUUACAAGAUUCAAAAGUCAGGUGGAGAGAGAAACUGGAGAGGCGUUGGUGUGAUUGAGAACAGACAGAGGGGGUGAAUUCAUGUCUAAUGAGUUUAAACUUUUUUGUGAAGAGACGGGGAUAAGCAGACAGCUCACAACAGCCUUCACGCCACAACAGAACGGCGUCGCCGAACGCAAAAAUCGUACUAUUAUGAAUAUGGUGCGAUGCAUUCUAAAUGACAAAGGAGUCCCUCGACGGUUCUGGCCUGAAGCAGCAAGAUGGGCAGUUCAUGUUCUUAAUAGAAGUCCAACCUCUGUAAAACCAACGGUGGACUAUUUCAGAGUGUUUGGUUGUCUGGCACAUGUCCAUGUUCCAGAUCAAAGAAGGAAGAAGCUGGACGAUAAGAGCAUCACAUGUGUGCUAAUUGGAGUGAGCAGUGAAUCAAAGGGUUACAAAUUGUAUAACCCAGUUACGGAGAAUGUCGUAACGAGUAGAGACGUUGUGUUCGAAGAAGAGAAAGGAUGGGAUUGGGAAAAGAAAACUGGAGAAAUAAACAGAGAGCAGCUGAUUUGGGAGGAUUUUGAACCUGAUAUGGAGCAGAAUGAGGACCCUCUUUCACCACAAGCUACAGUACCAGAGGUGAUUCCUCAGACAAAUCCUCCAUCGCCUCAAGCUGUAGCGUCAGAAGAAACUCUUCAAAUUUCUCCAGCUCAACGAAUUAGAAGACAGCCCACUUACUUAUAAAAUUACACCACGGGAGAUGAAUUAUCUGAAGACGAAGAAGAUAUAACCAACUUUGUGAUGUUCACUUCAAUGGACGAUCCAGUCACAUAUGAUGAAGCCAAAGGAGAUGAGAAAUGGGUAAAAGCGAUGGAAGCUGAGCUGGAUUCAAUUGAGAAAAAUGGAACAUGGUUUCUUACGGUGUUACCAAGAGGAGCAAAGAAGAUUGGAGUGAAGUGGGUUUAUAAAACAAAGCUCAAUGAGAAAGGAGAAGUAGACAAAUACAAGGCUAGACUCGUCGCAAAGGGGUACGCACAACAACAAGGUGUAGAUUAUAAUGAGGUGUUUGCCCAUGUAGCAAGAUGGGACACAAUACGUAUGAUCUUAGCACUGGCGGCUCAAGAAGAUUGGUGCGUGUACCAGUUGGACGUAAAGAGUGCAUUUUUACACGGUGAGUUAUCUGAAGAUGUUUAUGUGGAGCAGCCGUAGGGAUAUACAAAAAAGGAGAGGAGAACAAAGUUUACAAGCUCACAAAGGCUCUUUACGGCUUGAAACAGGCACCCCGUGCUUUGUACAGUAGAAUCGAAGCAUAUUUCACCAAUGAGGGAUUUCAGAGGUGUGAAUAUGAGCACACACUGUUUGUGAAAAUCGGUGAAGGUAACAAGAUUCUCAUUGUUAGUCUUUAUGUGGAUGAUUUGAUCUUUACGGGGAAUGAUAUGAGUAUGCUUGAAAAGUUCAAAUCAUCCAUGAAGGAAGAGUUUGAUAUGACCGAUUUGGGAAAGAUGAAGUAUUUUUUAGGGGUUGAAGUGAUACAAGAUGCAGAUGGGAUUUUCAUUCAUCAAAGGAAAUAUGCUGGAGAAAUCUUGGAAAGAUUUAAUUUGCAGUGUGCAAAUGAGGUUAAGAAUCUAAUUGUGCCAGGAUCAAGACUCUCAAAGGAAGGAGAUGGGAAUAAGGUGGAUCCGACGCUGUACAAGCAGUUAAUUGGAAACUUGAUGUAUAUUACAUCAACGAGGCCAGAUGUGAUGUAUGUGGUGUGUUUGCUGAGCAGAUACAUGGCGGAUCCUACCGAUCAACAUAUGCAGGCGGCUAAAAGAGUGUUACGUUAUCUGAAAGGUACUCUGGAUUUUGGUGUGUUUUACAAAAGAGGAGCUUUUGGUGAGUUAACUGUCUAUACGGACAGUGAUUACGCCGGAGACGUCGAUGACAGAAGGAGUACAAGUGGUUAUGUCUUUCUUCUGAGUGGGGGAGCUGUAGCGUGGGCGUCGAAGAAGCAGCCGGUGGUAACCUGGUAACCUUAUCCACGACAGAGGCUGAGUUUGUUGCAGCGGCUUACUGGGCUUGCCAGUGUGUUUGGAUGAGGAGGAUUUUAUCAGAGUUUGGAUUGGAGCAGACAAGAAGCACGACAAUCAUGUGUGAUAAUAGCUCAGCUAUUAAGUUUUCUAAGAACCCGGUGUUUCACGGACGAAGCAAACACAUCGAUGUCAGGUUUCAUUUUCUAAGGGAUCUUACUAAAGAUGGAGUUGUUAAGCUUGUUCACUGUGGAACAAAUGAUCAGAUUGCAGACAUCUUAACUAAGCCACUGAGAUUAGAAGUGUUCGUGCGUUUAAGAGAAAAGCUUGGAGUUUGCAGAAGGUUAAACUGAAUGCUACCGCUUUCAGUUUAGGAGAGGCAUUGUUGGGUUUGAUUUAGUCUUUGAAUUAGUUAAGAGUUUGAAUAAAUCUCCUAGAUUGUAGGAGUCAACUAGUUGUUCAAUUGUGCUUCUGUAAGUUUCUCUUUCGUUUGUUGUAGAAGACUUAGUCUUCAUUGUUUGGCUAUUUAAAAGUUAGUAAGCUAUGAUAAUAAAGUAUCGAAGUAUUCAGCUUUUGUGUGAGUGUUCUUUGAAAUCAACAGAUGAGAAACAAACACCAAAUUUAACCAAGCAAUAACAAUAUUAUCAGAUAACUUUUAGAUUACUGAAUAACAAAAUAGUCACGGACUUAAUGCUCCUUCGGUUCUUCAGCAGACUAUUAUUCAUUGUUGUCUUUUAAUUCUAAUAGAUCACAAGUUCAUACCAUUUUCUUAACACAAUAUCCACAUAUGAUACUCACUAAAACUAAAGACUUCAUGAUAUUUUGGAAUUAUUAAUGUACUUUUUUAUAUAUCUUUUAUUCGUGUGUUUAAGAUAAUAAGUAAUUAAUUAAGUAAGAGUAGGAUAAGAAGGAAUCGAAGUUGGAAUACUUUUUUCACAAAUUUGUUGGUCUCCCAGCAUCAAGACUGAUGGGAUAUUCCCAUAAGAAUCUUAAACAUUGUCUCCAAAAUAUCUGUAGAUAUUAUUUGUCUUUGUAAAGAAACCAUAAUCAAUUCAAAAUCCAUCAUCAAUCUAAUGUUCAACCAAAAACAACUAAACAGUUGAAUAUGUUGAUAAAGUUCCAUUUCUUAAGCUGUUCCACAAAGACAUAUACGAAUAAACUACACAAUAAACUAAGUCAAUUUGCAUUCAUCGUACAAAUUUAAUACGUUUUGUUCAAUGUAAUAUUUAUAAUUAAACUCACUAUCAAACAUUUAGUACUUGGAUUUUUGUGUAAAGUGUAAGAAUCAAAUCUUAAAUAAAUAGCACUUUUUCAUGUUGAUAACAAAACACAAAAAAAUAGAAGUUUUAUCUGUAUCAUCAAUACACCAAGACAACAUUUUCUCCAGUAAAAUUUAAAUAUCUCUUUAAUAAAGAAAACAGAGUCGGCGAAAAAGGGCCAGUUAAGACGAAGACUAAUGUGAGAUUAUUUAAAUGAAAGUAUCAUCAAACAUCAAUUAUGUCGAAUAAUCACAAUUACGGAAAUAAUAACAGCCUUUUGAGGCUAGAAAACUAUGUGCUAGAUGAAAGCUGUAGCAUAAUUAGCGAACCUGUUAAAAAAAUAUCAAUUGUACGGUAGUUUUGAAUUUUAAUUCAACAAACUUAAUUCUUAAUCCCACGAUACCAUAAUCUAUCCCAAUACGUUUGUAAUUCAACUGGUGUUUAACAGAGAGAGUAAUAUGCGCUUAACUGAAAAAUUCAGCUAAACUACUUUACACCGUUCAAAACAUCACUCUGAGACAAUGCUAACCGGCGCUAAUUACUUAACCAUACCGAACGUAUCGUUGUCUCUAGAAGAACAAAAGAGGUUUUAAUAGUAUGAGUUGUGAACGUGAUAUGAUUGUAGGAAAUUAUUUGGAAAGCAAAAAUUAUGAUGAACUCAUCAAGUUACAUGGGAAUGAACUUUAUACCUACUUCCUAGUUACGAAAAUGGAUGAGGUAAGCAAGAAAUUAAAUAUAUAUCUUUGUCAUCUGCUUCGUAUAUUUUCCCUGUACGACGACGACUUCAUGUUAAAAGAAUAGCAGUUAGGAUAUGGGUCGUGGGUCUAAAAUCCCACCAUAUUAAUAAAUAUAUCAAACUUUAAAUGAUGUACCUACAUGAUAAUCUCUUCAACCUAACCUUGAUUAAAGAAACUGUUUAGAAUGCUUUGUUGAGAUAGUGGGAACAUAAAAUAUGAGAUUUUCUGAAACCACCAUAAUUUAACCUUAAAUUAACGCUUGCAACUUGAGACGAUACUUGAAUAAAAUUUUACGUUAAUCAUGCUUUUCAACUUUCAAGUAGUGUUAGUUAUUUCUGAAAAUAAGAUGUUACCCGGAAUCUAAUUCGUCUAUAGUAAAAAGAGAAGAUUUUUUGUUGUUUCUUUAAGUUAGCGUAUCUAUAAAGAAGAUUAUCAUCUCAAGGUACACUUUAUCCUAUGCAUUAAAUUAAACUGCCUUUUCACAACUUGUAUCAUUUCAUAGGAUAAAAUUAAUUUAAAGUUAUACAAGUUCUUGUUUAUUAAAUUUUUACAAGUGGCUAUAUAUAUUAAUCUACCUAUUUAAAUGAGCUUAGAAGAUUUUGAUUAGAUUUGACCCACACUUUGAUUUUAGUCGGAUCCAUCACACUCUAAGACGAACGUUUAAAUGAAAUAAAAAGGAUCUUAAAUUUUAAAAUAUACAUCCAAAUGAUUCAAGGAGAGUGCAUGUAUUUUGUUGAACUCAAACCGGAACACCAUGAACAACUUUUUAGUACUACCAGGCCUAACUCAACGGCCCAAAUCUAGAAAUAAGGUGGUGAAUUGGUGAUCUUGUUUCUGCGAGUUCCCAAGCAGACAAUUACUCUAGUUGCAGCGUCUCCAGAUUCACCACCUUAUUCCAAUAAGGCAAUAAUCUGAAGGCCGAAAAGUAGAUGUUUGGAAUAUAAAAAAGGGUAAAAGUUGAUAAACUGCACCAGCCGGGAAUCGAACCCGGGUCUGUACCGUGGCAGGGUACUAUUCUACCACUAGACCACUGGUGCUUCAUUGAUGAUGUUAACACAUAGUAAAAUGAUUUAACUAUAGAAACAGCUUCAAUCUCAAUGAUAAAUGAAAUUCAUGCAAUCUUAGAGCAUGUCCAUUGGAGUGUCAUAACACAACUUGAUCAAGCUGAAGGAACCAAAACUUCACAUGUGGAUAUGAUGUAUUUUACAAAUAUGUCUACAAAUCUCAACAAUGUGAUUGGCGAUCGAAUUCAAAUCCGAAAUGAAGUCUGGGAUAGGUAAAUACAUCUUCGAUUGAAAGCCGAUUUAGUGGAAUGGAACAAAUUUGGUACUCCUGAAAUUUAAAUCAAAAUGUUCUGUAUUUUAAAUAUCUAUAGUAUCUAUGUUUAUGUUUUUGAAUUUUCUUGUAAUGAUUUAAAAAUCUAUGUUCUAUUAAUAUGAAAGUUUAAAUUACAUAAACAAAAAAAAAAUUAAUUUUUUAUCCAUAAGAACUCUUAACUCGGGUUCAUUAAUGGAAGCCCAAAUCAACUUCAGUAUCAUCAAUGUUCACGUCUCCAAAAAGUAAUAUUAUUUUUAAGUUAACAACCCCAUUAACAGUAUGACUAAUGGACAUGCUCUUUAUAUACAGAAGAAUCACACAACCUGUAUAUUACUAUAUCCUACAUAGUAAACAAAAAAAAAACUCACACAAGUUUUUCACCUUCCCUGAAGAAUAGAAUCAGAACCCCCAAAAGAAUUAGAAUAAGAAGAUGAGUUCCAUACAUCUAGGAACGUGGGAUGUUGUUGUCUUCCCUCAUCAGUUCCCAACAAGUAACAACUCUUCAUUCUCUCUAACAAGCUCACUUCCAUGCCUUCUCUUUCCAUCUCAUCACCAUCAUCACUCACUCUCCCUUGUUCCAAUAUAUGCACCACUUGUCUCAUCUUUGGACGCAUCCUCGGAUCAGGAUGCACACACAACAGUCCUAUCCUCAAACCCAUCUCUACUUCUUUGGUCUCGAACCCUCCUCUCGUUUUUAUCUUGUCAUCUAAACCAUCAACCACUUGGUCAUUCUCCAUUAGUCCCCACAUCCAUUCCACUAUACCUUCUUUUCCUUCCUCUAGUGGCCUCCUUCCACACACUACUUCCAACACAAACACUCCAAAGCUAUACACAUCGGUCUGCGCCGAUGCUCUCCCUGUCUUAACCAGCUCAGGAGCCAUAUAACCCGCUGUUCCAACCACGUGUGUCGUGCUAACCAUCUCUUUCCUCGCGUUCUGCAACUUAGCUAACCCGAAAUCACCUACCCUCGCAUUCAUAUCCUUGUCAAGCAACACAUUGCUCGACUUUAUAUCUCUAUGCAACACUUUUGACUCCCACCCUUCGUGUAGGUAUAACAUCCCUGAGGCUACGUCUCUUAUCACUCUCAUUCUUUCUUCCCAAUUCAACAUCACGUUGCUAUCAAAUAUCCGCUUAUCUACGCUUCCAUUCUCCAUAUACUCGUAGACCAAUAUCAGACUCUCUCCUCCUUUCUUGCACCAACCUUUUAGUCCCACUAUAUUCUUGUGUCUUAACCUCCCUAAGCUCGAGACCUCGGCCAAGAACUCACUCGUCCCAGCCACGCUCUCACGAGGGCAUAUCAUUAUCCUCUUCACAGCAACUUCUUUACCUUCCAACACUCCUCUAUACACCUUUGAAUUCCCUCCGUAUCCGAUCAUAUUCUCUUCCGAAAACCCUUUUGUUGCUUCCAAAACGUCUCUGUAUUGCACUCUGUGAGGCCAAUACUCUGUUUCCCAAUCUUCCACAUCAUCGUCUAGUCGCCGCCUUUGCUGCCUUAUAACAUAGAAUAUGAUCCCAAUUACAAAGACUAGUAACACAACAGCACUAGCAGAGACUCCAGCAAUGAAGCCUUUAGACUUAAAAACAGAGUCAUCUUGCAAUUGAAACGAAGGAAGAUUCCUAGUCACUAAAGCGUCGCCAAUGGAGAAAUUAGAGUUGCUAAAGCUCCACGAGAUGAUCCUAUGGCUCUGCACUAGUACCCCUGUGGAUCCAGUGAAUCCCACGAACAUAUCAUCAAGUAAAACUCCAGUGAGAUUCAACGGAAUGCUUAUGAGAGGUCUUAAAGGUUUCCUAGAGCCAGCUCUAGCCAUCGUGACAUUUAUCGCUGACCCAUUAAACUCAAUCCAAGCCUGAUAGUUCUCGCCAUUGUUAAGCCUCAGCUCCGUGAAUCUAUCUCCGUCUCUGCCUCCACAGAAACCGGCGACCGCAGAUGUAACGGAAGUGAGAGAAUUGACGUCGACGCCGACGUGGUUAUCGUUGAUGUCAUUGAACUCUUCGUUUCGGUAAACGUCGAAUUCAACUCCAAAGAUUCGGUUUUUGGAGUCGCCGUUAUUUGUCAAAUUGAGCAUGCCGAGAUGCUGAGCUGAGCUCGCGGCGGUUGUUUCGGAGAAGGGGAGGAAGACGAAGGCGAAGCCGUGGCCAGGGAGCCUGUUUUUGUAUGGAGCUAUGGAGAAGAUGAAUGAUGUAGCGAAAGGGAGCGGCGAGGAGGAGGAAGCGGCGGAGAUUCUAGAAGGGUAGAGGCCACGUCCGAUGGAGAGAGUUGUUUCGUUGGUGAGGGUGAGGAUCGACGGCGGAGAUGUAACGGUGGCGGCGCCGACGAGAAGUGUGUUGGUGGUGGUGAAAUUGGAGUUGUAGAUGAAUUCGAUGCAUGAGAUUGAUCGGAAUAGUAGAUGGGAUGUGGCGAAAAAUAUAAAGAUGGAAGCUUUGGACAACAUGGUUAAAAGAGGGAUUUUGAUCAGAGGACAGGAGACGAAAGAGAUGAUCUUUUUGCGUGGAAGUGUUUAAGUUUAUGAGAAGGAGGAAGAGGAACAGUUUGGUCAAAACUCAAAAAGAGAUUUGACUGAUUUUUCGUAGCUGUGUCAACCAAAUUCAAAUAAAUUGUCUACAACUCGAAGAUUCCAUUUAUAUAAAUGAUUAAUGAAAUAUUAGUUAAUACUUUACGAAUUUUGUGUUUGAACUUUUUAUUUGAAUAAACAAGAAUGUGACAAAAAGACGUCACAAUAUCCGGCGCGAGAAGUCGUAUUUUGUUUGAUCUCUAAUAAAUUUAGCAAUUGAAAUUUAUUUUUCCCCCCAUUUUUCCUCAUCCGAGCCGCUUGGAAUUAAUUGGACUUGGUAUGGUCCUCUGUUCACAUUUAUGUGUAUGACAGUAAGAGUGUAUGAUGAAAGUAUUGGUCAAAAAAGUCAGCCUCGAAUUGUCAAAUUUUUCCUCUUCUAAUUUUUCCCUUCGAUUCUUGCAAACAUAUCGCACAUUAGUCAACUUAUUCGUUAACUGUAAGCAUCGUCGAAUUAAUCCUGAGAUCACGUCAAAGCCCUAAUACUCUAAUAGUAUUGCUGAUUACAUUUUUUAAUGAGUUCGAUAUGAUAUUAUUGGUGUGUAUGCAUGUACAUAUUUCACUUGGUUCAAGAAAACGGUGCGUUUUUGGGAGAUGAGCCGAAAGCGAAUAGAGAAGAAAGAACAAAAAAAUGGAAACAGAGCUCUCCAACUGUCAGUUUGCAGGAAAAGGCAAAGACUUUAAAUGGACCGCUAAUAAAAGGCACGUGACUAACACUGUCCAAUCACUACGCACAUUAGAAAGAGCGUGUUCUUCACGCAACAACAGAUUCGACUUUGCUCAAGUAGAAACUAAAGAACGUACGGCCACUUUCCUUUUCUCACAAUUCUUCACCGCAAACACUCACCCUAAAAAAAGGAAUAAAGAGAAAAGAAAGAAAGCAAGAAGAAGAACAUUACAUUAGACAGAGAGAAGGGUAUAUUUACUAUUUACCAUAACUUUAACAAGCAGACAGAAUCAUCAGAUCCGGUGUUUUAAUGGCGGACAAGGAAGAACAAGAGACGGUGACAUCGUACAAGCUGUUUCUGAGAGUCAUUAGCAAGAGAAGAACAUGGGUCUGUCUAUUUCUUGUCGUCUACGCGAUCCUCUUGUCUUCUUCAUGGAACUCGCUGAAUUCGAUAGUGGAUUGGUACGGAGAGAACCACAAGACAUCAUCUGGUUGGCCUGCGGUUUACGCAUCGGUGCUUCUUGGGGCGGUGUUCGGAGUUCUGUCGAUGGCGGCGGCGCUCUUCAUAGCCGUUCCGGCCAUAGUGGUGAUCUGGAUAUCGGUGGUCGUGUCGAUGGCGUUCGCCGGAAAAUCGAGGAGGAGAGUGGUGGUGGAAGGGAGGAAAGUGACGAAAGAGAUCGCUGGAUUUGUGUUUAGGGUUCUUCUUAAAGAAGGCAACUUUGUGGCUCUUCUUUGUGCUCUUCUUGCUUACUUCGUCUUCUUCAACUCUUACUCUUCUUCCUCUUGAUUCAGUUUUGCCAAUUUGGUCAUAAACAAAAACAUUCACAACUAAUAUUGCCCUUAAUUUAACAAGAUUUGAUUUCUUGAAUCUGAAAAAAAAAAAAUCGAUCUUAUUUGGUAGAUGGAUGUAUUCUUUUUUUCUGAUGUCAGAUGGAAUGCUUCUACGUCACAAUACCAACACGUGAAGUGAUUGUCUUUUCUUUUGUUAUUUCUUUAAGAAACACAGAUUCUUCUUUUGGUCUCUCUGUUUGUCUGUCACUCUGUCUCUCUGUCCGUGGAAAAGCGUCUGAAGCAUAAUGUGGGUUUUAAGGCCCAUUGUGCUUACGGUUUACUAUCGAUAGCCCAGUUCAUGUUCCUUCCAUAGUUCCAUGAAUUAAUGGAGAACUACUGAUUACUUUUUCGUUUUGACAACAAGAACUACUAAUUACUUGGUUAGCGAAGAUGUAAAAUGUUAUUAUAAAAAACGUUAGGUACAGAUUUGACUAAUCUUGUUUUUAUAAAUCAGCUUUUUGCUCGUUUUAAAUAUUGAAAUGUUUAGAAUUUUGUGAAAUGCAAAAUACUAGCUUUGAGCCUUUAACAAUUGGUUCUCCUAUAAGUUAUAACAAUGGGAUAGAUAACUGCCAAAAUUUGAUAUUGAUAUGUUGAGAAUUUUUCUUUUUAUGGAAUAAAAUGUAAAAUGUCUUACAAGAUAUGUAUUUUAAGUGUUUGUUAUUAUUUUCAUUAUGUAACCUCACAAAAUUAACGCCGAAUAUUGCAUGUUUUCGAUGAAAAAACUGGUUGAUAAAAUAAUGGCCUAGAAAUUAUGAAAUUGAUAGAUUCAAUGACAAAAGAAGACGAUAGAUUGUGUCUCAGGUAGGAACUGCAUGUGAUUAGGUAUGAUCACAUUGUUGUUGUUAGGUGAAAGCUUAAAAUGUGGUGAGUAAGUUAAUUCUUAUAAAUAAAUAAAUAAAAGAGAAAUAUUCCCCUUCACCUAUUCUUCAUCAUGCGCAUUGGUAAAUAAGUGUAAGGAGGUGCUCAAUCCAAGUCAAUAUGCAUAGUUUGUAAGAUGAUUCAAAUAAAUAAUUAUAUAUCCAUAUGUGACAAAAAAAUCUACAUGUUCAAACAUUUCCCCAUGCUCUCGAUCCAUGGUGAAUAUAACUCUCAUACAUCAUUUAUACUCCAUCUGUUUCACAAAGAGUGUCAUUCUGACAUUUUUCACACAUAUUAAUAAAAUUAUUAAAAGUACAACUUUGUCAUUUAUUAAGACAUUAAAUAAUUUGUUUUUCUCUAAUAAAUAUAUUAAAUUAAUAGAGUUAAAACUAGAAUAUUGUUUAAAAUUUUGCAUUGAAAAUAUAAAACGACACUCUUUGUGAAACAAAAAUAAAACCUUAAAACGAUAUUCUUUGUGAAACGGAAAGAGUAGUAUAUUCACUUUAGUUUCGUUUACAUUGUCUUAAAUUAUUAUUCAGUCUCAUACUCUCAUUGGUUGGUGGUUGUACAUCAUUAUUAAGAAGAAUAAUUGGCCUCUCUGCGUGUUAUUUUGCUUUAUAUAUAUAUAUAUAUUUAUCAAACCCAAAAUUAGCAGUGGUUAGCUCCAAAAAAAAAUCCUCAAAUUUAGAGUCAUUGAAGUGUCUCCAAAGACGAUGUAUGAGGUUGAUAAAUGGGAAUGGUGUGUCAAAUUGAACGAGAAAGUGCUUUCUAGAGUUAGAAAUCAUCACGGAAUUACACGCCGUGAAACUUGAAGAUACAAAGACUUGAAGAUACAAAGACAUUUGAAAAUGUUUCAGACAAAAUGUACAAUGUUUUGAAUAGAAAUAUUUGGGUUGGACACAAUAUCGUCAAAACCGAUAUCCCAUUUCUGGCUGCCACUUACGGAAAGAUUGGGAAAACUGCUCCAACACCAAGCUACAUCAUUGAUACAUACAUGUGGUUGAGCUAAAACUUAUGGACAAAUACACUCAAUCUGUAGCUGGAUACAAUCGGAAGUUUUUUCUCUCUUCUACGACAAACACACCAAAAUGUUUCCGAUUGUCGGCCAAAAUCCUUGUAAUGAAGGGAAAAUUUGGAGGCGUCAAGAGGAGGAGGGUGGCAAUCAAUUGGGAUUGAGGUUGUUGAGACUUUUAUUUUUUCUUUGUAUCCAUACAUUAGCUUUUUUUUUUUCUUUUUUUCUAAAUGCAAUGAAAGAUAACUGCAGAUGAAACAAGUGGGAUUGAGGUUGUUGAGACUAAAAAAAAAAUUAACAGUUAUUCAGCUUUUAUCUCCUAGUCUAACUGCAAGAUGUUAGAUGACUAAUGUACAAACUUUGCACUUCCAUCACUUGCAAUUACAGUCACAGAACUAUGUGUUAUCAAUGAUUCUUCAGGCAUUAAAAAGGAAAAAAGAAAAAAAAAUUGUAGCCGACAACAUUAAGUAUUUUACUCUUGUCUUUUAAUUAUUAUAUACUAUACCUGUAAGUUUUGUAUUAUUUUAUAUAUCUAUAUAGUACCAUAGAUGUCGGCAACAACAUGGAGAGAAAAACAUAUUACCAAAUUCUAGCUGAUUUCGUUUUGUAUAUUUAACUACCAAUUAGUCAAUAAAACAUUAAAAAAUACAAAGCCGAAGAGGGUUGUGGUUUGUGAUGAACAGCCAAACAGGUUCACACAUUUGAUCAUUAAAAUUUAUUUAUUUGUUGCUAAACUACAAAGAUAAAAAAAAAAAUCUUUCCACAAAUGUGAUUGUCAUGCUAUCUAUGCUACAACGUGGACAACACCUAAACGAGUGAUUCUCAACAUUUACAUAUAAAAAAAUAUGUUACUGAAUGUUGAGUAUAUGCAAAAAACUAAAUACUUUCGAUGUAAAAUGUAACUAUUUUAUGUAUUUUCAGAGUUGACUUUUGGAUUUCUACAUGAAUUAUUAUUAAGAGUAAGAAAUUAUCUUGAAAACGUUCUUAACUUCAAACGUGAGAAAUCAAAGGUUGUGUGUUGUGGGGAUUCACAAUUCAUUAUUUUGAAUCACAUGAUUGAUGAACAAUGAACAUUCUCAAAUAUCUGAAUGUGAUGACACUCCAAAGCAUUUGGCUUUUUUCUGUCUUUUUUAUUAAAAUUAAAAUUUCAUCAUUAAAAGUUUUCAACAACAUAUUCGUCUUUUCUAAUUUGAUGUCUUAUUGCUGAUUAAGUUAUGUGCUCUUUCUUCUUUCUUUUUGGUCAAGUUCUGUGAUUUUCUCUUCAGCCAUUUACAAACAUCAGCAUUAUUAUAAAAUGGCUAUAGGCUGUUUGAAGCCGAGAAGCUUUUUUCUUUUUAAGAGAGAAAAUUAUAUUACAGCAAAAAAAAGAAAAAUUUGGGUCUAAGAUCCGUAUUUCUUCUCCUUUUUAUUUAAUUUUUAUUUUUGUCAUCAGGUUUCUGGAAAGCACAUAUAUAUAUAUAUAUAUAUAUUAUAUGUAAAUACAAAAACACAUAGAUCUGUGUUUGUUGGGUUAUUCAAUUUUUCAAUUCUUCAUCAAGCUCACAUUUUUCUGCUAGUUUGCAUCUCCAUUUUGCUUAAAGCCGUAAAUGGGAGCGCUUAUUUCAAAUCUUGUUAUCUUUGGUAUAAAGGGAUAAUUUUUCCGUUUGGGUUUCAUAAAAAGUUUGGAUUUUCAGAGACAUUCACCGAACACAGACAAGCUUUUUCUUCUGGGUGCUACCGACAAGGUCUCUGUUUCUCCAAUUCUGGGUAGAAAUUGCUGUAUAUGGCUCCGGCAAGGAACGGGGCAGUGCUACCAAUUCUAGGCUUCCUGAUAUGUGCAGCUUUCAUCUAUUUCUCAUUUCGAGAUUUGUGGCUAUAUCACAAAGCGAAAACCGAGUUAGGGUUUGUGAAAAGGAACGGAACUCAAUUCGUGGUGGAUGGUAAGGCUUUGUAUGUAAAUGGGUGGAACUCGUAUUGGUUCAUGGACCAUGCAGUGAAUGAACACAGUAGAUACCGAGUGAGUGAAAUGCUUGAAGCUGGAGCCAAAAUGGGUCUCACUGUUUGUAGAACUUGGGCCUUCAAUGACGGUGGCUACAAUGCUCUCCAGAUCUCUCCUGGCCAUUUCGAUGAGCGAGUCUUCCAGGUACAUUUUGUUACAUGGCUUUGGAAGACUUUAACAAAUGAUAAGUUUAGUAGCUUCGUUUGAAAACUUACGACACAUUUAGUUUAUGAGGUGCUAGAAGCUGUUACUAGGCUUUUCUUUCGUUUCACUCUGUUGUUGAUUUGAUCACUGACUUACUUCCAACGAAGAUGAUAAGAAAUGGAAUAUCCAUUUCUCUGGAUAUUUGUUUAAUGGAAUUUGUAUAAUGCUUGUGCAGGCCUUGGAUCAUGUAAUCGCAGAGGCAAGGAAGCAUGAUGUUAGAUUGCUUCUUAGCUUAGUGAACAACUUGCAAGCGUACGGAGGGAAGUCACAGUAUGUGAAAUGGGCGUGGCAAGAAGGUGUUGGCCUCAGCUCCUCCAAUGAUUCCUUCUUCUUUGACCCAUCUAUCCGCAAAUACUUCAAGAACUAUCUCACGGUAAUGGUCUUAUCUACUUGCCAAUAUGAUUGAACAUAAAUCAUUGAGUGAGCGAAAGAGUAAAGAUGGGAUUCUGUUUCUUAAACUUGCAGGCUCUGCUCACCCGCAAGAACUCAGUGACUGGAAUAGAGUAUAGAAACGACCCUACGAUUUUCGCUUGGGAGUUGAUAAACGAGCCUAGAUGCUCAUCUGAUGUCUCUGGCGACACCCUCCAAGUCAGUCCUCCAUUUCACUUUUCACUUUUGAAUCGUUUUAGGUUGUUUCUUAUUCAGCAAAAUAUCAAUACGUUUCUUGCGGAAUCACAGGAAUGGAUAGACGAAAUGACAGGCUUCAUAAAGUCAAUUGAUGACAAGCAUCUCCUCACAGUUGGCCUGGAAGGCUUCUAUGGUCCCAAGAGCCCGAAACGCCUGACAGUUAAUCCAGAACAGUGGCCUUCUGAGCUUGGAACCGACUUUGUUCGAAACUCUAAUUCCUCAAACAUUGAUUUCGCAUCCGUUCAUAUCUACCCUGAUCACUGGUAUGUACGUUGAAGAUUUAAUUGCCCUGAGCUCUUUGAAAGAUUGAAACUUGGUAGCUGAUUUGGCUACGUAUGGACAGGUUUCAUGAUCAGAGCUUCGAAGAUAAGCUAAAGUUUGUGGUGAAAUGGAUGCAAUCUCACGUUGAAGAUGGGAUGAAGGAACUGAAGAAGCCAGUUCUGUUCACAGAGUUUGGGCUCUCGAACCUGAACAAGGACUACGAGCCAUCGCAGCGAGAACGGUUCUACAGAAUCAUCUUCGAUGUGGUUUACAAAUCAGCAAAGCGAAGGAAGUCAGGUGCAGGCACACUGGUGUGGCAGCUAUUCAUGGAAGGCAUGGAAGGUUUUAAUGAUGAAUUUGGGAUUGUUCCACAUGAACAAGAUUCCAUGUACAGAUUGAUGAUCGAGCAAUCUUGCAGAUUGGGUCGAGUCACAGGACGUCUUAAGGAACAUAAGUUGAAAAAACUUUGUUCUCACAGACAUUGAGAGAAUCAUAUGUACACUGUUUUUUUCUUAUACAGUGAAAUCUGAUUCUAAUUUUGGUAAACUCUCUAUAGAUUGAUGUAUUCUGGUUACCAAGUUCGAGAUAAUAGAGAAAUUCAUAUGAUAAAUUGAAAGAAAAACCAGAGAAAUUCAUAUUUAUAAGCACACAAUCUGUUAUCUCUUCAAGAGAGAUCCAAAAACUAAAUUGCAUUUUCAUGAACUAUACCAUUAAGUUUAAACCCUACAGAGAGAGAUUUUUGACGAAGCUAAAUGAAAACUAACUCGAUCUACGCUUAGCCAAUCUUGGAGAUGUCCUCGUUGAGCUCGUCUCCUCAACCUUUUGGGUCUUCUUCUCCUUCGAUCUCUUCCCUAAUUCCGAUUCGAUUGAUUUUUGGCUGGAUUUAACCACUUUGGUCUUGCUCUCUACAGCCACUCUAUCAAAAUCAUCAGAGAGUUUUCUCCUGAUUCUAGCCACACCUUCAUCUUCCGAUCCAACCUCUUCGCCAUCAUCAUCAUCGUUCAGAUCUAAGAACUUCCUUCGUUUCACCGCAAUCGGAGUCGCAGGGGGAGAGUCGUAACCAGAUCUCUUCGUCUUCUUCUUCUCGGAACUUCCAGAUUCGAGUUUCACAGGGCUAGAUUUCUCAAGCUGGGCACGGAGCUUGUUGACAUUUCCUUCGAUUCGGCCCUGGAGACGGAGGCGCGUGAAGUUGAGACCACCCAUGGACCAGUGAGCAUCUCUCGCCCAUGAGAGAAGCGGAUCAAGCACAGAAAGCGGCGGAUCAACGCGGUGAGAGUUGAACUGAGGGCUAUCGAAGUAACGAGGUCGGGGAAGCCCGUUCCCGUAGAACUCCGCCGGCCUAAUGGCAAAAUGUUUCUUCACCGGCGUCAUCAUUGUGUAAUUUCAGAGAGGGAGAGAGAGAGAGAAAUGGAGGAUGAGUGAUGGAGAUUGGGGAUAUAGGGAUUAUAUGAAGGAGAUUUUGGCGGGUGAGAUUAUUGGCGCGAGACUCUGCCGCGCUGCUUGAAAUAAAAACUUUGGCGCCUCUUUAGUUUCGAUUGCCCGCAAUUUUUUUCAAUUUAUUUUGGUUUGAACACAUCUCACAGGAUUUGUGUGUUUGUUCGGUGCUGAUACACGCGCGCCCCCUUAUUUUUACGCGGGGCUUCUAUUUGUGACAUUUUUCAAAUUAAGUACUGAACUUUUACAUUAAAAAGUAAAAUCAAACAAAUACAACAGAAAACUAAUUUCAAUAUAAUCUUACAUUUAAAAUUAAAAGCUUGGCAUUUUUUAUAAACACGAUUCGAUAUAAAACAAAAAUACGGUCCAAUACAAAGUAACAAACUGAGCAAAAGAAAUGCAGUUUCAACUUUCAAGAAAAAGAUUUGGUUCAAGAGGAACACUGAAAGAGAAAACACAAAUAUAAUAGCCUUUUAAAGUAAACAUAAAUUGAGUCCCACAACAAUACACAUAAGACCCAAUCUAUUGGGCCCAAUAAAACUAGGGCCUAUAGACUGACACGCAAGCAGAAAGCAGAGUUUUUUAUUGUUAAAGCAUACAAAUUGAGAGGAGCUAUGUGACAUGGCUUCACCAUCCUCUGGGAGGCCCUCCUGAGGAAGGCACACUCAAUCUGUCAAGGAGUGCGUUAAAGUCGAUGGGUUGACCACUCUCUUCCAUCCGCUGAAUCACAGCCAUUACAUGGUCUCCUCUGAAACCCAUGCUCACUAGCUUCUCUAUCAGUUCACCGUAUUUUGAUCUCAAGACUGGUGGUGUCCCACUGUUACCGCCUCCUGCCUGGUGCUGCUGGGGAGCGUACCCACCACCUUGUGGACCUUGCAUGUAAUGCCCCUGCUGCUGCUGCUGCUGCGGCUGAGCUGGUGGGUAUUGCAUCCGCCCACCUUCAUACAUGGCACUGGCAUACCCGGAUGGAGGAGGCCCUGAGGGUAGAUACCCGUCGCCUGUCUGCGGGCUAUAAGACAUCUUUGUCUGCUGCGGAGCGUGUGGUGGUGCACCGUAUCCGUAAGCUUGAAUUGACUGUUGAGGAGAUCCAGCGUAUGGUUGUUGCAUCUGCAUGCUGCUAGGCAACGGUUCUACUGGGGAUUGGCUGCUUGGUGGUGCAGGUGAGUAUGUUGGGUAGGCUCCACUAGACUGUGGUCUGGCCUGUGGCUGGGGAGGCCAGUUUUGUUGGUACUGAGGGAAUGACUGAGUUUGGGCAGAGCUUGGGUGAGAUGGAGCAGGAGGUGGGGGCAUGAACUGACCCUGCGCUGGUGGUGCUUGAGGUUGUGAUGGUGGAGCAGGAGCGGCCGCUGGUGCUGGUGUGUUUUGAAGCUGUGUAGUUGGAGGCAUGUAAUACUGCUGCUGUGGUUGUAUGACAUGUUGCUGCGGCUGCGGCUGCGGCUGUGGCUGCGCUGGAGGAUGUGGUGCCAUUUGGUGAGGCAAAGCAAGUGCAAGCUGCUGGUUGUGUGCAUCUGAGGUGUUCUCACUCUUCUUAGGCUCUGGAACAGGAGUUGCGACCCGCUCCUCACCAUGUUGAGAAUGAGACGAGGAAGAUGAAUCUUUCUUGCCAAGUUGAAGCCUCGCUAGCUCUUUCUGAGUAUCAGCUAGCUCUUGUUUGUCUCUGAGAAUCUGGACUGACCUAUGCACCUACACCAGAACAUACACAUCGUCUUAACAUCCAUUGCAGAUCAGAGUUUUACAAAAGAACAAAUGACAAAAACUACUCGCAUAACACACCUCUUGAAGAUGUUUGUCCAUGGAUCUAAGCUUCACAUCAGCCUCCUCGUGUUCACGAGUCAAAUCCGAUCUCAUUUCUCCAAUUGUCUUAUCAAGGUUGUAGCAGUACAGUUCUAGCUGGGACAAGCGUGAGCUGAUGCCUUCAAGAAAGCGCAUCAUGUUAUCUGCGUACUUCUUCAUGGUUCUUUCGACAGUGGCAGUAAGGUCUUGGCUCAGAGAGUCCUCAGGUGGGCUGUAGGAGCUUGUAGGGAAAACC
rnacentral:lncRNA from 1 species